rnacentral:lncRNA from 1 species
UUCAUGUUGCUACACUGGCAUUCGCUUGCUUAAAUCCACAAACGAAGUCCCGACCAACAAUGAAGGAAGUGUGUGAAGAGUUCCUUUCUCGCCAUACAUCCUUGGGAAUUCCUCUUCGGAUGAUCUCUUUGUUACAACUCAUGAACCGUGAAAUGCAUAUUGGAGGCAAAACUAAAACUUGUGAUGUUUAAAGUCCAUGCGCUUGUUGAUUAGAUAUUGUUUAUCAUGCUCUGAUAAUUUGUUUGUGAACCAUCUCUGGUUUUAUAUAUAUGAUGGAAUGAAUUGCAAUGUUUAAUAAAACUGUUUAUCCAGUUGCUUUAGAAGACAUAAAUUCUGGAAUUUGAUCAAAAUAUUAAGACAUCAUCGCUGGCUGCUUCCUUGAAUUUUGUGCUUCUUUCAAACCAACUCAGAUAAAUAACAUAUAAGUAAAUUAAGGGUGAAUCAAAGCAACAAAAUGCAAUCAAUACAUACAUCAAGAAUUCACCUCAACUAUCUAUAAUUCAUGAAACAAUCUCUCAACUUAUAAAAUGUAAGUGAGAUUCCACAGACCUGAUAUCCAAACUCAAAAGCAAUAAAAGGCGUCAUCAAAACCCUGGCAAGUGAAGACGACAUUCUUUUCAAGCAAGGUAGCGAUACAACUUCCUGUCACCUUUAUCCCUCUACAGGAACUCACAUUAGUAUACAUUUUUAUUUAACAUAUUAUAUAAAUUACACCUUAUAAAUAGAAAAAACAAAUGAAACUCUGACUAUUACAUAUAUAUAAUAAUAUACUGCAUAUUUCCUAAAAAAGGAUAAUAUACCGCACAUGUUACAACGCAUUUUCAAAAAAAGAAAAAGAAAUGUGACCAUGAUAUAUAAUUUAUAGGACAAACAAAGGUACUCAUAUUUUAUAGUUCAUCAUUUUUAAUGUUUGGGACUGUAGUCGGCCAUCACGAUUUGGUCGGCAACAAGUGAAUAUAUUAUGGAUAAACUAUUAUAGAGUUUACAAAAUUACAACUUUUUAGUCUGUAAAUUAUAAAAAGUUAUAAAAUAGCCAUUUAAUUAUUAUUAAAUUACACUUUAUAAAUGAUAAACAAAUAAAACUCCAAAUAUUACAUAUUUAAUAAUGUAAGCACAUUGUAAUAGGCCAAUUUUGGCCUGGCCCAAUAUUAACUAAAUUAAAAAAGAAACCAAAUAUAAAAAUUAAUAAUUGUCCAAUAACAGUCCAGAGUUACAAUGGCCCAAUUAACCCAAGAUCAAACAGCAGCCCAAAACCCCUAGCCCAAUUACAACUAGCCCAAAACCAAUAGCAAAAGAAAGACCAGAAAACCCUAGCAGAGACCAACAGCCGUCGUCGUUCCCCAUGCGCGCAACGCCUCCACGCUCCUCUAGCUGGCUGUACCUGCAAAACAAACGAAACCAACAAGGACAGCAAGGAAAGGCAAUAACAAAAAAAGAUCUAGCAAAUGAAAAAGGAGAAUAACAGAAAAUGAGAUUUUUCUUUCUUGUAAUUUUAUUUUUUGUUUUUAUCAGCUAUAUAAGGCCGAAUAAUCUGUAAAAAAGGGGGAGGAAAUUAAAAAAAGCAGUAAAAAAUCAAUCACAAUUUUUGAAAGUGAUCUAAAUUUCUUUUUUUCAUUUAAUUUCUUUGCUAUUUUCCUUAGUUUUUUUUUCGUUGAUGGUUGCUUACUGUUUCAGAAAAGAAACACAAAAAAGGGAGAGGGUUUACCUUAGUGUCGGCGCCGAUUGGAUCUUUAUUCACUUCGUCGCAAUCGAAGCUCAAGCGAGGGUUGUAAAGCUAAAGGUAGCAAAUUUUAUUUCCCUGGCAUCGCAGUAGAUUAAAGCUGAAGGUAGCAAAUCUUAUUUCCCUAGCGUCGCAGUAGAUUAAAGCUGAAGGCAGCGAAUCUCAUUUCCUUGGCGUUGCAGUGGAACAGAUUAAAGCCGAAGGCAGCAAAUCUUAUUUCCCUAGCGUCACAGUAGAUUAAAGCUGAAGGCAGCGAAUCUCAUUUCCUUAGUGUUGCAGUGGAACAGAUUAAAGCUGAAGGCCGCGAAUCUUAUUUCCCUCGCGUCGCAGUAGAUUAAAGCUAAAGGCAGCGAAUCUCAUUUCCUUGGCGUUGCAGUGGAACAGAUUAAAGCUGAAGGUAGCGAAUCUUAUUUCCCUUGCGUCGCAGUAGAUUAAAGCUGAAGGCAGUGAAUCUCAAUUCCUUGGCGUUGCAGUGGAACAGAUUAAAGCUGAAGACAGCGAAUCUUAUUUCCUUGGCAUUGCAGUGGAACAUAUUAAAGUUGAAGGCAGCUAAUCUUAUUUCCUUGGUGUUGCAGUAGAUUAAAGUUAAAGGUAGAGGAUCUUAUUUCCUUGGCGUUGCAGUGGAACAGAUUAAAGCUGAAGGCAGCGAAUCUUAUUUCCCUGGUGUCGCAGUAGAUUAAAGCUGAAGGCAGCGAAUCUUAUUUCCCUAGCAUCACAGUGAGAUGGUUUGAAGUUAUCAUGGCAGAUCUUAUCUCCCUGAAGUUGCAAUGGAGCAGAUUAAAGCCACAAAACUUAUCCCCCCGACGUUGCAGUGAGGCAGGUUGAAGAGACAAAUCUUAUCUUCCUGAAGUUACAGUGAAGCAGAUUGAAGCCACCAGUCUUAUUUCCUUGAAGUUGCAGUGGAGCAGACUAAAACCACAAAUCUCGUCCCCUUUGAAAUCGCAACAGGGUAGAUUGAAGCUAUGAGCCGUAUAUAAAGUUACAGUAGAGUGGAUCGAAGCAACAAGAUGCAGUGGGCUGGAAUUAGGCUACUUGAAGAAGAGAAGCACUAAGAGAGGUGAAGACUCGGCAAGACUAGGCAAAAUUGUCCCUUUUUAAGUCUUUGCUCCAUUUUUGUUACACGACAACGAGCAAAGAGGCGCAACUGUAAUAGGCCAAUUUUGGCCUGGCCCAAUAUUAACCAAAUUAAAAAAGAAACCAAAUAUAAAAAUUAAUAAUUGUCCAAUAGCAGCCCAAAACCCCUAGCCCAAAACCAAUAGCAAAAGAAAGACCAGAAAACCCUAGCAGUAGACCAGCAGCCGCCGUCGUUCCCUACGCGCGCAACGCCUCCACGCGCCUCCAGCUGGCUGUACCUGCAAAACAAACGAAACCAACAAGGAUAGCAAGGAAAGGCAAUAACAAAAAAAGAGCUAGCAAAUGAAAAAUGAGAAUAACAGAAAAUGAGAUUUUUCUUUCUUGUAAUUUUAUUUUUUGUUUUUAUCGGGUAUAUAAGGCUGAAUAAUCUGUAAAAAAAAAAAGGAUAGGAAAUUUAAAAAAGCAGUAAAAAAUCAAUCACAAUUUUUGAAAGUGAUCUAUAUUUCCUUUUUUUUUUCAUUUAAUUUCUUUGCUAUUCUCCUUAGUUUUUUUUUUGUUGAUGCUUGCUUACUGUUUAAGAAAAGAAACACAAAAAAGGGCGAGGGUUUACCUUAGUGUCGGCGUCGAUUGGAUCCUUGUUCGCUUCGUCGUAAUUGAAGCUCAAGCGAGGGUUGUAAGGUCGAAGAUCGGCGGAGCUUUCAGCGGCGUGGGAAUGGGUUCAAAAACCCAGUAGAGGAAAAAGGGGAUAAUAGGUUUUUUUUAAAGAAUGACAGAAAGUAGUUUUUUUUAAAAAAAAUUGUUGAUUUUAUAUUAGGUAUGAAAUGUCGUCAUUUAAGGCCUGUUUCAGUGGCCUCAAAACGGUGCCGUAUAAGGCCAUGACCCGCGCGGUAACCCGACCAGAAGGAAGGAUCCACGUGUUUUUUAUUUAUGGGUAAUUUGCACCUCUGGUCCCGUUGCAUUUUUAUUUAUUUUAAUUCAGUUGUUUUCAUUUUUUCAAUUGAUACUGUAAAUUUUAUUCGGUUUCUGAUUCGGUCCUGAUGAAAUGGCACGUUUCAGAGGGCGAGAAUAUUUCCCCAUCCAGUCCCUCUGAGUUAUUCGUGCCUUUCAAUUGGGCCCUUCAUUUUGUUUUAUUUUCGUUUUUUCCUUUUAAUUCAGUUUUGAGUUUAAUUUAAUCCAUACUUAUUUAAUUUAAUGUACUUGAUUUUUAUUCUGUUUAAAAUCUAUUUUUCUAUUAUUUUUAGAUAUAUUUAUUUUUAAAUCUAACUUUCUUUUUAUGUUUAAGUUUAAUAUAUUUUUAAGUUUAUUAUCAAUAUUAUAAUAUAUUAUUAUUCUAAAUUUAUCAUUAACAUUAUUUUAGGUGUAUCAUGUAUUUUUUAUUUAAAUUUAUCAUGUAUUAUCUUAUGCAUUCUUGUUGCAAUUUCAAUAUAAUUUAUACAUUUUUUUACGGUUUUAUUUUAUAAUACAUUUUUAAUUUCACUUAUAUAUUUCUUUGCUUUAAAGAUUAAUACAAUAAUACUCUUACAUAAUAUUUUUUAUUCAUAUAUAUAAUUUGUAUUAAACUAUUUUUAUUAUACAUAUAUAUAUACACAAAAUAUAUCAUCGAUUUCAUAUUAUUAUAUAUCUUAUCUAUUUCAUAUAUUUUAUUUCUUUCAAAACCCUACUCUAUUAUAUACUUGGUUUAUAUCAACUUUUUAUACAUACUAUUAUACAUAUAUUAUUAUAUGAAAUUUUUCAAUCCAUAUGUAAUAUUUAUUUAAAUUAAUAUAUAUAUUUUAUGCGUUUUGGAUUUCUUCUUAUACAAUAUUCACUUUAAAAUUCAUUUAGAUAUUAUUAUUCCAUAUAGUAUUCAUAUUUAAUUCUAUUUUUAAACUAUUUCAAGUCUUCACAUUAAUUACUUCUUUUUAAAUUUUUAUAUAUGUAAUUUUGUGUAUAUACAUUGAAAAUUUCAAAUUUCUUUUCUCUUUUUUUUUUUAGCUAUUUUAAAAUAGUUACAUUUUAUUUGUGAUAGGCUUUUAGGUCAUUAACUUUUAAAUAUUGGUGUUAAUAUUUACAUGUGAUGUGAGAUUAUUGUUAUUAUGUACAUUGUAUUGCUUGUUUAUAUUGAUAGAUUAUUCGUGUUCAUUUGUACGUAUUUUGGCUUACUAAUUAUUCUUUCGAGUUAUACAUUGUCAUCCCAUUGUGUUUUAUUUGUCAAAAAUUUCAUUUCAUUUAAACAUUGAAAUCAUUUUAUUCAAAAGUUUCCAAAAUAAUGCAAUACUCGAUCUUUGGGACUUCGAGAAAUCGUACCCUAACUUACGGGGUUUUGAUUUCCUCGUCGAACUAAAACGACCAAACAUUUUAGUUUUCAAAUACACAAAGUUUCAAUAAAAUUUUUUAAAGGUUAUCUUAUACUCGGCAAAUCCAACAUUGCUUCCUAACUUACGGGAUACGAUAUUUGGUUGCCCCGGGGUGAGAAGGCCUUUUAUACAUUCGUUCAAAUCUAUCCAAGAAUUAUUUUAAAAUAUGGCAUUAAUAAAAAGGGGAAAUCGUUUUUAAUCUCUUCGAAUUUUCAACAUUCGACUUUAAGACAUUAAAUAAUCAAUUUGGUACCAAUUUUGGGCGUUACGAGGGUGCUGAUCCUUCUUUGUAAGUAACUAACUCCCGAACCCAUUUUUACUGAAACUCGUAAACCAAAAUCAUUUUUAAGGUGAUCCGAUCACACCUCAAUAAAAGAUCGGUGGCGACUCCAAUUUUCAUUUUUUUUAAGUCGACACUAUUUUUAUUUUCAAAAAGUGGUUUCGACAGCUUGGCGACUCCGCUGGGGACUGGUUUUGAGAGUCAAGCCACAAAUUGAUUAAUUUUUGUCUUUUUGUCGAAAAAUCAAAUUUUGUUCUCAAUUCACAAUUUCCCUUUUUGCAUUUCAUCCAUUAUUUUCAUGGUUAAUCAUAGUGCGUUUGCUUGGUUGAUCCAAUUUUGUUAAUGUAUAUCUGCAUUUUGCAUUACAUAAGUUGGUCAAUUUUACCCUUCUUAAGUGGGAGUGAGAAGCUAUUCCUUCGUGAGGUCUUCACCUUCGUGCAGGAUAGUGGAUCACUUUCGAGAUACAUCCGUACCUAUGUCUUCGUGAGAUUUUCAUCUCCGUGCAGCCAUAGGGAAAUGAAUUCCCCUGAACUGAACUCAGCCCAUAUGAGGCUAUAAUGGGUGAGGAUCAAGGAAUCUGCUGGUUGAGGUACCUUUACUUUAGAACCAAACCACAUAUAGUGAACCAUAAGAGCCUACCCUAGGUAAGACCACGCCAAACCGCUAGUGGUCACUCGAAUAGGUGCUCUAUUUAUUUCUUGCUUGCUUUUCUUGGCACUAACUUGUUUCGUUUUGUUCUGGUUAUGAUUGCAUUGCAUUUUCAUCAUAGAAAAGAGGUGUUGAUUCACGUUCAAUUGCUAAAUAGAGAGCUUGUCAUGGAAAAUGAAUUUUUUGAUAAAGUGGAAAAUAAUACGACUGGCCGAAUAUGUUCCGAGAAAACACAACAAGAGAAGGAUGAUAGCCUAACGGAGGAGUACACGACUUUUUUUCGUUUCCCGAGGAUUCAAGUUGACAAAGAUUAUUCGAGAGUCGUCAGCAUCCCAACAUUUUUUAAAUAAGCUAACAAGCAUCACGAGGACGAGUGAGUGAUGAGUCGCGGCCCAAAUCAAGCAAAAAAGAGCUAGUAUAGACAAUCAUUGGAAAAUUCACGAGAUUUAUCUUAACAUCCGGACGAAGAAAAGGAUCAAUGUCUUCACCUGGAGUGUGAGGGAAAAGCCGUAUAUAUAUCCGCUUUAUGUAAAGAGAUUUGUUUUCUAGUAAAGUUAUUCUAAUAGAAUUGAAUCAGAAUCAACGUCUCUUUUUUGCAUUCAUUGCAUGCAUUUGCAUUACAUUACAUCAUAUACAUUAAAGUACACCAAAAGAUCCUAAUUGAUUAAAAUUAUUUCAGUUGAUCUGGAAAUCAACAAAAACCUACCAACCAAACAUCAUUACUGUACCUGAGUAAAAGGAAUGGACCAAAUGUUGGAGAGAUUAGAGCAAAGGCAAAUACAGAUGCAAGAGCAAUUAACCAAAUUUUAACAAGAUAUGAAGGAUCAGAUGUUAGAGUUCCAAAGAAGUAUGAUAAGCCUGUUAACCCAGUUAUUGGAUAAAGGGUUAGAAAAAGGAAAAAAUCAGGUGGUCCACUUUAGGGAUGAUUGUGAAGACCCUGUUUCUUCUCCAGGCUUUACACCAACAAGCAUCCAGACACAACCAAAUGGGUAUCCAUAAAAGGUGUCUGUUAACAUUAGACCCCAAUACUAGACCGGUACCUCGACACUAAUGAAUUACCCGACAGGCUCAAAUUCCAAUAUGAGAGACAAUCUAACCAAUCCUGUGGUCCAUGAUGAUCUAGCUAAAACAAAACAGGUGAGAGUGGAGUUCCCAAAGCAAUUUGAAGAUCGUUACAAACAGAAAAGGCAAGAGUGGAGUUUCCAACUCAAUACUUUAAAGGCUCCAGGGAAUAGGAAGAAUGAAGUGAAUAACGCAAGCAUGUAUAACAGGGGAUACACAAAACCAAUUACUGUAGGCCAGCCAAAAAUAGUAACCGCUAGCCAUCAGGGCCUUUCAAGGCAAGAAUCUUACACGAGGACAAAUACAGAAAACGCCUAUACUAAUGACGUAUAGAGAGCUAUAUCAAAACAUGUUUGAAGCACAUAUAGUAUCGCCUUUCUACUUGAAACCAAUGCAGCCCCCAUUUCCUACAGGGUACGACACAAAUGCCCAGUGCAAAUACCAUGUAGGAAUCAUGGGGCAUUCGAUAGAAAACUGCACCGCUUUCAAAAAGCUAGUUGAAAGGCUCAUCAAUAUGGGUAUUGUCAAGUUCAAUGACUCAUCUAUUCCGCUACCCAAUCAUAUUGAUAAUAGGGUAAACACGAUGAGUUAAGAUAUUGGGAGAAGAAUCAAGAUAGACAUUGUAGAAGUAAAAACUCUAUUGAGUUGGGUCUAGAAGGAGAUGGCAAGAAGGGGAUUAGUCAUUUUGGAUUUAGGAGGAGGCCACGGAAAGACAAUGAACUAUUGUGAGUUCUAUCAUGAGAAGGGGCAUGAGAUCCAAGAGUGCAUGGAAUUCAGGGCUUUGGUUCAAGGCAUGAUGGACAAUAAAGAGAUGGAGUUCUGUGAGAAAAUUAUAGAAGAGAGAAGCCUAUGCACAAUGUUGGGAAGUGUUCACAUCAAUGUCGUAUAUGAGGACACAACUGAAAAGGGGACCUUGUUAGAUAUCUGUCCUUAUAAACCUGGGAGUGUUUUAAAUAAUUGGACUGCGAAAGAAAUUCCUGUAGUUUUAGAGCUUACUCAGAGUAAUGUUCAGAACACACUUGUUACUUUUAGCCUAGAAGUGAUAAGAAUCCCUUUGUGAAAUAGGCUCAUGUCUGAACGUCAUUAUUUUAAUAAAAUACAUUUUUGCAUUUUGAGAAAAUAUUCUUUUACUCUUUUCAUAUGAAUAAUUAUUCUUUCAUUCUUUUAGAGAUUUUCUUCCAAUUCAUUCUUUCAUUUCAUUCAUAAUCAUAUUGUACAAAUAAUAAUUCUUAAAUCCACACAUUCUUUGAAUAUUUUUUGUACCUACAAUAGGUCCUUGGAUAUCAACGAAUGAGUGACACUGCUAUAGGCUCAGAAUUUCCUUUUAAACAAGACAUGUGUUUAGAGGGAUCUCAUAACUUUGAAAAUGACGUAGAUUGUAGCCUAUCUCCGAACUUGUUGAGGAUGGUAGAGCAGGAAGAGAAACAAAUUUUACCCUAUGAGGAGACAAUGGAGAUUGUGACCUUGGUGGAGGGAAAAGUAGUAAAAAGUAGAACAUGCAUAACCGAAGAAACGAAGCAAGACCUUGCUGAGUUACUUCAAGAGUUCAAAGAUGUCUUCGCAUGGUCAUACCAGGAUAUGCUUGGGUUAAGCACUGACAUUGUAAUCUGAACAACAGCACGAUGUCAAAAAUUUGCAAUAUGUUCAAGACUAACAUCAUAAACGAUGCAGUGGAGAAAACCUCUACCAGAGCAACGCCUUUCUCUUUGGCUUCUCACCGUUUUGCCCAUUGAAAUCGAGUUUUCAUCUCUUCAAGUUUUUGUUAGAUUUUAUCCCUAUUGAAGAGGAAGAUCCAAAGUUUUUCGUCAUAGUCAGAUGUACCAAAAAAAAAUUCGCCCCAGAAAGCUCUAUGAGAGAAACCUGAUAUCAAAGAAGAUCCUUUGCAUACAAAAGGAUUUCAUAAGAAAGUGAAUGUUAAGAUGGGAAGGAUCUUGUGUAGAAGAUUUUAUCUAGAAAAACAUUGAUUCUGAUCGAAAAGGAUAACAAGGACUUGCCUAAUCCUAUGAGUUCAGAUCCAAUCAAAAAAUAUUUUAAAAAACUUAAAAAAAUAAAAAAUAUUUCAAGAAUAAAAUGAAAAUAAAAAUGAUAAAAAAAAGAAAAAAAAGGAAAAAAGGAAAAGGAAAAGGAAAGGCCAAAGCGAAAACCCGCAAAGGGCGCUUUGAUAUCAAAGGGGAUUUGAGUUGAAAACCCGAAAAGGGUGGCUCAAAUUUUAAGAUAAGUGAGGCAUGGAUGUCACCGGGCUAAUAUCACCGAAGGCUUCUGUACAGCCCAAAUUUUGCCCGGGCCCAACAAGUAGAGACCAAAAUACCAUCAGACCCAAUUAAAUUAAACCACCCCAAACUAAACCUAGCCCAAACCAACCCAAAAAUAAACUCAAUAAGAAUAGUCCAUUUUACAAAAAUAAAAACCAAUACAAACCCUAAGCCCAAAUUAAAAUACCAUCCCACUACCAAACUAAAACCCUAGCAGCCCUUACUGCCCAUGUGCGCUGUUCAGCCACCUCGCACGCCCCUUGCCUACUGCCACUACUUGCCUAUCGCCUUAUCUGCAUGCUCUGACAUCUCUGCCAUCUACAAUACACAAGAAGAAGAAAACAAAAAGGACAAAACAACAAACAAACAAAUCGAAAGAAAACAAAGAAAAUGGAAAAAUAGUUUUGUAUUUUGGUUAUAAAGCCAAAAUGAGAGGCUUGUUAAGAUUCUUCUUCCUUUUACGAACACAAGAGAAAUAAAAAAAGUAAUAUUUCAAUGUGAUAUAUAUUUUUUUUGUUGUUUUAGAUCUAGUGCUUUAUUUUUAUUUCUUUUUAUCUACGAAAAUAAAAAAAGAAAAAUGAAGAAAAAAUGCACCUGGAUUCACACCCGAGCCCCAUCACCGGAAACCUUUUCCCUUGACGCUGAAAUCGGGCCGAGAGGGGUGUAGGGGGUCUCUAUUUUUGGUUUCUUUCUUAAAAAGGGCCCUGGGCUUCGAAUGGGAUUCAAAUUCGGGGUUAAAACUCCCUUUUACGCCACGUCGGCCACCGACCAUGGUGGCGCUAUGGCGGAGGCGCGCCGGAACCCUAGGCCAGAUCAUGGCCGGAGAAGGCAAUGGAGGCACAGAGGGAGAGAGUUUUCUAAUUUUUUUGUAAAAAUGGGAGAGAGGAAGUGAUUUUUUUUUUAGGUAUUUUGGUUUAUAUAAGGUACCAAAAUGGUACCGUUUUGGGAAGGGCCAUUAAUGACCAAAAUGGCGCCGUUUUGGGCUAACCGACCUGAUCUAACUCGCUCCGGAAGGAGGAUCCGCGCGUUUUAGCCUUAAGGGGUUAUUUGCACGAGAAGUCCCUCUGCUUUUGCAGCAAAGUGUAAUCCGAUCCUUUUUUAUUAUUUUCUGAUUUGGGCCGCAAACUUUGCUUCUGCUUCAAUUUGGUCCAUAGACCAUGCGCAGAUGUUGUCCCCUGCAACGGCGCCGUUCAAAUGGCAUGGGAAUAUUUCCCUUUCGACCCUGUAUCUCUGGGUGCGUUUAGUUCAGGCCCCAAUUGUCUUUUUAUUUAAAUUCUGUCAUUUAAUUUUGUUUUAAUUUCAAUCUGGUCCUGGGUCCAUUUAAUUUAUUUGUUUAUUAUUAUUAGUAUUUUUUUAAACAAAAACUCUUUUAUUAUUAUCUGUUUUAAGUUUUUAUUUAUUUAUUAUUUAUUGUAAACUAUUAUAUAUAUAUACAUAUAUAUAUCUUUUAAAUUUUCGUAUGUAUGUAUAUAUUAUUUGAAACUAUUUGUACUUAUUUUUUUAUAUAUAAUAUUAUUUAUUUUAAAAUGUUCUAUAUUUAUUUAUUUUAAGUUUUCUGGUAUAUUUUUUAUUCGAAACUUUUAUUAUUUAUUGUUCUUAUAAAUCAUUCAUGUUAAAUUAUUAUUUACUUUAGAUUGUUAUAUAUAUUGUCUUGUUUUAUAUUCCUUUGGUUAUUAAUGUUGGUAUUAAAAUUAGAUAUAUUGUGUGCUCAUUUCCAUUGUGUGCACUAUAAUUUGCUUAUUCGUAUCCUCAUAUAUUUGUCAUGCAUUAAUGUAUCAUUUUAUUCAUAAAUUGUUAUGCCAUGUUCCAUUAUCGCUCAAUUUCAUUUCAUCACUUCAAAAGUUGCGCUCAAUUUGUAUACCUCAAUAAUAAACCGAUCUAUUUUAUCACGAACAAAACAAAUACACCUCGUUCAAGUGUUGCACUCGUCAUCAUUCAAAUCCAAGAAGAGUUUUAAAAUAAGGCAAUAUUUUGUGUUUAGAAAUUCGAGAAAACGUGCCCUAACGUGUUGGGUUUCGAUUCCUCGCUCUACCAAAUAGCCAAAUAUCCUUUUAAAAUUUCAAAGUAAGGCAAUAUUUUGCAUUUGGGAAAUUUGAGAAGACAUGCCCUAACGUGCUGGGUUUCGAUUUCUCGUUUAACCUAAAUAGCAAAAUAUCCUUUUAAACCAUGGCUCUUGAAUAAGCAAGAUUUCAUGUUCAGAUUCGAGAGAAAUCGUACCCUAACUUACGGGGUUUCGAUUUUCCUCGACGAGUCUAAAUUACCAAUAAUUUUAAAUCAAAGCACAAGUUAAAUAAAAACUUAUCCUCGGGAGUUCAAAAAUGUCGUGUCCUAACUCAUUGGAUGUAACAUUUUGUUAUAUCAAGGUAAGGAUUUCUAAAAAUGCAAAGGUAAUAUUCUGCAUGUGGAAUUUUGAGAAAUCAAGCCCUAACUUACUGGGUUCCGAUUUUUUUGACCCAAGUGACCGAAUAUCCUUUUAAAAUUGAAAUAAAUGAGGUUUUAAUAAAAAAAUAAAAGGAAGCUUACUCUCAAAAAUACGAGGUGUUGUGUCCUAACUAACUGGAUGUGACAUCUUGUUACUUUGAGAUAAGGAGGCAUUUUCUAUUUUGAUUUAUUCGAGUAAUUUUAAAAUAACACAAUAAAAAGGGAUAGUAUUUUUAAAUUCUUUUCGAGUUUUUAAUUUUCGACACCAAGACAUUAAGUAAUCAACUAGGUACCAAUUUUGGGCGUUACGAGUGUGCUAAUCCUUCCUCGUACGUAACUGACUCCCGAAUCCGUUUUCUAAAUUUCAUAGACUAAAAUUGUUGUUUUAAUAAACUCAAAUUAUUUACUAAAGACAACCACAUUUUGAGGUGGUCCGAUCACACCUCAUCAAAAAAAGAUUGGUGGCGACUCCCACUUUCGUUUUAUUUUCAAAAUCCAAGUUGACCCCCUGUUUAUCAAAAAAAUGGUGUCAACAGCUUCUAUUGGGUAUCACUUCAUUUGUGAGGUUAUUAAUUACUUCACCAAAUGGGUAGAGACUGCUUCAUGCGCUAAUGUCACCAGGUCAGCAGUUAGCAAGUUUUUGAAAAAGGAGAUUAUAUGUCGAUAUGGAAUGUCUGAAAGAAUCAUAUCUGACAAUGCGCUGAAUUUGAACAACAGCACCAUAAUGGAAGUUUGCAGUCAAUUUAAGAUCAGACACAAUAAUUCGUCACCAUAUCGCCCAAAAAUGAAUGGUGUAGUGGAGGCGACCAAUAAAAAAUAUCAAGAAAGUUGUGAGGAAAAUGUCUGAGACUUACAAAGAUUGGCAUUACCAUUCACCCUUUUGGCUUAUCGAACGUCUAUCAGAACUUCCACCAGGGCAACGCCUUUCUCUCUGGUUUAUCGGAUGGAGGCAGUUUUACCCAUUAAAGUUGAAAUUCCUUCUCUCCGGGUAUUGGUUGAGCUAAGGUUGGAUGAAGCAAAAUGGAUCCAAUCUCGAUAUGAUAAAUUGAACCUAAUUGGAGAAAAAAGGCUAAAAGCUAUUCACCACGGUCAGAUGUAGUAGAAACGAAUGAUGCGAGCCUAUAACAAAAAGGUUCGUCCUAGAGAAUUCCAUGAAGGGGACCUGGUGUUGGAAAAUAUUUUUUUCUCUACAAAAGAUUUUAGAGGGAAAUGGAUGCCAAAUUGGGAAGGACCUUAUGUUGUAAAGAAGGCCUUUUCUGGAGGAGCAUUAAUUUUGAGUGAGAUGGAUGGUAAAAACCUGCCUAAUCCUGUAAACUCAGAUUCAGUCAAGAAAUACUUCACCUCUAAUUAGAAAACCCUAGCAGUAGACCAGCAACCAUCGCUAUUCUCUACGCGCCUCCAGCUGGGUGUACCUGCAAAACAAACGAAACCAACAAGGACAACAAGGAAAGGCAAUAACAAAAAAGGAGCAAGCAAAUGAAAAAAGAGAAUAAAAGAAAAUGAGAUUUUUCUUUCUUAUAAUUUUAUUUUUUGUUUUUCUCGGCUAUAUAAGGCCAAAUAAUCUGUAAAAAAAGGGGGAGAAAUUAAAAAAAAAGCAGUAAACAAAAUCAAUCACAGUUUUCGAAGGUGAUCUGAAUUUUUUAUUUAAUUUCUUUGUUGUUUUCCUUAGUUUUUUCGUUGAUGCUUGCUUACUGUUUAAGAAAAGAAACACAAAAAAGGCGAGGGUUUACCUUAUUGUCGGUGCCGAUUGGAUCUUUGUUCACUUCGUCGAAAUAGACUCUCAAGCGAGGGUUGUAAGGCCGAAGAUCGAAGGAGCUGUCGGUGGCAUGGGAAUGGGUUCAAAAACCCUAGCAGAGGAAAAAUGGGAUAAUAAUUUUUUUAAAGAAUGAUAGAAAGUAGUUUUUUUUUAAAUUGUUGAUUUUAUAUUAGGUAUGAAACGACGUCAUUUAAAGCAUGUUUCAGUGGCCUCAAAAUGGUGUCGUAUAAGGCCAUGACCCGCGCGGUGACCCGACCUAAGGGAAGGUUCCGCGUGUUUUUUAUUGAUGGGUAAUUUGCAUCUCUGGUCUCGCCGCAUUUUUAUUUAUUUUAAUUCAGUUUUUUUCAUUUUUUCAAUUGAUACUGUAAAUUUUAUUCGGUUUCUGAUUCGGUCUUGAUGAAACGACGCAUUUCAGAGGGCGAGAAUAUUUCUCCAUUCAAUCCCUUUGAGUUAUUCGCGCCUUUCAAUUGGACCUUUCAUUUUGUUCUAUUUUCAUUUUUUCCCUUUAAUUUUGUUUUGAGUUUAAUUUAAUCCAUACUUAUUUCAUUUAAUGUACUUGAUUUUUAUUCUGUUUAAAAUCCAUUUUUCUGUUAUUUUUAGAUAUAUUUAUUUUUAAAUGUAACUUUCUUUUUAGGACAUUCUACAUUCAUUCAUACACCUCUAAUUAGGAUAUUUUGAUUUAUUCAGAUCAUAACAUCCUACUCAUUAGGCAUAAAUAGGCCUAUGCAAUGAUUAUACAAGCCAUGUUCCCUAGAGAACAGAUUAGUGAAACCACAAAUCCCAUACCACUGAAGUCGCAGUAGAAUGGUUUGAAGAAGAUGGCGAAUCUAAUAUCCCUGAAGUUACGGUGGAGUAAAUUAAAGCCCAUAAUCUCAUUUCUUUGGCGUUUUAGUGGAAUAGAUUAAAGCUAAAGGCAACAAAUCUUAUUUCCCUGACGUCGCAGAAGAUUAAAGCUGAAGGCACCAAAUCUCAUUUCCAUGAUGUUGUAGUGGAACAGAUUAAAGCUAAAGCCAACGAAUUUUAUUUCCUUGGGAUCGCAGUAGAUUAAACCUGAAGGUAGUGAAUCUCAUUUCCUUGGCUUGUAGUGGAAUAAAUUAAAGCUGAAGGCAGCAAAUCUUAUUUCCCUAGCGUCGUAGUAGAUUAAAGCUGAAGGCAGCGAAUCUCAUUUUCUUGGCAUUGUAGUGGAACAGAUUAAAGUUGAAGGCAGCGAAUCUUAUUUCCCUAGUGUCGCAAUAGAUUAAAGCUGAAUGCAGCGGAUCUUAUUUCCUUGGCGUUGUAGUGGAACAAAUUAAAGCUGAAGGCAGUGAAUCUUAUUUUCCUGGCGUCGCAGUAGAUUAAAGCUAAAGGCAGCGAAUCUCAUUUCCUUGGCGUUACAGUGGAACAGAUUAAAGCUGGAGCCAACGAAUCUUAUUUCUCUAGCGUCACAGUAGAUUAAAGCUGAAGGCAGCGAAUCUUAUUUCCCUAGCGUCGCAGUGGGAUGGUUUGAGGUUAUCAUGGCAGAUCUUAUCUCUAUUAAGUUUCAGUGGAGCAGAUUAAAGCCACAAACCUUAUCCCUCUGAAGUUGCAGUGGGGCAGGUUGAAGAGACAAAUCUUAUUUUCCUAGCAUCGCAGUGGAAUGGUUUGAAGAAGAUGACGAAUCUUAUAACCCUGAAGUUGCAGUGGAGUAGAUUAAAGCCGAUAAUCUUAUUUCUUUUGCGUUGUAGUGGAACAGAUUAAAGCUAAAGGCAGCAAAUCUUAUUUCCCUUGCGUCGCAGUAGAUUAAAGCUAAAGGCAGCGAAUCUUAUUUUCCUGGCGACGCAGUAGAUUAAAGCUGAAGGCAACGAAUCUCCUUUUCUUGGUGUUGUAGUGAAACAGAUUAAUGUUGAGGGCAGCAAAUCUUAUUUACUUGGCGUCGCAGUAGAUUAAAGUUGAAGGCAGCGAAUCUCAUUUCCUUGGCGUUGUAGUGGAAUGGAUUAACGCUAAAGGCAGCGAAUCUGAUUUCUCUGGCGUCGCAGUAGAUUAAAGCUGAAGGCAGCGAAUCUUAUUUCCCUAGCGUCACAGUAGAUUAAAUCAGAAGGAAACGAGUAGGAUGGUUUGAAGUUAUCAUGGCAGAUUUUAUCUCCUUGAAGUCGUAGUAGAACAGAUUAAAGCCACAAACCAUAUCCCUCUGAAGUUGCAGUGGGGCAGGUUGAAGAGACAAAUAUUAUUUUCCUGAAGUUACAGUGGAAUGAUUUGAAGAAGAUGAUGAAUCUUAUAUCCCUAAAGUUGUAGUGGAGUAGAUUAAAGCCAAUAAUCUCAUUUCUUUAGCGUUGUAGUGGAAUAGAUUAAAGCUGAAGGCAACAAAUCUUAUUUCCUUGGGAUCGGAGUAGAUGAAAACUGAAGGCAUCAAAUCUUAUUUUCCUAGCGUCGCAGUAGAUUAAAGCUAAAGGUAGCGAAUCUCAUUUCCCUCGCGUUGCAGUGGAACAGAUUCAAGUUGAAGGUAGUAAAUCUUAUUUCCCUAGCGUCGUAGUAGAUUAAAGCUGAAGGCAGUGAAUCUCAUUUCCUUGGCGUUGCAGUGGAAUAGAUUAAAGCUGAAGGUAGCGAAUCUUAUUUCGCUGGGGUCACAGUAGAUUAAAGCUGAAUGAAUCUCAUUUCCUUGGCGUUGCAGUGGAACAGAUUAAAGUUGAAGGUAACGAAUCUUAUUUCCUGGGGUCGAAGUAGAUUAAAGCAGAAGGAAGCGAAUCUUAUUUCUUUGGCGUUGCAGUGGAACAGAUUAAAUCUGAAGGCAGCGAAUCUUAUUUCCCUGGAGUCGUAGUAGAUUAAAGCUAAAGGCAGCAAAUCUUAUUUCCCUGCCGUUGUAGUAAAUUAAAGUUGAAGGCAGCGAAUCUCAUUUCUUUGGCAUUGGCGUCGCAGUAGAUUAAAGCUGAAGGCAGCGAAUCCUAUUUCCCUGGCGUGGCAGUAGAUUAAAUCAGAAGGACACGAGUCUUAUUCCCUCAGCGUUGCAGUGGAACAGAUUAAAGUUGAAGCCAGCGAAUUUUAUUUCCCCGGCGUCGCUGUAGAUUAAACCUGAAGGCCGCGAAUCUUAUUUCCUUUUCGUUGCAGUAGAACAGAUUAAAGCUGAAGCAGUGAAUCUUAUUUCCCUGGCGUCGUAGUAGAUUAAAACUGAAGGCAGUGAAUCUUAUUUCGAUUGCGUUGUAGUGGAACAGAUUAAAGCUGAAGGUAGUAAAUCUUAUUUCCCGAGCGUCACAGCAGAUUAAAGCUGAAGGCAGCAAAUCUCUUUUCCCUGGCAUUGCAGUGGAACUGAUUAAAGCUGAAUGUAGUAAAUCUUAUUUCCCUGGCAUCGUAGUAGAUUAAAGCUGAAGGCGGUGAAUCUUAUUUCCUUAGCGUUGCAGUGGAACAGAUUAAAGCUAAAGGCAGCGAAUCUUAUUUACCUGGAGUCGUAGUAGAUUAAACUUGAAGGCAGCGAAUCUCAUUUACCUGGAGUCGUAGUAGAUUAAACUUGAAGGCAGCGAAUCUCAUUUCCCUGGUGUUGCAGUAGAUUAAAGCUGAAGGAAGCAAAUCUUAUUCCUUUGGCAUCACAGUGGAACAAAUUAAAGCUGAAGGCAGCGAAUCUCAUUUCCCUAACGUCGUAAUAGAUUAAAGCUGAAGGCAUCGAAUCUUAUUUCCUAAGCGUUGCAGUGGAACAGAUUAAACCUGAAGCCAGUGAAUCUUAUUUCCCUGGCGUCGCAGUAGGUUAAAGCUGAAUGCAGCGAAUCUCAUUUNNNNNNNNNNNNNNNNNNNNNNNNNNNNNNNNNNNNNNNNNNNNNNNNNNNNNNNNNNNNNNNNNNNNNNNNNNNNNNNNNNNNNNNNNNNNNNNNNNNNUUUGGUCAUUGCAGUGGAACAAAUUAAGGCUAAAGGCAGUGAAUCUUAUAUCCCUAGCGUCGCAGUAAGCAAAAGUUGAAGGCAGAGAAUCUUAUUUCCUUGGCGUUGCAGUGGAACAUAUUAAAGUUGAAGGCAGUAAAUCUUAUUUCCUUGGCGUUGCAGUGGAACAGAUUAAAACUGAAGGUAGCGAACUUUAUUUCCAUGUCGUCACAGUAAAUUAAAGUUGAAGGUAGCAAAUCUUAUUUCCUUAGCAUUGCAAUGGAACAGGUUAAAGCUGAAGGCGGCGAAUCUCAUCUCCUUGCCGUUGUAGUGGAACAGAUUAAAGCUGAAGGCAAGGAAUCUUAUUUCCCUGGCACCGCAAUAGACUAAAGGUAAAGGCGGUGAAUCUUACUUCCUUGGCGUUUCAGUAGAAUAGAUUAAAGCUGAAGGCAGCGAAUCUUAUUUCCCUGCUGUUGCAGUAGAACAGAGUAAAGCAGAAGGCAACAAAUCUUAUUUCCCUGACGUCGCAGUAGACUAAAGCUAAAGCCAACGACUCUUAUUUCCCCGGCGUUGCAGUGGAACAGAUUAAAGCUGAAAGCAGCGAAUUCCAUUUCCUUGGCAUUGCAGUGGAACAAAUUAAAGCUGAAGGCAGCAAAUCUUAUUUCCUUGGCAUCGCAUUAGGUGAAAGCUGAAGGCAGCAAAUCUCAUUUCCUUGGCGUUGCAGUUGAACUGAUUAAAGUUGAAGGCAGCAAAUCUUAUUUCGCUGGCGUCAGAGUAGAUUAAAACUUAAGGCAGUGAAUCUUAUUUCCUUAGCGUUGCAGUGGAACAUAUUAAAGCUGAAGGCAAUAAAUAUUAUUUCCUUGGCAUUGUAGUAGAACAGAUUAAAGCUGAAGGCAGCGAAUCUUAUUUCCCUGUCAUCGCAGUAGAUUCAAGCUGAAGGUAGCGAAUCUUAUUUCGUUGGCGUUGCAGUGGAACAGAUUAUAGUUGACGGCAGCGAAUCCCAUUUUCUUGGCAUUGCAGUGGAUCAAAUUAAAAUUGAAGGUAGCAUUUCUUUGGUGUUGCAGUGGAACAGAUUAAAGCUGAAGGCAGGGAAUCUUAUUUCCCUGUCGUCACAGUUGAUUAAAGUUGAAGGCAGCAAAUUUUAUUUCCUUGGAGUUGUAGUAGAACAGAUUCAAGCGGAAGGCACCAAAUCUUAUUUCCCUGACGUCGCAAUAGACUAAAGCUAAAGCCAGCGAAUCUUAUUUCCUUAGCAUUGCAGUAGAACAGAUUAAAGCUGACGACAGCGAAUUACAUUUCCUUGGCAUUACAGUGGAACAAAUUAAAGCUAAAAGAAGCAAAUCUUAUUUCCUUGGCGUCGUAUUAGAUUAAAACUGAAGGCAGCAAAUCUCAUUUCCUUGGCGUACUAGUGGAAAAGCAGAAGGCAGCAAAUCUUAUUUCUCUAGCAUCGUAGUAGAUUAAAGCUGAAGGCAACAAAUCUCAUUUCCCUGGCGUUGCAGUGGAACAGAUUAAAGCUGAAGCAGUGAAUUUUAUUUCCCUGGCGUCGUAGUAGAUUAAAACUGAAGGCAGUGAAUCUUAUUUCGAUUGCGUUGUAGUGGAACAAAUUAAAGCUGAAGGUAGUAAAUCUUAUUUCCCUAGCGUCACAGCAGAUUAAAGCUGAAGGCAGCAAAUCUCUUUUCCCUGGCAUUGCAGUGGAACAGAUUAAAGCUGAAUGUAGUAAAUCUUAUUUCCCUGGCAUCGUAGUAGAUUAAAGCUGAAGGCGGUGAAUCUUAUUUCCUUAGCGUUACAGUGGAACAGAUUAAAGCUAAAGGCAGCGAAUCUUAUUUACCUGGAGUCGUAGUAGAUUAAACUUGACGGCAGCGAAUCUCAUUUUCCGGGUAUUGCAGUAGAUUAAAGCUGAAGGAAGCGAAUCUUAUUCCUUUGGCAUCACAGUGGAAUAGAUUAAAGCUGAAGGCAUCGAAUCUUAUUUCCUAAGCGUUGCAGUGGAACAGAUUAAACCUGAAGCCAGUGAAUCUUAUUUCCCUAGCGUCGCAGUAGGUUAAAGCUGAAUGCAGCGAAUCUCAUUUUCUUGGCAUUGCAGUGGAACAAAUUAAGGCUAAAGGCAGUGAAUCUUAUAUCCCUAGCGUCGCAGUAAGCAAAAGUUGAAGGCAGAGAAUCUUAUUUCCUUGGCGUUGCAGUGGAACAUAUUAAAGUUGAAGGCAGUAAAUCUUAUUUCCUUGGCGUUGCAGUGGAACAGAUUAAAACUGAAGGUAGCGAACUUUAUUUCCAUGUCGUCACAGUAAAUUAAAGUUGAAGGUAGCAAAUCUUAUUUCCUUAGCAUUGCAAUGGAACAGGUUAAAGCUGAAGGCGGCGAAUCUCAUCUCCUUGCCGUUGUAGUGGAACAGAUUAAAGCUGAAGGCAAGGAAUCUUAUUUCCCUGGCACCGCAAUAGACUAAAGCUAAAGACGGUGAAUCUUAUUUCCUUGGCGUUUCAGUAGAACAGAUUAAAGCUGAAGGCAGCGAAUCUUAUUUCCCUGCCGUUGCAGUAGAACAGAGUAAAGCAGAAGGCAACAAAUCUUAUUUCCCUGACGUCGCAGUAGACUAAAGCUAAAGCCAACGACUCUUAUUUCCCCGGCGUUGCAGUGGAAUAGAUUAAAGCUGAAAGCAGCGAAUUCCAUUUCCUUGGCAUUGCAGAGGAACAAAUUAAAGCUGAAGGGUGCAAAUCUUAUUUCCUUGGCAUCGCAUUAGAUGAAGGCUGAAGGCAGCAAAUCUCAUUUCCUUGGCGUUGCAGUUGAACUGAUUAAAGUUGAAGACAGCAAAUCUUAUUUCGUUGCCGUCAGAGUAGAUUAAACCUUAAGGCAGUGAAUCUUAUUUCCUUAGCGUUGCAGUGGAACAUAUUAAAGCUGAAGGCAAUAAAUCUUAUUUCCUUGGCGUUGCAGUUGAACUGAUUAAAGUUGAAGGCAGCAAAUCUUAUUUCGCUGGCGUCAGAGUAGAUUAAACCUUAAGGCAGUGAAUCUUAUUUCCUUAGCGUUGCAGUGGAACAUAUUAAAGCUGAAGGCAAUAAAUCUUAUUUCCUUGACAUUGUAGUAGAACAGAUUAAAGCUGAAGGCAGCGAAUCUUAUUUCCCUGUCAUCGCAGUAUAUUCAAGCUGAAGGUAGCGAAUCUUUUUUCGUUGGCGUUGCAGUGGAACAGAUUAUAGCUGACGGCAGCGAAUCCCAUUUUCUUGGCAUUGCAGUGGAUCAAAUUAAAAUUGAAGGCAGCAAAUCUUAUUUCCUUGGCAUUGCAUUAGAUUAAAGCUGAAGGUAGCAAAUCUCAUUUCUUUGGUGUUGCAGUGGAACAGAUUAAAGCUGAAGGCAGCGAAUCUUAUUUCCCUGUCGUCGCAGUUGAUUAAAGUUGAAGGCAACAAAUUUUAUUUCCUUGGAGUUGUAGUAGAACAGAUUCAAGCAUAAGGCACCAAAUCUUAUUUCCCUGACGUCGCAAUAGACUAAAGCUAAAGCCAGCGAAUCUUAUUUCCUUAGCAUUGCAGUAGAACAGAUUAAAGCUGACGACAGCGAAUUACAUUUCCUUGGCAUUACAGUGGAACAAAUUAAAGCUGAAAGAAGCAAAUCUUAUUUUCUUGGCGUCGUAUUAGAUUAAAGCUGAAGGCAGCGAAUCUCAUUUCCUUGGCGUAGUAGUGGAAAAGCAGAAGGCAGCAAAUCUUAUUUCUCUAGCGUCGUAGUAGAUUAAAGCUGAAGGCAACAAACCUCAUUUCCCUGGCGUUGCAGUGGAACAGAUUAAAGCUGAAGCAAUGAAUCUUAUUUCCCCGGCGUCGUAGUAGAUUAAAACAGAAGGCAGUGAAUCUUAUUUCGAUUGCGUUGUAGUGGAACAAAUUAAAGCUGAAGGUAGUAAAUCUUAUUUCCCUAGCGUCACAGCAGAUUAAAGCUGAAGACAGCAAAUCUCUUUUCCCUGGCAUUGCAGUGGAACAGAUUAAAGCUGAAUGUAGUAAAUUUUAUUUCCCUGGCAUCGUAGUAGAUUAAAGCUGAAGGCGGUGAAUCUUAUUUCCUUAGCGUUGCAGUGGAACAGAUUAAAGCUAAAGGCAACGAAUCUUAUUUACCUAGAGUCGUAGUAGAUUAAACUUGAAGGCAGCGAAUCUCAUUUCCCUGGUGUUGCAGUAGAUUAAAGCUGAAGGAAGCGAAUCUUAUUCCUUUGGCAUCACAGUGGAACAAAUUAAAGCUGAAGGCAGCGAAUCUCAUUUCCCUAACGUCGUAAUAGAUUAAAGCUGAAGGCAUCGAAUCUUAUUUCCUAAGCGUUGCAGUGGAACAGAUUAAACCUGAAGCCAGUAAAUCUUAUUUCCCUGGCGUCGCAGUAGGUUAAAGCUGAAUGCAGCGAAUCUCAUUUUCUUGGCAUUGGAGUGGAACAGAUUAACGCUAAAGGCAGUGAAUCUUAUAUCCCUAGCGUCGCAGUAAGCUAAAGUUGAAGGCAGAGAAUCUUAUUUCCUUGGCGUUGCAGUGGAACAUAUUAAAGUUGAAGGCAGUAAAUCUUAUUUCCUUGGCGUUGCAGUGGAACAGAUUAAAACUGAAGGUAGCGAACUUUAUUUCCAUGUCGUCGCAGUAAAUUAAAGCUGAAGGUAGCAAAUCUUAUUUCCUUAGCAUUGCAAUGGAACAGGUUAAAGCUGAAGGCGGCGAAUCUCAUCUCCUUGCCGUUGUAGUGGAAUAGAUUAAAGUUGAAGGCAAUGAAUCUUAUUUCCCUGGCACAGCAAUAGACUAAAGGUAAAGGCGGUGAAUCUUAUUUCCUUGGCGUUUCAGUAGAACAGAUUAAAGCUGAAGGCAGUGAAUCUUAUUUUUUCUGUCAUUGCAGUAGAACAGAGUAAAAGCAGAAGGCAACAAAUCUUGUUUCCCUGACGUUGCAGUAGACUAAAGCUAAAGCCAACGACUCUUAUUUCCCCGGCGUCGCAGUGGAACAGAUUAAAGCUGAAAGCAGCGAAUUCCAUUUCCUUGGCAUUGCAGUGGAACAAAUUAAAGCUGAAGGCAGCAAAUCUUAUUUCCUUGGCAUCGCAUUAGGUGAAAGCUAAAGGCAGCAAAUCUCAUUUCCUUGGCGUUGUAGUUGAACUGAUUAAAGUUGAAGGCAGCAAAUCUUAUUUCGCUGGCGUUAGAGUAGAUUAAACCUUAAGGCAGUGAAUCUUAUUUCCUUAGCGUUGCAGUGGAACAUAUUAAAGCUGAAGGCAAUAAAUCUUAUUUCCUUGGCAUUGUAGUAGAACAGAUUAAAGCUGAAGGCAGCGAAUCUUAUUUCCCUGUCAUCGUAGUAGAUUCAAGCUGAAGGUAGCGAAUCUUAUUUCGUUGGCGUUGCAGUGGAACAGAUUAUAGCUGACGGCAGCGAAUCCCAUUUUCUUGACAUUGCAGUGGAUCAAAUUAAAAUUGAAGGUAGCAAAUCUUAUUUCCUUGGCGUCGCAUUAGAUUAAAGCUGAAGGUAGCAAAUCUCAUUUCUUUGGUGUUGCAGUGGAACAGAUUAAAGCUGAAGGCAGCGAAUCUUAUUUCCCUGUCGUCGCAGUUGAUUAAUGUUGAAGGCAGCAAAUUUUAUUUCCUUGGAGUUGUAGUAGAAUAGAUUAAAGCAGAAGGCACCAAAUCUUAUUUCCCUGACGUCGCAAUAGACUAAAGCUAAAGCCAGCGAAUCUUAUUUCCUUAGCAUUGCAGUAGAACAGGUUAAAGCUGACGACAGCGAAUUACAUUUCCUUGGCAUUACAGUGGAACAAAUUAAAGCUGAAAGAAGCAAAUCUUAUUUCCUUGGCGUCGUAUUAGAUUAAAGUUGAAGGCAGCGAAUCUCAUUUCCUUGGCGUAGUAAUGGAAAAGCAGAAGGCAGCAAAUCUUAUUUCUCUAGCGUCGUAGUAGAUUAAACCUGAAGGCAACAAAUCUCAUUUCCCUGGCGUUGCAGUGGAACAGAUUAAAGUUGAAGCCAAUAAAUCUUAUUUCCCUGGCAUCGCAGCAGAUUAAAGCUGAAGGCAGCGAAUCUCAUUUCCUUAGUGUUGCAGUGGAACAGAUUAAAGCUAAAGGUAGCGAAUCUUAUUUCUCUGCUGGCGCAGUAAAUUAAAGCUGAAGGAAGUGAAUCUUAUUUCCUUGGCGUUGUAGUGGAACAGAUUAAAGUUAAAGGCAACAAAUCUUAUUUCCCUGGCGUCGCAGUAGAUUCAAGUUGAAGGCAGUGAAUCUCAUUUCAUUUGCAUUGCAGUAGAAUAGAUUAAAGCUGAAUGCAGCAAAUCUUAUUUCCCUGGCAUCGCAGUAGAUUAAAGAUGAAGGCAGCGAGUCUUAUUUCCUUAGCGUUGUAGUGGAAUAGAUUAAAGCAGAAGGCAGUGAAUCUUAUUUCCCUAGCGUCGCAGUAGGUUAAAGCUGAAGCCAGAGAAUCUCAUUUUUUUGUAGUCGCAGUGGAACAGAUUAAAGCUGGCGGUAACAAAUCUUAUUUCCCUAGCGUCGCAGUAGAUUAAAGCAGGAGGCAACAAAUUUCAUUUCCCUAGCAUUGUAGUGGAACAGAAUAAAGCUGAAGGUAGUAAAUAUUAUUUCCCUAGCGUCGCAGUAGAUUAAAGCUGAAGGUAACGAAUCUCAUCUCCUUGGUAUUGCAGCGGAACAGAUUAAAACUGAAGGCAGCAAACCUUAUUUCCCUGGCGUCGCAGUAGACUAAAGAUAAAGCCAGUGAAUCUUAUUUCCCUGGCGUUGCAGUGGAACAGAUUAAAGCUGAUGACAGCGAAUCUCCUUUCCUUGGCGUUGUAGUGGAACAAAUUAAAGCUGAAGGCAACAAAUCUUAUUUCCUUAACGUCACAUUAGAUUAAAGCUAAAGGUAGCAAAUCUCAUUUCCUUAGUGUUGCAGUGGAACAGAUUAAAGUAGGAGGCAACAAAUCUUAUUUCUCUAGCGUCGCAGUAGAUUAAAGCUAAAGGCAGGAAAUAUCAUUUCCCUGGCAUUGCAGUGGAACAAAUUAAAGUUAAAGGCAGUAAAUUUUAUUUCCCUGGCAUCGCAGUAGAUUAAAGCUGCACGUAGCAAAUCUUAUUUCCUUGGUGUUGCAGUGGAAUAGAUUAAAGUUGAAGGCAGCGAAUCUUAUUUCCCUGGCAUCGCAGUAGAUUAAAGCUGAAGGCAGUGAAUCUUAUUUCAUUUCCGUUGCAGUGGAAUAGAUUAAAGCUAAAGGCAGCGAAUCUCAUUUCCAUUGCAUUGCAGUGGAAGAAAUUAAAGCUGACGGCAGCAAAUCUUUUUUCCCUAGCGUCGCUCUAGAUUAAAUUUAAAGGCAUCGAAUCUCAUUUCCCUGGCGUUGCACUGGAACAUAUUAAAGCUGAAAGAAGUAAUCUUAUUUUCCUGACGUCACAGUAGAUUAAAGCUGAAGGCAGCGAAUCUCAUUUUCUUGGCAUUCGAGUGGAACAGAUUAAAGCUAAAGGAAGCGAAUCUUAUUUACCUGGCGUCGCAGUAGAUUAAAGUUGAAAGCGGUGAAUCUUAUUUCUCUGGCUUCACAGUAGAUUAAAGUUGAAGGCAGUGAAUCUCAUUUCUUUGGCAUUGUAGUGGAACAGAUUAAAGCUGAAGGCAGCGAAUCUUAUUUCAUUGACGUCGCAGUAGAUUAAAGCUAAAGGAAACGAAUCUUAUUUUCUUAAUUUUGCAGUAGAACAAAUUAAAGUUGAAGCCAACAAAUAUUAUUUCUCUGUCGUCUUAGUAGAUUAAAACUAAAGGCAGCGAAUCACAUUUCCUUGGCAUUGCAGUGGAACAGAUUAACACUGAAGGCAGCGAAUCUUAUUUCCCUAGCAUCGCAGUAGACUAAAGCUGAAGGCGGAGAAUGUUAUUUCCAUGGCGUUGCAGUGGAACAGAUUAAAGCUGAAGGCAGUGAAUCUUAUUUCCCUUACAUCGUAGUAAAUUAAAGUUGAAGGCAGUGAAUCUUACUUUCUGGGCAAUACAGUGGAACAGUUUAAAGCUGAAGGCAGCGAAUCUUAUUUCCUUGGCGUCGCAGUAGAUUAAAGCUGAAGGCAGCAAAUCUUAUUUCCUUGGCGUUGCAGUGGGAUGGUUUGAAGUUAUCAUGGUAGAUCUUAUCUCCCUGAACUUGCAGUGGAGCAGAUUAAAGCCACAAACCUUAUCCCCCUGAAGUUGCAGUAGAGCAGAUUAAAGCCACAACCCUUAUCCCCAUGAAGUUGCAGUGGAGCAGAUUGAAACCACCAGUCUUAUUUCCCUGAAGUUGCAGUGGAGCAGACUAAAACCACAAAUCUCUUCCCCUUUGAAAUCGCGACAGAGUAUAUUGAAGCUACGAUUCGUAUCUGAAGUUGCAGUAGAGUGGAUCAAAGCAACAAGAUGCAGUGGGCUAGAAUUAGGCUACUUGAUGAAGAGAAGCACCAAGUAAGGUGAAGACUCGGCAAGACUAGGAAAAAUUAGCCCUUUUUGAGUCUUUGCUCCAUUUUCGUUACACGACAAUGAGCAAAGAGGAGCAACUGUAAUAGGCCAAUUUUGGCCUGGCCAAAAUUAACCAAAUUAAAAAAGAAACCAAAUAUAAAAAUUAACAAUUGACCAAUAACAGUCCAGAGUUACAGUGGUCCAAUUAACCCAAGAUUAAAUAGCAGUCCAAAACCUCUAGCUCAAUUACAACUAGCCCAAAACCAAUAGCCAAAGAAAUACCAGAAAACCCUACCAGUAGACCAACAGCUGCCGCCAUUCCCCACGCGCACAACGCCCCCACGUGCCUCCAGCUGGCUGUACCUGCAAAACAAAUGAAACCAACAAGGGCAACAAGGAAAGGCAAUAACAAAAAAAGAGCUAGCAAAUGAAAAAGGAGAAUAAUAGAAAAUAAGAUAUUUCUUUCUUGUAAUUUUAUUAUUUUAUUUUUAUCGGCUAUAUAAGGCCGAAUAAUCUGUAAAAAAGGGGGAGAAAAUUAAAAAAAGCAAUAAAAAAUCGAUCACAGUUUUUAAAAGUGAUCUAAAUUUCUUUUUUUCCAUUUAACUUUUUUGCUAUUUUCCUUAGUUUUUUUCGUUGAUGCUUGUUUACUGUUUAAGAAAAAAUACACAAAAAAGGGGUGAGGGUUUACCUUAGUGUUGGUGCCGAUUGGAUCAUUGUUCAUUUCGUUGCAAUCAAAGCUCAAGCGAGGGUUGUAAAGCUGAAGCCAGCAAAUCUUAUUUCCCUGGCGUCGCAGUAGAUUAAAGCUGAAGGCAGCGAAUCUGAUUUCCUUUGCGUUGCAGAGGAACAGAUUAAAGCUGAAGGCAGCAAAUCCUAUUUCCCUGGUGUCACAGUAGAUUAAACCUGAAGGUAGCGAAUCAUAUUGCCUUGGCGUUGCAGUGGAACAGAUUAAAGUUGAAGGCAGUAAAUCUUAUUUCCCUGGCGUCGCAGUAGAUUAAAGCUGAAGACAACGAAUCUCAUUUCCUUGGCGUUACGGUGGAAUAGAUUAUAGCUGAAGGUACCAAAUCUUAUUUCCCUGGCGUCAUAGUAGAUUAAAGCUAAAGGCAGCGAAUCUCAUUUCCUUGGCGUUACAGUGGAACAGAUUAAAGCUGAAUGUAGUAAAUCUUAUUUCCUUGGCGUCGCAGUAGAUUAAAGCUGAAGGUAGUGAAUCUUAUUUCCUUGGCGGUGUAGUGGAAUAGAUUGAGGCUGAAGGUAACAAAUCUUAUUUCCUUGGCCUCGUAGUAGAUUAAAGCUAAAGGUAGCGAAUCACAUUUCUUUGGUAUUGCAGUGGAACAGAGUAAACCUUAAGGCAGCGAAUCUUAUUUCCCUGGCGUUGCAGUAGAUUAAAGCUGAAGGCAGCGAAUCUCAUUUCUUUGGCAUUGUAGUGGGAUAGAUUAAAGUUGAAGGCAGCGAAUCUUAUUUCCCCGACGUCGUAGUAGAUUAAAAGUGAAUGCAGCAAAUCUCAUUUCAUUGGCGUUGCAGUGGAACAGUUUAAAGCUAAAGGCAGCGAAUCUUAUUUCCCUAGUGUCGAAAUAGAUUAAAGCUGAAGGCAGCAAAUCUCAUUUCCUUGGCGUUGCAAUGAAACAGAUUAAAAUUGAAGGUAACGAAUCUUAUUUCCUUGGCAUCACAGUAGAUUAAAGCUCAAGGCAGAGAAUCUUAUUUCCUUGGCGUUACAAUGGAACAGAUUAAAGCUGAAGGCAGCGAAUCUUAUUUCCCUGGCAUCAUAGUGGGAUGGUUUGAGGUUAUCAUGGUAGAUCUUAUCUCCCUGAAGUUGCAGUGGAGCAGAUUAAAGCCACAAACCUUAUCCCCUUGAAGUUGCAGUGAGGCAGGUUGAAGUGACAAAUCUUAUCUUCCUGAAGUUGCAAUGGAGUAGAUUGAAGCCACCAGUCUUAUUUCCCUAAAGUUGCAGUGGAGCAGACUAAAACCACAAAUCUCGUCCCCUUUAAAAUCGCGACAGAGUAGAUUGAAGCUACGAGUUGUAUCUGAAGUUGCAGUAAAGUGGAUCGAAGUAACAAGAUGCAGUGGGUUGGAAUUAGGCUACUUGAAGAAGAGAAGCACCAAAAGAGGUGAAGAAUCUGUAAGACUAGGCAAAAUUGUCCCUUUUCUAGUCUUUGCUCCAUUUUCGUUACACGACAACGAGCAAAAAAGGGCAGUUGUAAUAGGCCAAUUUUGGCCUGGCCCAAUAUUAACCAAAUUAAAAAAGAAACCAAAUAUAAAAAUUAAUAAUUUUCCAAUAACAGUCUAGAGUUACAGUGGCCCAAUUAACCCAAGAUCAAACAGUAGCCCAAAACCCCUAGCCCAAUUACAAUAAGCCCAAAACCAAUAGCAAAAGAAAGACCAGAAAACCCUAGCAGCAGACCAGCAGCCAUCGCCGCUCUCCACGCGCGUCCAGCUGGCUGUACCCGUAAAACAAACAAAAUCAACAAGGAUAGAAAGGAAAGGCAAUAACAAAAAAAGAGCUAGAAAAUGAAAAAGGAGAAUAACAGAAAAUGAGAUUUUUCUUUCUUGUAAUUUUAUUUUUUGUUUUUCUCGGCUAUAUAAGGACGAAUAAUCUGUAAAAAAAGGGGGGAGAAAUUAAAAAAAGCAGUAAACAAAAUCAAUCACACUUUUCGAAGGUGAUCUAAAUUUUCUUUUUCAUUUAAUUUCUUUGUUGUUUUCCUUAGUUUUUUUUCGUUGAUGCUUGCUUACUGUUUAAGAAAAGAAACACAAAAAAGGGCGAGGGUUUACCUUAAUGUCGGCGCCUAUUGGAUCCUUGUUCGCUUCGUCGCAAUCGAAGCUCAAGCGAGGGUUGUAAGGCCGAAGAUUGGCAGAGCUUUCGGCGGCAUGGGAAUGGGUUCAAAAACCCUAGCAGAGGAAAAAGGGGAUAAUAGUUUUUUUUAAAUAAUGAUAGAAAGUAGUUUUUAAAAAAAAUUGUUGAUUUUUUAUUAGGUAUGAAACGGCGUCGUUUAAGGCCUAUUUUAGUGGCCUCAGAACUGUGUCGUAUAAAGCCAUGACCCACGUGGUGACCCGACCUAAGGGAAGGAUCCACGUGUUUUUUAUUGAUGGGUAAUUUGCAUCUCUGGUCCCGUCGCAUUUUUAUUUAUUUUAUUCAGUUGUUUUCAUUUUUUUCAAUUGAUACUGUAAAUUUUAUUCGGUUUCUGAUUCGGUCCUGAUGAAACGACGCGUUUUAGAAGGCGAGAAUAUUUCUCCAUUCAGUCCCUCUGAGUUAUUCGCACCUUUCAAUUGGCCCCUUCAUUUUGUUUUAUUUUCUUUUUUUUCCAUUUAAUUUUGUUUUGAGUUUAAUUUAAUCCAUGCUUAUUUAAUUUAAUGUACUUGAUUUUUAUUCUGUUUAAAAUCCAUUUUUUUAUUAUUUUUAAAUAUAUUUAUUUUUAAAUCUAACUUUCUUUUUAUGUUUAAGUUUAAUAUAUUUUUAAGUUUAUUAUCAAUAUUAGUUCAAUAUUAUAAUAUAUUAUUAUUCUAAAUUUAUCAUUAACAUUAUUUUAGGUGUAUCAUGUAUUUUUUAUUUAAAUUUAUCAUGUAUUAUCUUAUGCAUUCUUGUUGUAAUUUCAAUAUAAUUUAUACAUUUUUUUACGGUUUUAUUUUGUAAUACAUUUUUAGGUCAUUUUAUUUGUGAUAGGCUUUUAGGUCAUUAACUUUUAAAUAUUGGUGUUAAUAUUUACAUAUGAUGUGAGAUUAUUGUUAUUACGUACAUUGUAUUGCUUGUUUAUAUUGAUAGACUAUUCGCGUUCAUUUGUCCGUAUUUUGGCUUACAAAUUAUUCUUUCGAGUUAUACAUUGUCAUCUCAUUGUGUUUUAUUUGUCAAAAAUUUCAUUUCAUUUAAACAUUGAAAUCAUUUUAUUCAAAAGUUUCCAAAAUAAUGCAAUAAUCGGUAUUUGGAACUUCGAGAAAUCGUGCCCUAACUUACGGGGUUUCGAUUUCCUCGUCGAACUAAAACGGCCAAACAUUUUAGUUUUCAAAUACACAAAGUUUCAAUAAAAAUUUUUAAAGGUUAUCUUAUACUCGGGAAAUCCAACGUUGCAUCCUAACUUACAGGAUACGAUAUUUGGUUGCUCCGAGAUGAGAAGGCCUUUUUUACAUUCGUUCAAAUCUAUCCAAGAAUUAUUUUAAAAUAUGGCAUUAAUAAAAAGGGGAAAUCAUUUUUAAUCUCUUCGAAUUUUCAACAUUCGACUUUAAGACAUUAAAUAAUCAAUUCGGUACCAAUUUUGGGCGUUAUGAGGGUGCUAAUCCUUCCUCGUACGUAACUAACUCCCGAACCCGUUUUUACUAAAACUAGUAGACCAAAAUCAUUUUUAAGGUGAUCCGAUCACACCUCAAUAAAAGAUCGGUGGCGACUCCAAUUUUCAUUUUUUUUAAGUCGACAUUAUUUUUUAUUUUCAAAAAGUGGUUUCGACAGUCAACAUACAAGGAGAGUCUGUGUGUCAAGUCUAAGGAUUAUUUAUACUACCAAUACAAGGAGUAUUUCUAUAAACACUUAGGGGAUGUUUGGUUGAAGGUAAUGGUUAUGGCAUUACCUGUCUAUUACAAGCCUAUUCUACAGGCCCACUUAAGAUGUUUGGUUCAAGGGAAUACCCUAUUACACAUGUAUUCUGUUCCAGGCUUAAGUAGAGAUAAUUAGGGAUCUUUAUUCCCUUCCCUCUUCACCGUUUACCCAUUCGUUGCCAUAUGAACCCUAUUUUACCCUCACAAAUUCUUACCUCAAAAUCACUCGAACGACAACCAUUUCUUGCUUCCUUCGACUCCGACAUUCCUCCCCUUCAUCCAAGGUCAAGUAAACGUUUUUCCUUCUACUGUUACUUUCAUUUUCCUACCUGUCUAUUUUUUUCUUACCCAAGUUGCGUGCCAAGUGGGGGCAUUAAGGUGGCCUGGGACGAGAGAGAAUCGAACAACCAGUCGGCUUGGGAAGGGGUUGAGUAGGCCUUUGCUGGCUCAGCGUGUGAGAGGGAGGUAUGCCGAAACAGUGCAGUACAAUAACAUCAAAUUUCAAGUGUGGGGUUUAGGUAUGCCGAUCACUACUUCUUAAUCUGGAUCUUUAACAUGUAUAGUAUAUUUUUUAUAGUACUGUCCUGAAAGUUUGAUAAUAUUUUCUUAUCUAUUUGAUUAUUUGAAGGUAAAGAGAUGGCGAAGUUCAUAAUUUCUUAUAUCAAAGGCUUGAGAUAAUGCUUGUUGUUAUAAAUCUCAACUGUAUAAAGUAGCUUUAAUCCGCAACUUACAUGAUUCUUUUGCCUCUUGCCGAUAUCUUUAUAUGUCUGUUCUUGGUAUUUCUUUUGUAAAACCAUCAUAGUAGCAGCUUUAAGCAAAUUUACAACACUGAUCACUCUUUAUCAUCAAAGCUUUACUUUUCCGAUACUGGAUGAAAUAUGAUAUAGUGUGGGAUAUUCUGUCUCUAGCUGCCAAUCCAAAAGCUAUUUCUGCAAACUUAAGGUUCUCCUUUUCUGAUUCCAAGUUUGUUGUUAUUCAAAGCCACUGAACUUCGUCAAAACUAAUAGUACUAAGUUGUGGAAUUUUAAUGCUUUAUUAUUAGACUAAAAUGUAUUCAUUUAAUACCUUGUUCUGCAAUUUUUUCUUUCUUUUAUCUUUUGGAGCUUUAAUAUUUUAACACAAGUGAUGUCAAUUUUUUGUCUUGAUAAUAUCUUUAUUAUUUACUGAUGCAAGUGGACAGACAUAUAUCAAGUAACUUUCACAAACAUGCAUUGCUUUUAUAUUCCUUCAUUAUUUACUAAUAUUCUACUGGCCAAUGGCAACUUUGAAAUAAGAUGUUUGGUUUCUGGAAGCUCUCUGUAAAGUUUGUCUUUAUGAGUCUACAUCUGGCCGCUUAGAAAUUUAAUUAAGCUAAUAGUUUUUGCUCUUAAACUUAUAUGACAUUCUGUAAGUUCUUUUAAAUUGUAAAAGAGGUGUAUGCCUAGAUUUUAUAACUAUUGUUAUUAACAAUCCCAUGGCUAAUAAGUGAAUUUCCAUUUUCUUUUUACCUUUAGAACAAACUAACUUUGAGUCUGUCAUAGUAUCUCAAUAUUUUAUACAUGGGAUGCCACUAUUUGUACUACUUUUAUAAUUAGGACUUGGGAUUUAAUUUAUUAGCGUUAUUCCAGGUUAUCUCAAUGUCUAAAAGUGUUGAAAUGAAAUAAAAGUUUACAUCUAUGCUUUCCUGUGGUUCAUGACAGACGAAAAGGUUAAUCAUCCUAUUCAAUUUUAGUAUAUGGUUCAUAUUUUGUUCCCAUAUUCAAUAAAACGGUGCUUCUAGUAUAGGCCAGCCUCUGUAGUAACAUUUCAUGCAUUGUAAAUGAUAUAUAGAUUAUUUUGCUAUGGUAUAUCUUAUAAAUAUUAAUCAUCCUCUUUCUUAAAAACUUCCUAAAACCUUGCUAUGGUAUAUCUUAUAAAUAUUUCAUGCAUUGAAGAUAAUAUAUAGAUUACUUUGCAGGCGGCAACAUUGAUCUCAUGGUCUACUGUAGUAACAUUUGUGUUUUAGAAGUUUGACAAAAAGAAAGAAUGCUACAUGAAAACCUUCUUUCUGCUUCCUAGAAUGUGAUUCUGACUUGUUUAUAUGUCUGUAACCAACAACACUUACUUGGUGUUUACAAUAUCUUACUUCAUUUUUCAAUGCUUGUUUUAUGUAUUUCAUUAAUGCUUCUUCUGGACAAGUUUCAAGUGUAAAUCUUUUACAGGAAGAGGAGCUGAGCGAAGCAGCAGUUCUUAUUUUUCUUAAUUUUGCAGAUAAGCAGAUUGGUAAGUUUCAUGUCUCACAUGUAAUUCAUGUUAUCAUUGAAUAUACUUGGCAAAAUUGCCUUGCAGCCUAUGCUAUGAUGAGAUUCAUUGUAUGUAUUUAUAAGUAAGAACUUCAAAAUGAUUUAUGCCCGUGUUCUAUGCAUCUUUCAACAAUAGAAACUAGUUUUAAAUUAUAUUUAUCCACUCCUUGAACAAAUCAUCUUUUAAGUGGUAGAAUGCUGAGUCAUUUGUUCAUGCACAUUGAGUUGUUCAUCAUCAAAGUAAGGGAUCUGUGAACCUAUUUGAUCAUCCUCAGUAACUCCUAAAGGAAAUUAAUUUAUUGGUCAUCAUUGUAGGUUGAAGGUAGCAACAAGAAGGGGGAAAAAUAUCACUCAAGGGUGUGAUAAGAUAACAAUACCCUCCCAAUGUCUUUGUUGUAAGUUGGUUAUGUGUUCAACUUUGGAAAGAUGAAAUUUGUUAAUGGAAAAGGAAGCUGCCAAGUUAAAGAGCAGCACACCCUCGUAGGCUACCAAAUGUCAAGAGUCAAGAACAACAAAAAAAAUCAACAAAGAAAAGGGACAUAAACAAAUAUCUCCACUGGAAUGAUGAUACCAUUACUCUUUUCUAGUAAUACGGGAAAUACAAUAUAUCCAUGUUAAACUACAUUUACAAUUCAAAUUUGAUCUUUUUACUUUAAACAAGAAAGUUUUGGUUAUAUUUAAUUUUCGAUAUGUUUUUAUUUUUGAUAUGUUUCAUUUAAAACUAUUUUAAUCUUUUAAUAUAUUAUUAAACUAUUUUUAUUUUCGAUAUAUUUAAUUUAUGUUAUAUUUAAUUUUGGUCUUCAAAAAAUGUUUUAUAGUACUUAUAUUGUUUGAUUAAAAACUAUAAUUAACACUACAAAAAUUAUCUCAACAAACGAAACAAUAAAAAAAAAAAGUAAAAUGCUACAAACAAAUCAUGUUAUUGUAAGAAUGUAAUGUAUAUGGAGUUUUAGAUUUUAUUUAAAUAAAAUAAUAAUCGAAUAUUUUAAAAUACAUAAUUUUUAAGAUAUUUAACGCACUAUAUAUCAAUAAUCAAAUUGAGUUAAUACAAAAUAAAAGAAAUUAAGACCUAUUUUCUUUUCUCAUAAAAAUAUUAAAUUCAUAUUAAUCAAAUGGGUUUUUUUUAAAUAAUUAUUAAACAUCAGCCAUCAAUUAAUCAAAUCUUCAAAAACACAUUCUUUUCUUUUCUUUCUUUUUUUUCUUUUUUGGAUGAUUGAUAAAGAAAUGAAUGUCAAGUUUUUUACUCGCAAAGAUAGUUGUAAUUUCUAUUUUGUGCUUUGUAAAUAUUCUUAAUAUAUAUUGUUUAUUUUUCUUUGAUAGUGUGUUAUAGCUUCCUCUUCUUCUUUGGCUUGUUUGAUUGCUUCCUUCACUCAUAGUUGAGCGUCUUGUAUCCUGUGAGGGUGCACAAUAAAAUCAUUAUUGCAUGUUGUUUGCUCCAUAAGUUUAUUCGAACCUAUAUGAGUCUUGAUCCUAUUGAAGCGGAGUUGGGAGAAGGAUUACCUAGUAAUGUGAUAGAUGACGACAAACCGAAUAUCGUAAAUAUUCAUCCAUCGGAUGCAUGGGCUACUUGGAGGAUAGAACUAGCCAACCAAAUGUUUAUUCUACCAAUACAGGAAGUAUUUCUGUAAACACUAAGGUGUUUUUCACCCUAUAACCUUAUAUUAAUAUUUGUUACUUUUAUGAAAAUUUAAGUUUUAAAUAAUUUUUCGACUAAAUUAAUAUUAAAUUAGCUUGUAACACCAAUUUAAUAAAAUAUAUAAAACAAGCAUAAAUAUAAUUUCAUUAAAACCUGUCAAUAAAAAAAGUACCAUUAAUUCCUUUGAAGUCCUCACUUUUUGGGUCUUAAUGGGUGAGAAAUUUCUUAAAUAGAAACUGAAGACGAUAUUUUAAGUAAAGGGGACGUUAAAACCCAAGUCUUUGGAAAAUAAAUUGCAUCACGACUGAACCAAAAAUUCCCUUAAGUUAUAAUUAGGCACUUAAUGGAAAAGUAAGUCAACAAAAUAAUAGAAAAGGCUUGGGCACAAUUAAUUUAUACUCUAAUGUCUCGUGUAUAAUGCUAUAAGGAUAAUGCUUAUUUAUUAUUAUCUAUUAUAUAGAAAUAUGGACCAUCAGAAACAAAAAAAGCAAAGAUUCUAUCCUUUUAUUAUAUAUUAUUGAUACUAACAACAUAGAAAUUUCCAGGAAAAAGAAAGCACAACACAUGAAGUAAAUUACAUGACAUCGACUGAAGCAAUGAUAACAACUGGCCCCUACAACAAUUGCAACAAGACCUUGACUCCUAUAAUCACUUUCCUUAAAUUCUUCUCUUUGGAAACUAUAACAUAUAUGCUACUACUGAACCUUUAGCAAACAAUUAAGUUUACGUAAUUCAACAUGGCCUCAUCCUCAACCUUUUCCGUUAUUUUAGGUGUUGACACCAAUUUUUUUGUGAAAAUGGGGUCGACUUGAAUUUUGAAAACGAAAAUUAAAAUGGGAGUCGUCACCAAUCCUUUUUGAUAAGGUGUGAUCGGACCACAUUGAAAAGUGGUUGUUUAUAAUAAACAAUUUAAUUUUAUUAAAACAACGAUUUUGGUCCAUGAAAUUCAGAAAAAUAGGUUCGGAAGUCGGUUACGUACGGGGAAGGAUUAGCACCCUCGUAACGCCCAAAAUUGAUACCUAGUUGAUUAUUUAGUGUUUUUAGUGUCGAUGAUUGAAAACUUUAAAGAAUUUUAAAAAUACGAUCCUAAAAAUUUUCGAACAAUAUGGGUUGAAAUUUAGGAUUCUCUUGUUCCGAAAGAAUAUCACAUCCAGCACAUUAGGAUACGAUACUUUAAACUCUCGAAACCAAGAUCACCUUAUGGUUUCCAAAACCCAUACUUUGAAACUUUAAGAGGGUAUUUGGCUAUUUGGCUAAACGAGAAAUCGAAACCCAGCACAUUAGGCCACGUUUUCUCGAAUUUCUAAACACAAAAUAUUGCCUUAAUUUAAAAUUUUCUUUUUGUAUUUGGAUAAAAAUUAUAUCUGACGGAACAAUAAUUAUGAUAAUGUAAGUAAAAAUAAUACGAGCAAAACAAAAAUAAUAAAAGAUAAAUAAAAAAACAAAUCAAUCACGUACACAACAACAAGCAAAUAAACAAGUAAAAAAAACUAAAGCAUUUAAAGUAAUAAUAAUGGAUAUGUAGAUGAGCGAGUAAAUGAACAUCAAGUGAAGCCAUAAUAACAACAAAGAAAAUAGAUAAAAAUUAUAAAAUAUAAAAGUAUAUAUGUACAUAUAAGAGAAAUAUAUAUGUAUGUAUAUACAUAAAAUUAUGAAAAUAUGAAAAAUAUAUGUAUAUAUAUAUAUUUUAAAGAUGUAAAACAUAAAAAGAUAAACAUGUGUGUAUGUACAUACAUAUAUACGUAUAUAACAAUCAUGGAAUAUAAAAAGUAUAUAUGUAGGUAUAUAUAUGAAUCAUAAAAUAUAAAGAAUAUAUAUAAAAUACAUGUUUUAAAAGUAUAAAGAAUAUGUAAGUAUAUAUAUAUUUAUGAAAAUAAAAUACAUAUAUAGACAUGUAUAUAGAUAUGUAUAAAAAUUAUGAAAUAUAAAUAUAUAUAUAUAGGUACAUAUAUGUAUAUAUAGAUAAAUUAAAAAAUAUGCAUAUGUAUAUAUAUAUUAUAAAAACACAUGUAUGUGUAGAUAUAUAACGAAGAUUUUAAAUUUAAAAAAUAUAAAUGAGCAAAUAAUUACAAUAAUAAUUAAUAAUAAUAGUAAUAAUAUUAAAUUUAUUAAGAAAAUAAACAAAAUAACAAAAUGACUAAAUUAAACUUUAAAAUAAAAUUCGGGGUUUAAAUCUACAAAUAAAUAAAAAGGGGGAUCUUUCUGAACGCGCGCAUAACAUGGAAGGAUUAAAAGGGAAAUUUUCCCUUCCCCACUAAAACGGCGCCGUUCAAAUAGGGACUAAACUAUAAACGCGAAGAAUUAUGGGGUAAGAUUGAAAAAUCCUAAAAUACUUGAUUGAAAAACCAUUUAAAAGUGGAGGGACUAAAAGGGUAAAUAACUCAAAGCUUAAAACACACAGAUCCCUUAGAGGGGGUCGGGUCGGCCAGCGGGUUAGGUUAAAAUGACAUCGUUUUGGUGCCUGAGAAGGCUGCCCAAAACGGCGUCGUUUUGGAGUUUUAUAAAUAUAAAAAAUAAUUCGAAAAAACAUUUGAAACCCUAUUUUUUAAAAAAGGAAGCCCCCGUCUCUUUCUCUGUUUUCUCUCUGGGUUUUUCCCAGAAUCCGACGAUGGGACCGCCGUAUAUGCAUAUAUAUAUAUAUUAGAACAAAAAAAAGUAAAAAUAAAAAAUAAAAAAAUAAAUGAAUGAAAAAGGUUUCGAAAACUAAAACCUUUAUCUCUGUUUUUAUUUCAUUCUCUCUUUUUUGUUUUUUUUUUGUCACCCCCCUUACAGAUUUUUCAAUCGGCCUUAUAUAGCCGAAAUAAUAAUACAAAAAAUCUCUUUCUGGUAUCCAUAUUUGCUGUUUCUUGUUGGUGUCUGUUGCAGGUAUUUGACGUUUGAUGGAGUAGGUGGCAGAGUUGGUGGCCCCAGCGUUAGAGGCAGCGGUGGCAGGGCAAGUGGGCGAGGGGUCAGAAGGGGUGGCUAUGGUUAGGCAGUAGGCUAGGGUUUCAGUUUUUUCUGAAAAGUUUUAAACAUUUUGGGUCACUGGGCCUUCAUUUUUUUGGGGGUUGUAAUUUUUAAUUAUUUUUGGGCUUGCUGUAUUUGUUUUGCUGGUAUGGGCCCGGGAAAAAUUGGGCUUGUACAACUUCCCCUCUUUGCUCAUUGUCGUGUAACGGGAAUGGAGCAAAGACUAAGAAAGACCAAUUUUGUCCGGUCUUGUCGAGUCUUGCUUCUUGGUGCCUUUCUUCUUCAGGUAGACCAAUUUUGCCCGGUCUUGCCGGUCUUGUUGCUUUGAUCCACUCUACUGCACUUCAGAGAGAUAUGACUUGUAGCUUCAAUGUUCUUCGCAGCAACUUCAAAGGGAUGAGAUUCGUGGCUUUAGUCUGCUCCACUGUAACGACAGGGAGAUAAGGCUUGUCAUGGUAAAUUUAAUCCGACCUACUUCAACUUCAGAGGUAUAGGAUUAGUAGCUUCAGUAUACUCUACUGCAACUUUUGGGAGAUAAGACUUGUCAUGGUAAAUUUAAUCCAACCUACUGUAACUUCAGAGGUAUAGGAUUUAUAGUUUUAAUCUGCUCUACUGUAACUUCAGGGAGAUAGGAUUUGUAUUUUCAACUUGCCCCACUGCAACUUCAUGAGGAUAAGGUUUGCUAGUUCAGCCUGCUCUACUGCAACUUCAAAGAGAUAAAGUUUGAUAUGAUCUGAUUUACUGCAACUUCAGAGAGAUGAGAUAUGUUAUUUAUAGCUUGAAUCUGUUUCACUGCAACUUUAGGGAAAUAAGAUUUGCUAUCUUUAAUCUGCUUUGCUGCAAACUAUGGUGUCUUUGAUCUGCUUCGCUGUCAGUACAAGAAGGCAAGAUCUGCUAUCUUCAGUCUGCUUCACUACAAACCUAGGGAGGCAAGACUAGUGUCUUCGAUCUUCUUCGUUGUUAGUACAGGAAGGCGAGAUCUAUUAUCUUUAGUCUGCUCCGCUGUCAGUACAGGAAGGCAAAACUGGUGUCUUUGAUCUGCUUCGCUGUCAGUACAGGAAGGCAAGAUCUGCUACCUUCAGUCUGCUCCGCUGUCAGUACAAGAAAGCAAGGCUAGUGUCUUCGAUUUGCUUCACUGUCAGUACAGGAAGGCAAGAUCUGCUAUCUUCAGUCUGCUCUGCUGUCAGUACAGGAAGGCAAGGCUGGUGUCUUUGAUAUGCUUCGCUGUCAGUACAAGAAGGUAAGAUCUACUAUCUUCAGUCUGCUCCGCUAUCAGUACAGGAAGGCAAGGCUGGUGCAUUCGAUCUGCUUCACUAUCAGUACAGGAAGGCAAGAUCUGCUAUCUUCAGUCUGCUCCGUUGUCAGUACAGGAAGGUAAGGCUGGUGUCUUUGAUCUACUUCGCUGUCAGUACAGGAAGGCAAGAUCUGCUAUCUUCAGUUUGCUCUGCUGUCAGUACAUAAAGGCAAGGUUGGUGUCUUCGAUCUACUUCACUGUCAGUACAGGAAGGCAAGAUUUGCUAUCUUCAGUAUGCUCCGCUGUCAGUACACGAAGGCAAUGCUAGUGUCUUCGAUCUGCUUCGCUGUCAGGACAGGAAGGCAAGAUCUGCUAUCUUCAUUGAUCUAUUUUUUGGGGAACAUGACCUGUAUAAUCUAUUUUAUGAACCUAAUUAUGCCUAGUGAUUAGGAUGACAUGAUCAGAAUGAAUCAAAUGCUCCUAACUAGACAUGUAUGAAUGACAUUUGAAUGAAUGCAGAAUGUCAUUUUUUCGAGAAUUAUCCUUCUUUGUCACUUAGGUUAUCAUUACUCAAAGGUUAUUAGGGUUUUGUCACUGACGCGCUACAACUCCUUCUUGCUCGGCUGGCAUAUCCAAAGAAACACUUAAUUAGAUUGCCCCUCCACUGUGAACGUCAAAGUUCAAUCCACUGGGACGCAAAAUUUGUACCAUCAUUCUCCCACUAUAACCCAAGGGUAGAAAAAUAUAGCUUUUUCUCAAUCCUCUCCUAUCGCAAUUCAAGGACACGGAAUGUGAAGCUCUUUGGUCUUUUACCCCAUUCCAAGGGUGUCAUACCAAAUGCUCAUGCACCAAUGAAGAAUUUUCUUCUCCCAGGAAACCAGUUUUUAUUACUUGGUGAACAUCGCUUGUUUGCUCAUUAAAGUUUUAUCACCGAGACAACAUCUUGUUAUUUUGUUCAAUCAAUGUUUUGACGACAAAGUCCAAAAAGAUGGUCUUAAUUUAGACUUUUCCUUCUUAGAUAUUUCAACCUUUAAACUUGGUGUUUUCUAAACAAUAGUCUUGUUUCAGGUUCCUAUAUUAUUUAGAAACUUCUAGAGUAAUAUGUAAAAUUUCUGUUGUGAAAGUAUUAUUAGUCCAUUAAUCAUUAUUCCAAUGCAACGCUUGCAAAAGGUCAUAACGACAUAUAAAAUAGGAUUAAUUUGAGAGCCUGACUCGAAAUGGAUAAAUCAUCAAAGAGAGUAAGAAUAACAAAGGAAUUGAUUGGGAACACAUAUCUUAAGAAAGAAUGAAGUAUUCUAAGAACAUCAAAUUCAAUAUAAAUAGUAUGAAGACUAGGUGCCACAGAUAUCGUAGCUUGAACUUCUCUAUAAAAACUUUCUGAAUAUCAUUCUGAGUUUGACAUGUGUUUAGGAGAUCUGCAGUACUUUGUCGAUGCGCCAAGAUGUCGCUUACCCUUUUCUGUUGAUUUAGAUAUAGCAAGAUCACCACAUGCCCCAAUCUGAUCAAAAUUUGAGCUGCUCUGAUCACCUCAUGUCCCAUUCUAAUCAAAAUUUGAGCCACCCUUUUCGGGUUUUCAACUCAAAUCCCCUUUGGUCUCAAGGCACCCUUUGCGGGUUUUCGCCUUGGCCUCUCCUUUUUCUUUUCUUUUCUUUUCUUCUUCUUUUUUUCUUUUCUUGAUAUACUUUUUUAUUAAAUCUAAACUCAUAGGAUUAGGCAUGUCCUUGUUAUCCCUUCCGAUUAAAAUCAACGUUUUUCCAAAUAAGGCCUUACACAUAAGGUCCAUCCUAGUUUGGCAUCCACUUUCUUAUAAAGUUCUUUUUUUGUAUGGGAAGGAUCUUCUUCAAUACUAGGUCUCUCUCAUGGAAUCCUCUAGAGCGAACUCUUCUAUUUUUUUUGAGCUCACAUCAUUUGCUUUUGGCACAUUUGACCAUGAUGGAUAACUUUGAACAAUCCUUUUCAAUCAGGAUUAGAUCCAAAAGACUCAGAGAGAAAAAAUCUCGACUUUAAUGGGCAAAAUCGUGAUAGGCCAAAGUGAAAGGCAUUACCCGAUAGAGUUUUUAUACCGCGCCGUUCAUUUUGGGGUGAUAUGGUGUUAAUCUUGAACAGACUACAAACUUCUGAUAUCGUGCUCUUGUUCAAAUUUAGUGCUUUGUCAGAUAUGAUCUUUUUUGGCUUUCUAUACUGACAUGUGAUUUUUUUCUAGAAUUUGCUGACUGUCGACUUUGUGAUAUUGGCAUAUGAAGUAGCUUCCACCCACUUAGUAAAGUAAUCGACGACCACAAAGAUGAAUCGAUGACUGUCAGAAGCUUUUGGCAAGAUCGACCCACUGACAUCUGUGCCCCACAUAGUGAAAGUCUAUCGAAAAGUCAUAACAUGAAGAGAUGAAGGAGGCACAUGAAUCUUGUCUCCAUCAAUUUGGCAAUUAUGACAUUUCUUGGUACAACUGAUGUAAUCCCCUUCCAUGGUGAACCAGCAAUGCUCGAAUCUCAUGAUUUGCUUGGCCAUUGUAAAACCAUUAGCAUGUAUUCCUCAGACACCCUUAUAGACCUCUUCCAAGAUUUUCUUAGCCUUAACAGUGUCCACAUGUCUUAGUAGCUCAAGCAUAUCUUGGUACGAUCAUGCAAAAACAUCUUUGAAUUCUUGGAGUAACUCAAUGACGUCUCGCUUUGUCUCUGCGGUGAUACAGGCUCCGAUCUUCACCUCUUUCUCUUCUCCUAAGCUCACAAUUUCCACUGAUUCCUUAUAAAGAAGGAUUUGUUUCUCGACUUUUUCUACCAUCCUCAAUAAGUCCGAAGAUAGGCUACAAUCUAUGUCAUCUUCAAAGUCAUGAGAUCCCUCUAAACACAUGUCUCGCUCAAAAGGAGAUUCUGAGUCUGUAGCAAUGUCACUCAUGUAAUUGAUAUCUAAAGACCUAUUGUGGGUACAAAAGAAUAUAUAAAGAAUUUAUGAAUUUAUGAAUAAUUAUUUGUACAGUAUGGUUAUGAAUGAAAGAUUGAUUUGGAAGAAAAUCCAAAAGAAUGAAAGAAUCAAAAAUGAUUACUCGUAAAGAAUGAAAGAAGAUUGACUUAAAAAUGAUCACAAAGAUGUAUUAAAAUAAUGACGUUCAGACAUGAUCCUAUUUCACAAAGGAGUUCUUAUUACCUCUAGGCUAAAAGCAACAAGUGUGUUCUGAACAUUACUCUAAGUAAGCUCUAAAUACUACAGAGAUUUCUUCUGCAGUCUAAUUAUUUAGAAUACUCCCAAGUUUAUAAGGGUGGAUAUCUAACAAGGUCUCUUUUCAGUUGUCUUCAUGUAUGGCAUUGAUGUGAACAUUUCCUUCUUCUUCCUCUUUUUUUUUCACACUUCUUCACAAAGAUCAAUCUCUUUAUUGUCCAUCAUAUUUAGUUGGAUCUUGGCUAAUCGCUCUUACAUUUGCAACUGUAGUUGGUAUUGCUCCCUCUUUGGAGUUGUUCAAGUUUUUCCAAUCUUGGUCCAUGUCUUUUUGCUUUGGUACCGUAACGAUGCUUAGUUAAUAGAUUUUUUUUCCCAGGUUAACUGAAAUAAUUUUACCUAAUUAAGGUCCUCUUGUGAAAAUCUAAUGCAUAUGAUGCAAUGUAAUGCAAAUGCAUAGAAUGAAUGCAAAAAGACGUUGACUCCGAUUCAAUUCCAUUUAGAAAACUUUACUAAAAAACAAAUUUCUUUACAUAAAAUGGAUGCAUGUAUGGCCUCGCCCUCAUAUCCAAGAAACAACAUCGAUAUUUCCCUUUGUUCGAAUGUUUAAGAUAAAUCUCGCAAGUUUCCAAUGGAUGCCACUACUAGCUCCUUCUUUCUUAAUCCUGGUUGCAAUCCAUUGUCUGCCCAUUCUCGUAAUGCUCAUCACCUUCUUUAAAGAAGUCAGAAUGUUAGCGACUCUCAAAUAAUUAGCUUGAAUCUUCGGGCCACGAAGUAAAGUCAUGUACUCUUCUGUCACCCUUCUUUUGUUGUGUUUCUUGGGAAAUAUUCGGGCAGCCAUAUUAUCUUUCACUUUAUCAAAAAAUUCAUUUUCCAUGACAAGCUUUCUAAUUUAGUAAUCAAACUUGAAUCAACACCUUUUUUCUAAGAUGAAAAUGCAAUGCAAUCAUAACCAAAACAAAACGGAACGGGUUAGUACAAAGCAAAAUCAAACAAGAAAAAUAGAGUACCUAUUCGGGUAACCACUAGAGGUUUGGAGUGGUUCUACCUAGGGUAGGCUCUUAAGGUCUUCUACAUGUGGUUUGGUUCUAAAGUAAAGGUACCUGAACCAGUAGAUUCCUCAAUCCUCACCCAUUAUAGGCUCAUAUGGAUAGAGUUCAGUUCAGGGGAAUACAUUUCCCUAUGGCUCCAUGGAGAUGAAAAUCCCACGAAGACAUAGGCACGGAUGUAUCCCGAAAGUGAUCCACUAUCCUGCACGGAGGUGAAAACCUCACGAAGGAGUAGCUUCUCACUCUCACUUAAAAGGGUGUGACCAACGGUCAUGCAAUGCACUGUGUCGAGAUAUAAAAAUUUAAAAUACAAAACAUGAUGAAAACUAUAACUCAAAACAAAUGAAAUGCAAUGAGAGGAUCGUAAAUUUUAACCAUAUUAUCAACUUUCGACAAAAAGACAAGAAAUAAUCAACUCGUGGCUUGACUCUCUUAUUUUGGUCCCCAGUGGAGUCGCCAAGCUGUUGACAGCAUUUUUUUCUGAAAACGGGGUCGGCUUGGAUUUUGAAAACGAAAAUUAAAAUGGGAGUCACCACCAAUCCUUUUUGAUAAGGUGUGAUCGGACCACCUUAAAAAGUGGUUGUUUUUAAUAAAAAAUUAAAUUUUAUUAAAAUAACGAUUUUGGUCCACGAAAUUCAAAAAAACAGGUUCGGGAGUCGGUUACGUACGAGGACGGAUUAUCACUCUCGUAACACCCAAAAUUGGUACCUAGUUGAUUAUUUAGUGUCUUUAGUGUCGAAGAUUAAAAAUUUUGAAGAAUUUUAAAAAUACGAUCCUAAAAAUUUUCGAACAAUAUAGGUUGAAAUUUAGGAUUCUCUUGUUCCGAAAGAAUAUCACAUCCAGCACAUUAGGAUACGAUACUUUAAACUCUCGAAACCAAGAUCACCUUAUGGUUUCCAAAACCCAUACUUUGAAACUUUAAGAGGGUAUUUGGCUAUUCGGCUAAACGAGAAAUCGAACCCCAGUACAUUAACGCACGUUUUCUUGAAUUUCCAAACACAAAAUAUUGCCUUAAUUUAAAAUUUUCUUUUUGUAUUUGGAUAAAAAUUAUAUCCGACGGAACAAUAAUUAUGAUAAUGUAAGUAAAAAUAAUACGAGCAAAACAAAAAUAAUAAAAGAUAAAUAAAAAAAACAAAUCAAUCACGUACACAAUAACAAGCAAAUAAACAAGUAAAAAAAAACUAAAGCAUUUAAAGUAAUAAUAAUGGAUAUGUAGAUGAGUGAGUAAAUGAACAUCAAGUGAAGCCAUAAUAACAACAAAGAAAAUAGAUAAAAAUUACAAAAUAUAAAAGUAUAUAUGUACAUAUAAGAGAAAUAUAUAUGUAUGUAUAUACAUAAAAUUCUGAAAAUAUGAAAAAUAUAUGUAUAUAUAUAUUUUAAAGAUGUAAAACAUAAAAAGAUAAACAUGUGUGUAUGCACAUACAUAUAUAUGAAUAUAACAAUCAUGGAAUAUAAAAAGUAUAUAUGUAGGUAUAUAUAUGAAUCAUAAAAUAUAAAGAAUAUAUAUAAAAUACAUAUUUUAAAAGUAUAAAGAAUAUGUAAGUAUAUAUAUAUAUAUAUAUUUAUGAAAAUAAAAUACAUAUAUAGACAUGUAUAUAGAUAUGUAUAAAAAUUAUGAAAUAUAAAAAUAUAUAUAGGUACAUAUAUAUAGAUAAAUUAUAAAAAUAUGCAUAUGUAUAUAUAUAUAUAUUAUAAAACACAUGUAUGUGUAUAUAUAUAAAGAAGAUUUCAAAUUUAAAAAAUAUAAAUGAGCAAAUAAUUACAAUAAUAAUUAAUAAUAACAGUAAUAGUAUCAAAUUUAUUAAGAAAAUAAAAAAAAUAACAAAAGGACUAAAUUAAACUUUAAAAUGAAAUUCGGGGUUUAAAUCUGCAACUAAAUAAAAACGGGGAUCUUUCUGAAUGCAUGCAUAACAUGGAGGGAUUAAAAGGGAAAUUUUCCCUUCCCCUCCAAAACGGUGUCGUUCAAAUAGGGACUAAACUGUAAACGCGAAGAAUUGUGGGAUAAGAUUGAAAAAUCCUAAAAUACUUGGUUGAAAAACCAUUAAAAAGUGGAGGGACUAGAAGGGAAAAUAACACAAAACUUAAAAACACGCGGAUCCCCUGGAGGGGGUCGGGUCGGCCAGUGGGUUAGGUUAAAAUGGCGUCGUUUUGGUGCCUGAGAAGGCUGCCCAAAAUGGCGUCAUUUUGGAGUUUUAUAAAUAUAAAAAAAUAAUUCCAAAAAAUAUUUGAAACCUAUUUUUUUAAAUUAAAGGAAGCCCCUCGUCUCUUUCUCUGUUUUCUCUUUGGGCUUUGCCUAGAAAACUCAAAAAGGUAUUUUUUUUUUGCUUUUUUGCUGCAUAUGCGUAUAUACGUAUAUAUUUUAGAACAAACGGAAGUAAAAAUAAAAAAUGAAAAAUAAAUGAAUGAAUGAAAAAGGUUUCGGAAACUAAAACCUUUAUCUUUAUUUUUAUUUCAUUCUCUCUUUUUUGCUUAUUUUUGUCACCCACUACAGAUUUUUCAAUCGGCCUUAUAUAGCUGAAAUAAUAAUAUAAAAAAUCUCUUUCUGCUAUCGCUAUUUGCUGUUGCUUGUUGGUGUUUGUUGCAGGUUUUUGACGUGUGAUGGAGCAGGUGGCAGAGUUGGUGGCGCGGCGUAAGAGAUGACGAUGGCAGGGCAAGUAGGCGAGGGGUUAGAAAGGGCGGCUAGGGUUAGGCAGUAGGCUAGGGUUUUAGUUUUUUUCUGAAAAGUUUUAAACAUUUUGGACCAUUGGGCCUUCAUUUUUUUUGUAAUUUUUAAUUGUUUUUGGGCUUGCUGUACUUGUGUUGCUGGUAUGGGCCCGGGCAAAAUUGGGCUUGUACAAUAGGGAUACUACAGGCUACCAUCUUUCUAAUUUCCAUUGCCAGAAUUGUGACAAUAGCAGAUCCAUCGCCUUUGGCGUCCGAAGCCAUAGCAAUGGUAGAAAGUGGGUGGUGGAGUAACUAUAGCAACAAUGCUUCAGAAUGUUGCCAGUGGCCAGGUAUAUCAUGCAACACUGCUGGAAGCAUCAUCCAAAUUGACAUUUCUGAUGCGCCCAAUAUUGAGGUUGGAGAUAGAUUUGGGAAAUUUAAUUUCUCUUCAUUUCCAAAUCUUGUCCUUCUUGAUCUUAGUGAUCGCCAACUUGGUGGAAAAAUCCCACAUCAGAUAGGUAAUCUAUCAGCAUUGAAGCACCUUGACUUGUCCAAUUGUGGUUUAUUCGGUGAGUUACCUCCUUCUCUAAGAAACCUAACCCAAUUAGAGUCCCUUGACAUUUCCUAUAAUUAUAAUAUUAAGGGUUCCAUCCCUCCACAACUAGGGAAUCUAGUGAACCUUGUUAGUUUAAAUUUGAGUUGGACCAGUCUUAGUGGAAACAUUCCAUUGUUUCUUGGGCUAUUGACCAACCUUAGGCAUCUACUUUUGGAUAGGUAUCAAUUUGAUGAUGGUAAUAAUACAAUCCCUCAAAAUUGUGGAAUUUAAGGGGUCUUGAGACUUUGACCCUAAGUGGUUGUGGAAUUGUUGGUCAAAUCCCUUCUACUUUGGGUUAGUUAUUAAAUCCCAAAUCUUUAAUUCUUUAGGGCAACAAAAUUAAUGGAUCUAUUCCAUCUGGAGUUGGAUUCUUAUCAAACUUAACUUAUUUUGAUGUCUACGACAACAGACUAGUUGGUUCAAUCCCUUCUGCUUCGAGUCAGUUAUUAAACCUCAAAUACUUAAUUCUUGUGGGAAACAAAAUCAAUGGAUCUAUUCCAUCUAAAGUUGGAUUCUUAUCAAACUUAACUUAUUUCGAUGUCUACGACAACAAACUGGUUGGUUCAAUACCUUUUUCCUUGUACCAAUUAACCAAUAUGGAAAUUUUGUCCCUUGGUAAUAACCAACUUGAAGGUUCCAUCACUCGGAAUAUUGAAAAUUUGAAGAACAUCAAGAUUUUAAGCAUCAUUAAUAAUAGCUUUACUAGUCAUAUCCCCCUAGUUUUGUGUCGUUUGACAAAUUUGGAAUAUAUUGAACUUGGCAACAAUCAAAUCAGUGGUUCAAUCCCAUCGUGUAUUGGCAAUUUAUCCAAUUUGGAUACCUUAAAACUUGAUUCAAAUCUAUUAAAAAGUCUUAUCCCUAAAGAAAUUGGUAGGCUUUUUCACCUAUCAAAUUUAAACCUCAACUUCAACCAACUCUAAAGUAGUGUCUCUAUCUUGUCUGCCACUAAGCUUCACAUUAUCGAUGCUGGAAAUAAUUGUAACAAGAUUUCUCCCGAUCCAUUUGAAGGCAAUAGUCAUUUAUCACCUUAAAUGUGUCCUCCUCCAGUAACCAACAAAACCAACAGUAGUAGAACUCCUUACCAUAUCAAAAUAUUCCUCCCAAUUGCCAUCUUCUCCACAUUCUCCAUUUUGGGAUGCUUUCUAUUAUCAUAGUUUAAACUCAAGAAUAACUGCGUCAAUCAAUACCUAAUUACAUCAAAAUGCAGUUACCAACUAAGUUCAAUUCUAACUUGAUUACAAAAUGAACAUUAGAGUAACAAAACAAAAGAAACUAAACAGUAGUAUCGUGCUUCAGCUCCUACAGGCUUGGCUCAAUUGCAUUUGCUGCUUCUUGCGUCAUGAGCUGCAUGGAGGCCAACUUCAAUACUCUUCCUUGGCUUCCAUGCUGCAAACUCCCAUUUGCUUUCUUAAUUUGCUGAGCCUUGACACACAAGAGGCUUUGUUAAAAUAUCUGACAGUUGUUUUUCAGAAUUGCAAUGAAUCAGCUCUACUUCUCGAGCUUGCUUCAUCUCUCUAUUAAAAUGGAUCUUAAUUUUGAAAUGUUUUGUCCUCCCAUGGAACACUAGAUUCUUUGCAAUUGCAACAGCAGAUUGGUUGUCACAAUAGAUCCUUGUUGCUUCUCUUUGGUGUAGAUUCAUAUCAGCUAAAAUCUUUCUUAGCCAUAUGGCUUGGUUCACAGCUCUUGUAGUUGCCACAUAUUCUGUUUCUACUGUUGAUUGAGCAACAAUCGAUUGCUUCUUUGAACUCCAAUAGAAGAUGGCUAAGCUAAAUGUAAAAGCAUAUCCUGAGGUACUCUUCAUAUCGUCCAUAGAACCAGCCCAAUCACUAUCGGUAUAGCCAAUUAGCCUAAAGUUUUCAACCUUCUUGUACAGCAUUCUAUGACUCAGGCUACCUUUGGUAUACCUGAGCACCCUUUUUGCUGUUUUGAACUAUUUUUCAUUGCAGCAAUGCAUAAAUCUUGAGAGUAAACUCACAGCAAACAUAAUAUCUGGUCUGGUGGUAGUUAAAUACAACAAGCAACCAACUAGACUUCUAUAAACUGAUUCAUUAACCUGUUCAAAACCAUCUUGUCUCGAUAACUUUUCUCUAAUGGCAAUUGGUGUGCUUGUCUCUUUGCAAUUCAACAUAGAAAACUUGGUCAGAAUCUUCAUUGCAAAUGCCCUCUAACAUAGAAAGAUUCCAUUUUCAGUUUGGGACACUUCUAUAACAAGGAAGUAGGACAUCUGCCCCAAAUCAGACAUUUCAAACAUAUUUGCAUUUUGACUUUGAAAUCAGCCAACGUUUCUUACUCUCCUUCUGUCACUAGCAAGUCAUCAACAUAUAGAGACACUAUCAAUUGUGUUUCAGCACCUUUGUUCUUAACAUACAAGGUAGGUUUACUGCAGCUUCUUUCAAAUCCAAGGCUAGUAAGAUAAGCAUCGAUCCUGCUAUACCAAGCCCUUGGUACCUGUUUCAAGCCAUACAAGGCUUUCUUCAAUCUAUAAACCAUGCCUUCAUUACCAGGCACUUUAAAACCUUGUGGUUGUUCAAUAUAGGUAUCCUAUUCAAGAAAUCUGUUUAGGAAGGUUGAUUUUACAUCAAACUGGUGAAUCUUUCAUUGCAUUUGUGCUGCUAAGGCAACUAGCAGCCUGAUGGUGUCUAGCUUGGCCACUGGUGCAAAGGUUUCCAAGUAAUCCAGGCUAUACUUCUAGCUAAAACCCUUGACAACCAGCCUUGCUUUUAAUUUGUUCAAACUCCCAUCAUCAUUGUGCUUGGCUUGAUAGACCCAUUUCACCUUAAUAACCUUUUUGUUUGUUGGCCUUUCAACCAGUUCCCAAGUCUGAUUCUUCUCAAUCAUGCUGAUUUCAUCAGCCAUUGCUUGUUUCCAGUCCAUGUGUGUUUCAGCCUCUUCAAAAUAGCUUGGUUCUGCUAUAGCCACUUAAGCUCUUUCAUAAAUCUCAGCCAAUAGUCUAGUGCCCCUGACUGGUUCAUCAUCUAUGUCUAUUUCAAGACCAUUUUGAUCUGGCUCAGUCUGAUCUGCCAAUAGGUCUUCAGGAACUAUCUCUGGUUCAUUCUUCUCCCAAUUCCAACAUGAUUUUUCAUCGAACACCACAUCUCUACUCAUAGACACUUUGUUUGUUGAAGGAUCCAAUAUCCUAUAGCCCUUUUUGACUGUGUUGUAGCCCACUAGAAUCCCAGGUUGAGCUCUUUUAGCCAGCUUGUCCCUCUUAAUAGCAAGCACAUAUGUAUAGCAUAUGCAACCAAAGACCUUUAAGUGAGACAGUGAUGGCUUGAAUCCAAACCAGGCCUCAAAUAGAGUUUUCUGAGCCAAGGCCUUGGUUGGAAGCCUGUUUUGAAUGUAAACAGCAGUGUUGACUACCUCAACCCACUAGAUCUUGGGAAAAUUCUUCUCAAUCAUCAAGCAUCUGGCCAUAUCCAUCAAGCUCAUGUUCUUUCUCUCACUUACACCAUUCUGUUGAGGAGUAUAGGUGUUUGUGAGCUGAUGUUUAAUGCUUGUUUCAUCAAAAAAGGCUUAGAACUAAGCUAAGGUGUACUUAGUCCCAUUAUCAGACCUUAUGGUCUUCACCUUGCAACCUAUUUUAGUCUCAGCAGUAGCCUUGAACUUCCAAAACACAGAGGCAACCUCUGAUUUCUACUUCAAGAAGUAAAUCCAGCAAAAUCUUGAGAAAUCAUCAAUAAAUAGAAUGAAAUACCUGCUUUUAUUUAGUGAUUCUAUCUUCAUAGGGCCACACACAUUAGUGUGCAUGAGCUGUAGCCUUUCUAAGGCUCUUCAGGCUUGAUUUGAAGGAAAUGGGAGCCUAGCUUACUUUCCUAGCUGGCAUACCUCACAAACCUCCUAUUUUUGAACUGAACCAAUAAAGUUUCCAGCCAAAUCAUCUCUGGAUAGUUGGUCCAUCGAUCUGUAGUUGGCAUGACCAAGCCUUUGAUGCCAAAGCUUGGGUUCAUCUGCUAUGGCUGUAUAGGAAGUGUCUGAGCCAUUUGUCCAGUCAACAACAAAGCUCUUGUCAGCCAUAGUGACUGCCAUGAGCUUGGAUCCACUUGGAUCACUAAUUUGACACUCCUUGCCUUUGAACACUAAGAAUACCCUUUCUCUAGUAACUGAGCUAUGCUGAGUAGGUUUCUAUCAAUUUCAGGCACCAACAACACAUUCGAGAUGAGCUUGUUACCUGUAGGAGUGCAUAUCAGCACAUCUCCUUUACCUUCUGCCUUUAUGAAGUGACCAUUACCAAUCUUUACCUUGGUCUUGCAGCUUCUGUCUAGGGACUUGAAGAUGGCAGCAUCUGGUGUCAUAUGGUUGGUGCAACCUCUGUCUAGGAGCUAGCCUUUUAUGAGCUUCUUCUGAGCAGUUGAGCAUGACAUAGGAAAGAGUUGCUCCUCAUGGUCACUAUCUUCUUUUGCUACUCGAGCCUCAACCAUUGGCUGCUGUGGUUAAUUUUUUCUCGGUUUACUCUUAUUUCUGCAAACCCUUUCAACAUGCCCCAUCUUUUUACAGUGUUGACACUGAACAUCUGGUUUAAACCAGCAGUUGGCUUAUGGAUGACCAGUUCUCUUGCAAUGCCUGCAGGGUUGGUCCCUUCCUUUUACAAAAUCAAACUUAGGCUUGUCUUUCCAAGCCUUCUUAACUUUGUAGGCAGUAAUGGUCAAGGUAAAAUUGGUCUUUGCUUCAAAGGCACCUUCUUAGUGCUCUUCCAAUCUGCUAGCUCUUCUUUGCUCCUGUGCAUAGAGAGCAUUAAUCAGCUCUGUCAAUGUGAUGCUGGUCAGGUCCCUUGAGUCUUCGAGAGAUGAAAUUUUUGCUUCAUACCUUUCAGGAAAGGUUGAAAUCACCUUCUCCACUAUCUUUGCUUCACUAAACUGCUCAUCAAGAAGCCUUAUACUGUUUACCACAGCCAUUCUAUCUGAGUACUGUUUGACAGUUUCUUCUUCCUUUAUUUUUAAAUUUUCAAAGUCCCUUUUUAGGUUCAACAAUUGUUGCUGCCUUAUCCUCUCUGUUCCUUGAAACUCCUCCUUCAGUCUAUCCUAGGCUAUUUUGGUGUCUCACAGGCCAUGAUUCUUGUAAAAAUUACAUCUAACACAAAGUUUUGGAUGUAAGACAUGGCCUUGUGCCUUUUGGUCCUUUCAUCAGCAUGCUACCUGAUCUGAGCCACUGUUGGAUUGGCUCUGAGUGGCUCUGGUUCAACAUCUGGGUUGACCACCUCCUACAGAUCAAAUGCCUACAGGUAGGUCUUCAUUUUGACCACCCAUAUGUGAUUGCUCUCUCUAUUGAAGACUGGUGGUGCAGCUGGUGAGAAGUCUGAUGAAGCUAUCGAUUUAAGUUGAUAGGUCCACUAAGACAACAGCUCUAGAUACCAAUUGUUGGUGUUAUCAACGAAGAACAAAGAUGAAGCAAAGUCAACUACUGACUUGAGCAACAAGACUCGUGACUUAGAGAAGAAAUUAAGUAGGAAUUUGCUUAAGAACGGAACAAAAAUUGAAGGCAAAGAAAAAUAGAAAGUAUAUGGAUGAAAAAAAGUUGAUUUUCAUUAUUAUAACAAAGUAAGGCAUUAAGCCAUUACAUAUAUCAGUCAAGCUGAUCAAAAACAAAUAAAUUUUCACCUAAACAAACCACCUAACACCACUAAGUUACAUUGAAACUCGCUAAAUUAACUUGUACAUGUUGUUUUGCUGAUCUUUUAGUCAAUCAACACCUAAUUACAUCAAAAUGCAAUCACCAACUAAGUUCAAUUCUAACUUGAUUACAAAAUGAACAUUAGAGUAAUAAAAUAAAAUAAACUAAACAGCAGCAUCGUGCUUCAGCUCCUGCAGGCUGGACUGCAUGUGCUGCUUCUUGCUUCAUGAGCUACAUAAAGGCCAACUUCAACAGCAGCCCUUCAAUAGUUCAUCGAGACAUAUCAAGUAACAAUGUUCUUUUAAACUCGAGCUUUGAGGCCUUUGUAGCUAACUUUGGGACUGCUAAAAUGAUGGAUCUCGAAUCAUCCAAUCAGACCAUUAUUGUGGGCACAUCUGGUUAUGUAGCCCUAGGUGAUUUUCUUUGCUUCGUUUUGAUGACAUUUUCUUUAGAAUUUAUAAAAUUAAUUGAACAUAUAAAUGGUUUUUUUAUUUGGGUUUUCGUAUGCAGAACUUGCCUAUACGAUGGUUGUCACUGAAAAAAUAUGAUGUCUAUAGUUUUGGAGUGGUGGCACUGGAAACAUUAAUGGGAAAGCAUCCUAAAAAAGUGUUAUCAUGGUUGCCAUCAUCAACUUCCUUGGUAAAUACGAGGCUGAUUGAUGUGCUAAACAACUAUUUAUCACUUCUGACAAGCCAAUUAGUUGUACAAAAUCUUGUUCACAUUGCUUGCCUAAAUCCACAACCCAAAUCUCGACCAACGAUGAAAAAAGUGUACGAAGAUUUUUUUGUGUCCAAACAUCCUUGGGAAUUCCCUUUCGAAUGAUCUCUUUGUUACAACUUGUGAACCGUGAAAUGCAUAUUGGAAAUAGAACUGAAACUUGUAUUGUUUAAACUCUAUGCACUUGUUCUUGAUUAGGUAUUGUUUAUCAAGCUUUGAUGAUUUGUUCGUAAACCAUAUCAUUUGUUAUAUAUGAUGGAAUGAAUUGCAAUGUUCGAUAAACUUGUUUAUUCGAUUUCUUUACAGAUCAUAAAUCCUACAAUUUGAUAUAACUAUUCAGACACCAUCCCAAUAGUUCCCUUCCAUUUCGUGCUUUUUUCAAGUAUGAUAGAACAAAUCAAAGUAUAAAUCAAAUAUAAGUAAAUUAAUUGUGAAUUAAAGCAAAAAAAUGAAAUUUAUACAUACAAUGUUCCUUUCAUCAAUUUGCAUAAAGGUUAAAUGGUUUAGAAGAAAGCUUUCUAAAAAAGACUACACUAAAAAUGACCAAACCAUUUUGGAAAGAGGGAAAGAUGCUUAGGGGUAAUUUUUGUUAAAGAAAAGGCCACUAAAGACUUCAUUAAUGCUUAGGGGUAAGAUACUUAGGGGCAAGGACUCUUAAUUUUUUUACAUUAUCUAUAAUAAUUCAAUUUGAUUUAGUUUUUUAUUUUUAUAUUAAUUUUAAGUUUAGGAUUUUAAACUUAUUUUAAUAAAAUGAACUUUAUUUUAUGAUUUUUGUAUAUUAUUGGGUAAACUUUUAUUUUUAUAUAAGGCUUAGAAUUUCUAGUCCUAUGAUGAAAGGGUUCGGAAAUAAAGCACAAAAAAGUAUUUAUAAAGUGAAACUAUGAACAAAACAGAGUAAUCACUAGGGAUAAUAAUAUAAUAUAAUCAUCUCUUCCAACUUUGGCUUUAGUAUAAAUGAUCUUUCAUUCCACCAACAAGCCAUGUCUCUUAGGCUAUAUCAGAUGAAAUUUUGUAGAAAUCAAGAUCGUAUUUCAUCACUACUAAGCUCUCUUUCACCUUCAUGUUUUCUUCUUCCGUUAAAGACCUCAAUUUUUUUGUUUUUUCCUCGUCUUUCCUCUUGCACUCCUGUUUGUCUCCUUGAUCUUCCCCGUCCUCUUCGACCCAUAGCUUCUUCUAACCAGCUCUUAGCAAAAGCAGAUCGACAAUGCAUAAGCAAGAGAGUUGUAGGUGGGACUGCAUUAGCUUGACCAUCAACAUGAUCGAAGGAGCAUUUACCAGCAAUCACAAUUCUUAAUAUCAAUUUGCAAGUCUGAGAAGAUUACAGAUUUAAAAACCUAAUUGUCUACUUAAAGGUCUAAAGUCAAAUACUGAGUUGGUUAUAACAUGUAAUUAAGUAAUGAAACCUGCAUUUAUAAUUUAUUGAAGGAAUCAGGCUGCCACAAUAUCUAUAAAUGAUUAAGUUCAAUCUAUACAAAUUAUUUUAAAAAUAAGAUGACCAUUACAAAAAAUAAAAAAAGAAGGCCCUUUUCAGAGACAAUAACAUGUAAUUAACUAAACCAUGUAUUUUUUUGUUUCUUAAUCUUAGCCUGAACUUCCGUUUGCUUACCAAUAUUUCUGGAAAAUGAUUUACUUUCUAAGAAUGAUUUACUUUUUUGGUGUUUGAAUGAAUCUGUAUAAAAUAUUUUCUAUUGUUUGGCAGAUUUCCUGAAAAUAUUUCAAAAAAACUAUUUUAAAUGAAACAUACAUUUGAGAAUUUAAUUGAGUUUAUUUUAUAUCUACCAAUAAAUUUAUAUUUUACAUUAUUUUUACAUAUAUUUCAACCACAAUAUCAUUUCUCACCUCAUUAUUAUUUAUUUAUUUUCUAAUUUAAUUAUAAGGACAAAUUCUAUUUUUCAUUGUUUUUUCGUUUUACACUUUCGAUUUUCAAACGUUCCAAUUUUGAAUAUAAAAAAUAAAUAUCCAUUUAAUAAUUAUAUUUAAGUGUGAUUAUACAUGAUUGGUAACUUGUAAAUACACUAUUUUUAGUUUUUUCACUUUACCCAUAAUUAUUUAUUAAAAUAAUUUUAUAAAUAUAUAUUUUUAAUAUAAAAUAUAUUCAUUCGGAAGUCUUACCUUAUAAUAUCCACAUACAUGUUAUGGCUUAGGUUUGGAUAAUAUUAGACUUUGGAUUAACAGGAACGAUAGAAGAAAUUGAUGUUGUCAAGUUGCACCAUAGAAACUAUCAUAUUCUCCUCCAAUGUAAACAAACCAAAAACUACUGUUCUAUUUAUCAACCACUGCACAAGUAGUGUGUAUUUCUUUUGUUAUACAUAUAAGCACAACUCCGCAUAUAUGAAUUAUCUACCAACUACUCACGAAAGGCUUUUAAAAAAAUAUUAGUUAGUAAAGCCAUCCAAGAGGAAAUAUGCUACUAACGUGAAACGGGCAAAAUUACAUAGUAAAUAUGUCUUCAUGAGACCAAAAGAAAUAUAAGUGAAGGCAAAAUAGUUUAUUGUUUCAACUCUCUAUCCCCAUGCCUCAUUGUGUAAUGAAUAAAGUACAUCAAGCAGGGAUUUAUCCCUCGCCAUAAACAUAUCGCACUAGUCUUUACUUUAUACAAAUUUCUUGAAACACAACUUUGGAAUUUUAAUAUUUGGAACUCCUAAGCUACCUGAAAUAACUGCAAGUUACCAUGACUAAAGUGCAUACAUACAUAUAUGAAAGUUUCUCAAGCAAUGAUAAGAUAAUUAAUUGCUAAAAAUCUUUAUUGAUUUUGUGGAGAGACAAUCAGACAAGUCAUGUCAGAUUAAUGAUGGGACAAAAAGGGUUUCUGGACUUUUAAAGUUAUGAAUGCAUCUAUCAGGCUCAAACAUUUCCAAUAUCUAAUUUAUGGUGUACAUCUCAAAGCAAAGAAUGCAAAGCAUCAGGCUUAAAGAUCAUAAUAUGCACAAAAAAUGUAGUGGCCCUGCAAGGUCUGCAUCAUGUCAUGCAUGCAUAGAUACAUUACAUUACUACAAGCAAAUUUACAGCUUUAUCGGUCUAUAACACGGUAGCAUAAUUAGAAACUAUCAAACAUGUCAGAGCGUGCAUGUCUGAAUCAAAGUACAAAGGCAAAAAUAUACAGGUUUCUUCUCACUACAGUAUAGUAUAAACAAACUUCUAUUGCCUGCAAAGGAUGGAAGAUGCUAACUCAAGCCUUACAACAGUGCAUACAUCACAAGAUGCAUGCGAGCCAAUGGCGCUUCAAGAGACAUGAAACUUUACACAGUUAGAAUCUUCACAUUUACCCCAAAAGUUCAGACUUCAGACAAUAGAAAAUGGUAGAUAAACUAGCUUUUUAUAGUGUCAAACAUGCUGCAUUACAACAAAAUAUUCAGAUUGUUCUUCUCUGAUAAAACAAAAGGUUAACAUUUAGAGUUUAAAACAAAUGGAAAAUGAAAAUAAUAAUUGGAAAUAGACUAUUAACCAAAUGAAAAAAUGAAAAAUAAUUUCUAAUAAAUAUAUGCUAAAUAAAAACCCAAAAUGGCAAUUGGUCUUGAAUCCCAAUCUCUUAACAAUUCAAGAAACAAAUUCCAAUUCCAAAAAUCCCAGUCUCUUAACAAAACAAAUACCAAAUAUACCAAAUACCCUUUCCCUUACACAUAAAAGCUAAUUCAAGAGAUUACCAAAAAAAAAUGCUAACUCAAGAACCAAGCUUGAAAAACAACCAAAACCCCCACUUCAAAUCUUGGUCAGCUUACCCUGAAAAAUUACAUAGAAAGAGAAAAAGGGAAACUCACAUGUGGCCAUGGAGAAAGCAACGAAUUUACAGAGUAACCAAAAUACAAUAACUUUGAAGAACAAAAACAAUCAGAGAAAUAACCAAAGAAAAAAGCAUCAAUGAAAUGGACUGAAGCAAUAAAACACUGUAGACUGGAAUGAAGCUACUUGAAGAGAAGCACCCAAAGAAGUCAAGACUCGGUGAGACCGGGCAAAAUUGGUCUUUCUUAGUCUUUGCUCUAUUCCCGUUAAACAAGAAUGAGCAAAGAGGGGCAGCUGUAAGAGCCCAUUUUUGCCCGGGCCCAUACCAACAAAAUAACCCAAAUAAUAAAAACAAAAAUAGUUCAUUUUCAGCAAAUUUAAACCCAAAAAACUACAAGCCCAAACCCAAUAGGCCCAAAAAUCAGAAACCCUAAGCCCACAAACUUAAAGAUUUUCAGCAAACCCUAGUUGCCUCCCCUAAAACUUGGCACCGCAAGCUUCCAUGCAUGGCCUCCUCGUCUGCCACGCCCUCGCGUCGCCUCACGCCAGCACCCCAUCCACGCGCAUCUGACACUGUUCUGUCACCUGCAAAAGACAACCAACAGAACAACAAAUAGAGAAAACAAAUAGAAAACGACAAAUGAGGCAGAGAUUAAACGUUUGUAAUCGGCUAUAAAAAGCCGAAUAAGGCAAUUGUACUCUUCUUCUUCCGAUUUUACGAACAAAAAAGAGAAAUAAAAAAACAGAAAAAAUAAAGGUGAUUUUUUAAAUCUGUUGUUUUUAUUUUUUUUAUUUUACUUCAUUUAUUUUUUUCAAACAAAAAUAAAAUAAAAAUGAGGGGCUUACCGGAUGCCCGUGACCGCCGUCGGAGGGUUAGUCUCCGUCAUCGAGACCAAAUUCGGAGGGAGAGGGCUGUGGGCCUCUAUCUCGGACCUUAUGGGGUUCGAAAGCCCGUCCGCUCAACCCACCAAGAACCAGGCUUUAAAAGCCUUUCGUCGCGCUUCGUUGGCCAUCGUUUUGGUGGCGGUGCGGCGGAUAGACGAACGGUGGUGAGAGGCCGAUCGUCAGAGGGCAUGGGGAGUAUUGAGAGGGUUGCUGCAGUUUUUUAGUGUGAAGGGUGGGGAAAUGAGAAAAAUAAAAAAGGGUUGUUGAAGUAAAGACGAAAACGGCACCAUGUAAGGGAAGGUGAUCUGCGCAUUCUGCCCUAAUGGGUAAUUUGCGCAUUUGGUCCCUUCAUCUUGCGCUGAAGCGCAAUCUGACCUUUUUAUUUUUAUAAUUUGGGGCCGCGAAUUCUGUGUCUGCUUCAAUCUGGUCCUUAGACCGUGCGCAGACCCUCACUGCGUUUAGGGCUGGGGAAUAUUUCCCUGUAGGUCCCUCACACUUCGAGCGUGUUUCAGUUCGGUCCUUUGCAACUUUUUUUAAUUAUUUGCAGUUUAAACCUCAAUAUUGUAACCCGAAUUUAAUUCAGUCCUCAGACCUAUUAUUCUCAUUUUUAGUUAUUUUUUUAUUUACUUAUUUUUUUAUAUUUGUUUUUAAUUUUAUUUUAAAUAAAAAGGGGUUUUUAUUAAAUUUUCCUUUUAACAUUUUAUUUGUUUGUUUAUUUUAUAUUUAACAUUUAAUCUGAUUUUUAUUAGUUGUAUGUUUUUUAUGUUCUUAUUAUUAUUAUUCGAUGAUUUGAUUUAUAUUAAAUUUUAUAUAUAAUACAUGAAUGUUUUACUCCUUUUGGCAUUUUACUAGUUAUGUGUUUUAUUUUCGCUAUUAUAUUGUCAUUCAUAUCAUUGCUUUUGUGCAUAUAUGUUAGUGUUAGGUUUUGUUAGUAUCAAGGCUAUAUGACUAUUAUAUCAUGUGUAUUAUGUUAUAGUUGUUGCAAAUGUAUGUUAUAAUAUUACUAUUAGUUAGAUAUGCUUUUUAUCUCAAGUAAUUCUUUUUAGUAUAGUCCAAAUUGCAUACGCGUUACUCUUAAAUAUUCCAUUAAUUCGUACUCAAAAUUCAAAAGGGUAAAAUUUCGAAAAUAAAGACAAUAUUCCUUAUUUAGAAAAUUCGAGAAAAUCGUGCUCUAACUUACUGAGCUUCGAUUUUUCUUGCGUUGAUAUCAAAUAACCGAAUAUCCUUUUAAAAUUGAAAUAAAUGAGGUUUAAAUAAAAAAUAAAAGGCAAGCUUACUCUCAAAAUACGAGGUGUCGUGUCCUAACUUACUAGAUGUGACAUCUUGUUAAUUCGAGAUAAGAAGGCAUUUUUCAUUUUGAUUUAUUCGAGUAAUUUUUUUAAAUAACACAAUAUAAAGAGGGAUCGUAUUUUUAAAUUCUUUUCGAGUUUUUAGUUUUCGACACCAAGACAUUAAUUAAUCAACUAGGUACCAAUUUUGGGCGUAUCGAGGGUGCUAAUCCUUCCUCGUACGUAACUGACUCACGAAUCUAGUUUUCUGAAUUUCGUGGACCAAACUCGUUGUUUUAAUAAAAUUAAAUUGUUUAUUAAAAACAACCCCUCUUCAAGGUGAUCCGAUCACACCUUAUCAAAAAGGAUUGGUGGCAACUCCCGUUUUCGUUUUCGUUUUCGUUUUCAUUUUCAAAAUCUAAGUCGACCCAUUUUUAACAAAAAAAAAUGGUGUCAACAGCUUGGCGACUCCACUAGGGAUGAAAUUUGUGAGAGUCAAGCCAUGUGUUGAUUAUUUCUUGUAUUUUUGUCAAAAGUUAAAAAUUCGAUUUAAAUUUAUGAUCCUCUCAUUGCAUCUCUUUUGUUUUGAGUUAUAUUUUUUAUCAUGUUCUGUAUUUUAUUUUUAUAUCUCUGCACAUUGCAUUGCGUGACCACUGGUCACACCCUUUUAAGUGGGAGUGAGAAACUAGUCCUUUGUGAGGUUUUUCACCUCCGUGCAGGAUAGCGGAUCACUUUCGGAAUACAUCCGUACCUAUGUCUUCGUGAGAUUUUCAUCUCCGUGCAGCCAUAGGGAAAUGUAUUCCCCUGAACCAAACUCGGUUCGUAUGAGCCUAUAAUGGGUGAGGAUCGAGGAAUCUGCUGGUUCGGGUACCUUUGCUUUAGAACUAGACCUCAUAUAGUGAACCUAAGAGCCUACCCUAGGUAAAACCACUUCAAACCCCUAGUGGUCACCCGAAUAGAUGUUUUAUUUAUUCUUGUUUGCUUUUGCUUUGUACUAACCUGUUUUCUUUUUGGUUAUGAUUGCAUUGCAUUUUCAUCAUAAAAAAGAGGUGUUGAUUCACGUUCAGUUGCUAAAUAGAGAGUUUGUCAUAAGAAAUUGGGUUUCAUGAUAAAGUGGAUGACAAUACGGUUGUCCUAAUAUGGUCCAAGAAAGCGUGAUAAGAGAAGGAUGAUAGCUUAAUGGAGGACUACAUGACUAUUGCUCCGUUGCCCGAGGAUUCAAGAUGACAAAAAUUAUUCGAGAGCCGCUGAACUUUCAUAAAGAGGAGCCAACGAGCUUCACGACGAUGAAUGAGUAACGAGACGCAGCCCAGAUCAAGCAAAAAGGAGAUAGAAGAGACGUCUCUCUUGAGGAGUUCGUAAGAUUUAUCUUAGUGCUCGAAUAAAGAAAAAGAUCGAAUGUCUCUGCCCAUGAGGGCAAAGCCGUAUAUGUAUCCGCUUUAUGUAAAGAGAUUUAUUUUCCAGUAAAGUUGUUCUAAUAUAAUUGAACCAAGAAUCAAUGUCUCUUUUUGCAUUCAUUUCAUGCAUUUGCAUUACAUUGCAUCAUGUGCAUUAGAUUUUUACAAAAUGACCCUAAUUAAUUAAAAUUAUGAUAGUUACCCUGGAAACCAACAAAAAUCCACCAACCAAAUAUCACUACGGUACUCGUCACCAAACAAAAGCAAUGGAUCAGAGGUUGGAAAGAUUGGAACAAUUACAAAAGGAGAUGCAAGAUCAGAUGCAAGAACGACUGGAUAAGAUCCAGCAAGACAUGCUAGAAUCCCAAAACACUAUGAUGAACCAAUUGAAGCAGUUAUUGGCUAGAGGGAAUGAUAAAGGAAAAAGCCUUGUAGUUGAUUCUAGGGUUGAUCAGGAGGACCCUGUUUAUCUUCCCGGUUUCACCCCGAAAAGUACCCAGGCACAACCAGAUAUGUGCCCACAAAGAAUACCUGUCAAUAUUAGACCUCAAUAUCCGGUUGGUGUCUCGAUACCAAUGCACUUUUGAAUGGGCUCAGGUUCUAAUCCCGGGGACAACCCUACCAAUCUUGUGGUCCCGAAUCUCGAUGACAUGGCAGAAAUAGAAAAAGCAAGAAUGGACCUGCCAAAACAACUUGAGGAUCGAUGUAGAUGGCUAGAGGAAAAAUUUAGAGCCAUGGCGAACACUAACUACCAUUAUGGAGUUGACGCCAAGGAUCUGAGUUUGGUUCCUGAUUUAGUGCUCCCGCCUAAGUUCAAGAUGCUCGAAUUCGAAAAGUAUAAUGGGACUAGUUGUCCUGAAGCUCGCAUCACAAUGUUCUGCUGAAGAAUGAAUGGGUACGUUAAUAACGAUCAACUGCUAAUUCAUUGCUUUCAAGACAGUCUGAUUGGUUCGACUGCCAAAUGGUACAACCAGUUAAGCCGCGCCAACAUCCGUUCAUGGAAGGACUUGGCACAGGCUUUCAUAAAGCAGUACAACCAUGUAACAGACAUGACACCUGAUAGAAUCACAUUGCAGAACAUGGAAAAGAAGCAAAGUGAGAGCUUUAGGCUAUAUGCUCAAGGAUGGAGAGAGGUAGCGACACAAGUCCAGCCACCUCUUCUGGAGAAAGAAACCACGAUGCUUUUCAUCAACACUCUGAAAGGCCCAUUCAUUAACCAUAUGUUGGGAAGCGCUACUAUGAACUUCUCAGAUAUGGUAAUGUCUGGCGAGAUGAUUGAAAAUGCCAUCAGAAGUGGAAGAAUGGAUGGUGGGGAGGAUAAUAGAAGGUCAAUCCCAAAGAAAAAUGAGAAUGAAGUGAACCAUGUGAGUACAUACAACAAGUAGAUUAAGGUGAACCAGCCAAGGAAAGUGGUUGCUAGUCAACAAGGUUCAUCAAAACAAGAAUCUUAUGUAAAACAAGGCAUUGAGAACCUCCAGUUCAUGCCAAUUCCCAUGUCGUAUAAGGAGCUGUAUCAAAGCUUGUUCGAUGCGCGUAUUGUUACCCCUCUCUACACGAAACCUCCACAGCCUCCGUACCCCAAAUGGCACGAUGCGAAUGCACAAUUCGAAUAUCAUGCGGGAAAUAUGGGGCAUUCCAUAGAAAAUUACAUUGCCUUUAAAAAACUGAUUGAAAGGCUUAUCAGUAUGGGCGUCGUUAAAUUUGAUGAUUCCUCCAGUGCGGAAAAUCCAUUACCCAAUCAUAAUUGAUAAGUGGAGUGAAUGCAAUGCACAAGCAACUGAAGAAGGGACCUUGUUAGAUAUCCGUCUUUAUAAAUGUGGAAGUGUUCUAAGCAAUUCGACUGCGGAAGAAAACCCUAUAGUCUCUAGAGCUUUUUUAAAGUAAUGUUCAGAACAUUUUUGUUGUUUUUAUCCUAAAAAUGAUAGAAAUUUCCUUUGUGAAAUAGGCUCAUGUCUGAACGUUGUUAUGAAAUACAUCUUUGCAAUUAUUACUGAGCCAAUAUUUUCAUUCUUUACAAACAAUUCCAGAUUCUUUCAUUCUUUUGAAUUUUCUUCUAAAUUGUUAUUCAUUCAUUCAUAAUCAUAUUGUAUAAAUAAUUAGUCAUAAAUUUAUACAUUCUUUUGCAUAUUCUUUGGUACUUAUUAUGGGUCCCCAGAUAUUAAUUACAUGAAUGACACUGCUACAAACUCAGAUUUUCCUCUUGAGCAAGGCAUGUGUUUAGACGAAUCUCAUGGCUUUGGAAAUGACAUAGAUCGUAGCUUAUCUCUGAACUUGUCGAGGAUGGUAGAAUAAGAGGAUAAACAGAUCCUACCUCUCAAGGAAUUAUUAGAAAUUGUGAGCUUGGAAUCGACCUGACCUCAAAGAUGAAGCAAGACCUUGUUCAAAGAUGACUUUAUAGGAUCAUACCAGGAUAUGCCUAGGAUAAACACUGAUAAAGAAAUCUGAACAACUCACGAUGUCAGAAAUUUGCAGUAGGAACGAUGCAAUUCUUUGUCGGGGCAAUGCCUUUCUCGUUGAGUCAGCAUAGCUUUGCCCAUUUGAAGUCGAGUUUCCAUCCCUUCAAGAUGUUUUCUGUCGUAGUUGCGCCUUAAAAGGGCUCUAUAAAAUAAAUGAGGGUUUUUCGCAUACAAGAUGAAAGUGAGAAAUCUUAUCUAUAAAAACAUUGGUUUUGAUCGAAAGGGUUCAGAUUCAAUCAAAAAAAAAUCAAAAAAAUCAAAAUCAAAAUCAAAAUCAAAAUCAAGAAUAAAAGAAAAAAGAAGAAAAAGAAAAUGGAGAGGCUAAGGUAAAAACCCGCAAAGGGCGCCUUGAGACCAAAGGGGAUUUGAGUUGAAAACCCGAAAAGGGCGGCUCAAAUAUUGAUCAGAAUGGGGCAUGAAGUGAUCAGAGCAAUUCGAAUCUUGAUCAGAUUGGGGCAUGUGGUGAUCUUGUUAUACAUGAAUUAACAGGAAAGGGUAGACAACAUCUUGGGGCAUUGACAAAGUACUGUAGAUCUCCUAAAUACAUGUCAAACUCAGAAUAGUCUUCAGAAGGUUUGCACAGAGAAGUUCAAGCUGCGAUAUCUGAGGCACCCAAUUCUCAUAUUAUUUAUAUUGAAUUUGUUGUUCUUGGAAUACUUUAUUCUUUUCCAAGAUAUACAUUCCCAAUCAAUUUCUUUAUUAUCCUUCUUUACUAUUUUGGAUAAUUUAUUCAUUUCGAGCUAUGCUCAGAAUCAACUUUAUUCUUAUCCAUUGUUAUGACCCUUUUUACAAGCAUGUCACAUUGGAAUAAUGAUUAAUGGACUAAUAAAACUUUCACAAAGGAAGUUUUGCAUAUUACUCUGAAAAGUUUCUAAAUAAUAUGGGAACCUGAAAUAGGACUAUUGUUUAGAACACACCAAGUUUAAGGGUUGGAAAUUUGAGAAGGAAGAGUCUAAAUUUGGACUUUCUCUUUGGAUUUUGUUGUCAAAUGUAUUGAUUGAACAAAGUGACAAGAUGUCGAGUUAAUGACAAAGCUUAAAUAAACGAGAAAGCAAUGAUCACAAGGCAAUAGGAAGGGGUUCCCUCAGAGAAGAAAGCAUUCAUUUGCACAUGAGCCUUCGGCAUGACACCUUGAGAAUGGUGUAAGGUACCAUAGAGAUUUAGAUCCUGUAUCCUUGAAUUGUGAUAGAAAAGGAUCGAGAAAAGCCACAUAUUUCUACCCUUGGAUUACAGUGGAAAAAUGAUGGUACAAAUUUUGCGCCCCAAUGGAUUAAACUUUCAGGUUUACAGUGGGGGUAACCUGGCUAAAUGUUUCUUUGAAAACGCCAGCCGAGCAGGAGGGUGUUGUAGCACUUCAGUGACAAAGCCUUAAUAAACUUCGAGUAAUGACAACCUAAGCGGGAUCAUUCUCGGAAGAAUAAAAUUCUACAUUCAUGCAAACACCAUUCACACAUGUCUAGUUAGGAGCAUUUGAUUCAUUUUGAUCAUGCCAUCCUAAUCAUUAGGCAUAACUAGGUUCAUUAUACAGGUCAUGUUCCCUAGAGAACAGAUCAGUGAAGAUCGAAAACAAAACCUUGCCUCCAUUAGUUGCAGUGUAGCUGGUUAAAGAUAGCAGAUCUUGCCUUCCUACAUUAACAGCGAAGCAGAUCGAAAAUAAAGCCUUGCCUCCAUCGGUUGUAGUGGAGCUGGUUAAAGAUAGCAGAUCUUGCCUUCCUACGUUAACAGCGAAGCAGAUCGAAAACAAAGCCUUGCCUCCAUCGGUUGUAGUGGAGCUGGUUAAAGAUAGCAGAUCUUGCCUUCCUACGUUAACAGUGAAGCAGAUCGAAAACAAAGCCUUGCCUCCAUCAGUACAGUGGAGCUGGUUAAAGAUAGCUGAUCUUGCCUUCCUGCAUUGACAGUGAAGCAGAUCAAAAAUAAAGCCUUGCCUCCAUCGGUUGUAGUGGAGCUGGUUAAAGAUAGCAGAUCUUGCCUUCCUGCGUUAACAGCGAAGCAGAUCGAAAACAAAGCCUUGCCUCCAUCGGUUGUAGUGGAGUUGGUUAAAGACAACAGAUCUUGCCUUCCUGCAUUAACAGCGAAGCAGAUCGAAAACAAAGCCUUGCCUCCAUCGGUUGUAGUGGAGCUGGUUAAAGAUAACAGAUCUUGCCUUCCUGCAUUAAGAGUGAAGCAGAUCGAAAACAAAGUCUUGCCUCCAUCGGUUGCAGUGGAGCUAGUUAAAGAUAGCAGAUCUUGCCUUCCUACGUUAACAGCGAAGCAGAUCGAAAACAAAGCCUUGCCUCCAUCAGUACAGUGGAGCUGGUUAAAGAUAGCUGAUCUUGCCUUCCUGCAUUGACAAUGAAGCAAAUCGAAAACAAAGCCUUGCCUCAAUCAGUUACAAUGGAGCUGGUUAAAGAUAGUAGAUAUUCCCCUCCUGCGUCGACAGUGAAGCAGAUCGAAGAUUACAUGUAACAGCCCGAUUUUGGGCCUAGUCGGAACAGUGGUUUCGGGACCACAAAUUCGACGAGGAAAAAAUUAUUUUUCUUAUAUUUUUAUGGUCUACAAUUUCACGGAAUGAUUUUUUGAAAAUUUUGUUCGAAAAUUUCGACGUUUGGGCACUCAAUUUAGUCAAAAGGAUUAAAUUGUAAAAAGUGCAAAAGUUGAGUUCUAAAUGUUAGAGGUGUUCAAUUGUUAUGAAACUUUAGAUUGGAGGUCAUUAUAUGGUAAUUAGACCAUUGGUUAAGUUGGUAGACAAAAAUGGCCAUGAGAUAAGUGAAAUAGGAAAUUUUUAAGUUAGGGGCAAUUUGGUAAUCUAGUAAUUAAAAUGAAUUAAAAGGGAAAAAGAUGGCAAAUGGGGCUCAUCUUCUUCAUUGGGACGAAAUCAGCAAGGGGGGGAGCCAUUGUUAGGGUUUUCAACCUUCCAAGCUCCAUAGUAAGUGAUUCUAAGCCCCAUUUUUAAUGUUCUUUACGUUUUUGGAGUUCCGGUAACUUGAUUUUGCUUAUUCUAGCAAUAAUUUAAUCUAGGGUUUAUAUUUGGAAAAAUACCCAUAUGUGAAAUGUGUUUAUUUUGAUGUUUUAUGGUAGAAUAUGAAGCUAGAAAUUAUGUUAAGCAACUUUUGCUAAGCGAUUUUGAGUGAAAACGAGUAAAACGACAUAAUCGAUAAAAAUACUAAAUGUUCAUAAGUAAGUGUUAGAGUGGGAAUUUGGUGUUAUCAUAGAAGGGAAAAUGUUCAGCAUGUCAUAAUACAUAAGAAUAAGGGAUAAAUUUUAAUUUUCGAGCCUAGGGACAAAAUUGUAAUUUUGUGAAACUUUAGGGGCAAAAAUGUAAUUUUUCCAAAAUGUGAUUUUUGGACUGGAUUGAAUAAUGUGAGUGUUAAAUAAGUUAAAUGAGUUAUUAUAAGUCAAGAAAGACAAGGAAUUGACUUUGAUUAGUGAAAAAAAAUGAGAAAAAGUGAGAAAUUUCCCGAUUGAACAUUUGGAAUAAAAAGGGAUACGAAUGAAGUGACAAAAAUGAUCACAUAUGUGGCAUGGACUGUGUGUAGGCCACUAUGUGAAAGUGAAAGUGAUGGUCACGUGUGUAGUACUAUGUAUAGGCUACUACGUGUAUCAGAAUGAUAGGUCGCAUGUGUAGUACUAUGUGCAGGCUACUAUGCGUACCAGAUAGCUUCGAUCACGUGUGUAGUACUAUGUGUAGGCUACUACGUGUACCAGAAUGAUAGGUCGCAUGUGUAGUACUAUGUGUAGGCUACUAUACAUACCGGAUAGCUUCGAUCACGUGUGUAGUAUUAUGUGCAGGCUACUACGUGUAUCGGAUAGUGAUGGUCACAUGUGUAGUACUAUGUGCAUGCUACUAUGUGAAUCUGCAUCAUUGAAUAUAAAGGUGGUUGCUAAGUGCUGAUUCCACCGUAUCCUUAACUGUGAAAGGGGUUGCUAUGUGCUGAUUCCCCGUAUCAUUGAAUAUAAAGGUGGUUGCUAAGUGCUGAUUCCACCGUAUCCUUGACUGUGAAACGAGUUGCUAUGUGCUGAUUCCCCGUAUCAUUGAUUAUAAGGUGGUUGCUAAGUGCUGAUUCCACCGUGUAACGGUUAAUAUUCCGAAGUGUUCAUCGGGGAAAUUAGAUAAGUGAAAAUAUAUGUGAAUCGAAUAAGGUUACGUGAUGAAUAUUGGGUUCGAUAUUUAAUCGACCCUUAAGUAGGAUGAAAAGAAGUAAUGAAAUUAUGAAAAAGUAAAAUGUGCAACAAAACAGUUUUAGACAAUAACAAUAGUGUGACUUUUAAAAAUCACCAAAAAUGGUGGAAAUUGAAUUAGAGAGUGAAUAAGAUAUGAAAUGAAAUCUUAAAGAUUCUAUUUUUACAUGAAAGAAACAAGGAAAGCAAAAGAGUUACACAUUUUUAGAUUUUUGAAUUUUAGUGAGGCAGGGUCGGAUUGAUUUCAGAAUCCCCUACUCUGAAUUUGGAAAAUAGUUAAAAAUUGUACAAAAAUAAUUAUGAGUUAUAAUUUAUAUGCUUAGAAUCCUUAAUGAGUCUAUUUUCAAAGGAAAGAAAUGUAAAUAUCAUCCAAAUUCUGUACAAUGAGAUAAUUCAUUUUUAGUGAAGAGAGGUCAGUGAUGUUGAGUAGUGAAACAGGGGUGAAUUUAAAGAAUAAACUGUACUAAUUUUCCAAGGAAAAAAUUCUGAAAAUUUUAUGGUAAUAAUACAUGUGAGUCUAGUUUCAGGGAAAAUUAACAGAUCUUAAUUUGGAGCUCUGUAGCUUCAGAUAAAAAUGAUUUAGUAACGCUGACUCAAAUAGACAGCUUUGAAUUUAAAUAUAAGUGAAUAGUAAAAUUAUGUAUAAUGCUAUUUAAGCAUGUUUUAUACAUAAAGGAUGUGGAAUGGAGAGGAGGAGGAGGACAAUAAAAUGUAUGAAAUAAUUGUGUAUAAUGGUCAUAUGCCGGAUUAUAAUCGGUAAAUGUUAAAUUGAAUGGUAAAUACGUAUUGGUACCGAAUGAACUAUUGCGGUGUUGAAAAGCAAUUGAUCAAAUAUAUACGAAAUUUAGUCUUGAUAUAUAUAUAUGAUAAUAAUGAUAUAUGGAUGAUUAUAUCAUUGAGUUGCAUUGGUUAAUUCGGUUUAUGUGAUGGAAAUGUCAAGAACAUUUGUCUUUGAUAUGUGAUGAUCAUGGUUUAAGCUCAUAUGGGAAAAUAAAGUUUCAUAGUAUGAGAGUGUGGUAUUGAAAUAUAUAUAUUGGAUUGAGAAAUUAAUUUGAAUUGUGAACACGAAAUAUUGUAAAUUGAAUAAAAUUGAAAUGAAGCUUUGAAUUACAUGAGUAAGUAUCGGGUCUCGUAGGCCCUAUUUGUUAUGAAUAUAAUAUUUUGAGGAUAUGUUAUAAAGAAUUAUAAAAGCAUGUUAAAAAUUUGAAGAGUUCAAAUUUGAAUGAAAUUUUGUAACUCGGUUUAAUACGUUUACAUGUGUAAGUGUUCUAGUAAUGCCUCAUACCCUAUUUCGGAGUUGAAUACAGGUAAGGGGUGUUACAUUACAAGUCCUAUGUCCCUGACCAGCAGAGGAAUAGGUUGGAAAUUGCAGAUCUUGUCUCCCUAAGCAGUAGCAGAGCAGAUCGAAGACGGCGAAUCUUAUCUUCCCCAGGAGUAUGGAAACAGAUUUAAGCCACAAGUCCUAUGUCCCUGACCAGCAGAGGAAUAUGUUGGAAAUUGCAGAUCUUGUCUCCCUAAGCAGUAGCGGAGCAGAUCGAAGAUGGCGAAUCUUACUUCCCUAGCGAUGCAGCGGAUCAGAUUGAAGCUACAACAGCAAAUCUUGUUCCCCGACAUUGCAAUUAAAAAGAUUGAAGUCGCAAUGGCGAAUCUUACUUCCCUGGCGGUGCAGUGGAAUAGAUUAAAGCUACAACGGCGAAUCUUGUUCCCUGACAUUGCAGUCAAGACGAAAAAAAAUCAAGCCUUGCCUCCAUCAAUUGCAGUGGAGCGGAUUAAAACCACAGAUCUUAUCUCCCUAAGCAGUAGUGGAGCAGAUCGCAUCAAGUCUUAUCUCCCUAAGCAGUAGUGGAGCAAACAAAAGAAACCAAUCCUAUCUCCCUGAAGUUGCAGUGGAGCGGAUUAAAACCACUAAUCUCAUCCUCAUGGAGUUCUAGUAGAGUAGAUUGAAGUCGUAUCUCUCUGAAGUGCAAUGAAAUGGACUGAAGCAAUAAAACACAGUAGACUGGAAUGAAGCUACUUGAAGAGAAGCACCCAAAGAAGUCAAGACUCGGUGAGACCGGGCAAAAUUGGUCUUUCUUAGUCUUUGCUCUAUUCCCGUUACACAAGAAUGAGCAAAGAGGGGCAGCUGUAAGAGCCCAUUUUUGCCCGGGCCCAUACCAACAAAAUAACCCAAAUAAUAAAAACAAAAAUAGUUCAUUUUCAGCAAAUUUAAACCCAAAAAACUACAAGCCCAAACCCAAUAGGCCCAAAAAUCAGAAACCCUAAGCCCACAAACUUAAAGAUUUUCAACAAACCCUAGUUGCCUCCCCUAAAACUUGGCACCGCAAGCUUCCAUGCGUGGCCUUCUCGUCUGCCACGCCCUCGCGUCGCCGCACGCCAGCACCCCAUCCACGCGCAUCUGACACUGUUCUGUCACCUGCAAAAGACAACCAACAGAACAACAAAUAGAGAAAACAAAUAGAAAACGACAAAUGAGGCAGAGAUUAAACAUUUGUAAUCGGCUAUAAAAAGCCGAAUAAGGUAAUUGUACUCUUCUUCUUCCAAUUUUACGAACAAAAAAGAGAAAUAAAAAAACAGAAAAAUAAAGGUGAUUUUUUAGAUCUGUUGUUUUUAUUUUUUUUAUUUUACUUCAUUUAUUUUUUUUCAAACAAAAAUAAAAUAAAGAGGAGGGGGCUUACCGGAUGCCCGUGACCGCCGUCGGAUGGUUGGUCUCCGUCAUCGAGACCAAAUUCGGAGGGAGAGGGCUGUGGGCCUCUAUCUCGGACCUUAUGGGGUUCGAAAGCCCGUCCGCUCAACCCACCAACAACCAGGCUUUAAAAGCCUUUCGUCGCGCUUCGUUGGCCGUCGUUUUGGUGGCGGUGUGGCGGAUAGACGAACGGUGGUGAGAGGCCGAUCGUCAGAGGGCAUGGGGAGUAUUGAGAGGGUUGCUGCAGUUUUUUAGUGUGAAGGGUGGGGAAAUGAGAAAAAUAAAAAAGGGCUGUUAGAGUAAAGACGAAAACGGCACCGUUUAAGGGAAGGUGAUCUGCGCAUUCUGCCCUAAUGGUAAUUUGCGCAUUUGGUCCCUUCAUCUUGCGCUGAAGCGCAAUCUGACCUUUUUAUUUUUUUAAGUUGGGGCCACGAAUUCUGUGUCUGCUUCAAUCUGGUCCUUAGACCGUGCGCAGACCCUCACUGCGUUUAGGGCUGGGGAAUAUUUCCCUACAGGUCCCUCACGCUUCGAGCGUGUUUCAGUUCGGUCCCUUGCAACUUUUUUUAAUUAUUUGCAGUUUAAACCCCAAUAUUGUGACCCGAAUUUAAUUCAGUCCUCAGACCUAUUAUUCUCAUUUUUAGUUUUUUUUUAUUUACUUAUUUUUUUAUAUUUGUUUUUAAUUUUAUUUUAAAUAAAAAGGGGUUUUUAUUAAAUUUUCCUUUUAACAUUUUAUUUGUUUGUUUAUUUUAUAUUUAACAUUUAAUCUGAUUUUUAUUAGUUGUAUGUUUUUUAUGUUCUUAUUAUUAUUAUUCGAUGAUUUGAUUUAUAUUAAAUUUUAUAUAUAAUACAUGAAUGUUUUACUCCUUUUGGCAUUUUACUAGUUAUGUGUUUUAUUUUCGCUAUUAUAUUGUCAUUCAUAUCAUUGCUUUUGUGCAUAUAUGUUAGUGUUAGGUUUUGUUAGUAUCAAGGCUAUAUGACUAUUAUAUCAUGUGUAUUAUGUUAUAGUUGUUGCAAAUGUAUGUUAUAAUAUUACUAUUAGUUAGAUAUGCUUUUUAUCUCAAGUAAUUCUUUUUAGUAUAGUCCAAAUCGCAUACGCGUUACUCUUAAAUAUUCCGUUAAUUUGUACUCAAAAUUCAAAAGGGUAAAAUUUCGAAAAUAAAGGCAAUAUUCCUUAUUUAGAAAAUUCGAGAAAAUCGUGCUCUAACUUACUGAGCUUUGAUUUUUCUUGCGUUGAUCUCAAAUAACCGAAUAUCCUUUUAAAAUUGAAAUAAAUGAGGUUUAAAUAAAAAAUAAAAGGCAAGCUUUCUCUCAAAAUACGAGGUGUCGUGUCCUAACUUACUAGAUGUGACAUCUUGUUAAUUCGAGAUAAGAAGGCAUUUUUCAUUUUGAUUUAUUCGAGUAAUUUUUUUAAAUAACACAAUAUAAAGAGGGAUCGUAUUUUUAAAUUCUUUUCGAGUUUUUAGUUUUCGACACCAAGACAUUAAUUAAUCAACUAGGUACCAAUUUUGGGCGUAUCGAGGGUGCUAAUCCUUCCUCGUACAUAACCGACUCCCGAAUCCAUUUUUCUGAAUUUUGUGGACCAAACUCAUUGUUUUAAUAAAAUUAAAUUGUUUAUUAAAAACAACCCCUCUUCAAGGUGAUCCGAUCACACCUUAUCAAAAAGGAUUGGUGGCGACUCCCGUUUUCGUUUUCGUUUUCGUUUUCAUUUUCAAAAUCUAAGUCGACCCAGUUUUAACAAAAAAAUGGUGUCAACAACUGGCAAAUAAAUAAAGCCUAAGUAUUGCAUUGCAAAUGACAUAAUAUCACCCAUGUCAACAAUGUAAACAGACAGACAUAUUAAAAUUUAAAUUUAAAUCCAUAAAAAUUUAUGUACUUAUAUUCAUGCAUUUACACAAACACAAGAAAGAUAUAUAAAUUUACAAGAACAAACACAAUGUCAAAUCAAUAUAUUUCCUUCCUUCAAUACAAACAUCGUGUGUCAUCAACCAACAUAAAGAACAUAACAAAAAGUAUGCCCUCGUUUCAGCACUCUUUUAAGGCAGUUACUAAAAGUUGUUUUCAACCAUGUUAAUAAGCAUAUCAAGAAAUCAAGUUGAGGACUUCUAAUGAAAGUUGACAAGAAAUUUUCCAGAGAUGGAUGUACUAUCCAUGAUCCAUUCUAACAAUUUGAUCUUUAGUCUUACCUUCUAUUAUAAGAAUGAGUAGCCUUUGUUUCUGGCAAUUUUUGAUUGGUUCUAGUAUUCACUAAUAAGAAAGAUUUUCAUUUUUUGAAUACGUAUACAACCUGAAUCCAUUCUAUAUCAGCAACAACAAUAAUACACAUGAUAGAGUGAUAGAUUACGAGUUUCCAUACAAGAUUUCACACAUACAAUAAAAGAAAAAUAAGUGAAAUAAUUCCAUCUAAAAUGAAAUUAAAGAAAGCCAAAACUAAUGUAGUAGAACAGACAAUUGAGAAUGUUAAAUUUUCUUAUACUAGUUCCAUCUGUUUUAAAAAUAAAUAAAAAAAGAUUGCAAGGUAAAUCAGUAGUAAGAAAGAAAAAUAUGGAAUACCCACAAAAGGAUUGCAAACAAACAAGCCAAUUUAGAUCAAAAAAAUCAGAUUGAGAAACCAAUUAUUCAAGAAUUGUGAGUGUUGUCACCAUUUUUUUGCUAAAACGGGGUCAACUUGGAUUUUAAACAAAAACAAAAAUAGGAGUCGCCACCAAUCUUUUUUUGAUGAGGUGUGAUCGGGUCACCUCAAAAAAGUGGUUGUUUUUAAUAAAUGAUUUGAUUUUAUUAAAACAACGAUUUUGGUCCACGAAAUUUAGAAAAACGGGUUCGAGAGUCGGUUACAUACGAGGAAGGAUUAGCACCCUCGAUACGCCUAAAAUUAGUACCUAGUUGAUUACUUAAUGUCUUAGUGUCGAAAACUGAAAACUUUAAAGAGAUUUAAAAUACGAUACUAAAAAACUUGAAUGACAUGGAUUAAGAUUUAAGAGAAUAUUUGGCUAUUUGGUCAAACGAAAAAAUCGAAACCCAGCACAUUAGGGCACGUUUCCUCAAAUUUCCAAACGCAAAAUAAUGCAUUUCUCUGAAAUUUUAAAGGAUAUUUGGCUAUUUGGUCGAACAAAAAAAAUCGAAACCCAACACAUUAGGGCACGCUUUCUCAAAUUUCCAAAUGCAAAAUAUUGCCUUUAUUAUUUUUUAGAAAUCCUCAUAUCGAGAAAACAACAUAUUAUAUCCAAUGCGUUAGGACACAACGUAUCGAAUUCCCGAUAUGAGAAUACAUGCCAAAGAGUUUACUUAUUUAAAAGAUGUGUAACUAUCUCGAAUUUUAGAAAAAGGUAUCACGCCCAGUAAGUUAGGACACGAUCUUUUCUUAAUUCUCGAGAUCGUUUAAAACUUGGGAAAAAAAGAAAAAAAAAAGAUCAUGCCCAGUAAGUUAGGACACGAUCUCUUCUUAAUUCCUGAGAUCGUUUAAAACUUCAGUUUGAAAAGAUUCGUGUAUUUAGAUUUAUUAUGAAAAUCGAAACCCAGUAAAUUAGGGUGCGACCUUCUCGAAUCUAAACACGAGAUUUUGCUUAUUCAAAAAUCAUAAUUUAUGCAUCGAAUAAAAUUAAUCUAACAUGAAAUAGUAGAAAUAAAACACGGUGUCAAUAUGCGAACAAAACAAAAAUGAAUACGAUGGUGUAGCAUAAAUAAUAUGAGUAAUAGCAAUGAAAAUAAAUUAGAUAAAAAGGACAAAUCAAUGACAUACAAAAUAAUAAUGCAUAUAAGCAAAUAAAAUCAAAACAUUCUUUCAAAAUAAACAAUGAAAAUGUAAAUAAAGAAAUAAACAAAGAAAAUGUAUAAAACUAUAAAAAUAUAAAAGAAAUAUAUAUAUGUAUAUACAUGAAAUUAUGGAAAUAUGAAAAAUAUAUGUAAGUAAAUACUUUAAAAUUAUUAUAUAAAAUAUAUAUAUUUAUAAGUAAGCAUAUACAUACAUAUAUACGUAUGUAAAUUAAAAUAUGUAUAUGUACAUGCAUGUAUAUGUAAAAAUUGUAGAAGGUAUACAAAAGUAUGAAUAUAUAUGAAAAUAGAAUAUGUACAUAGAUAUAUAGAUAUGCAUAUAAGUUAUAAAAUAUAAAGAAUGUACAAGUAUAUAUAUGUUAUAAAAACGCACUUAUGUAUAAAUAUAUAUAUGCAUAUAAAUAUAUAUAAAAAUUAUGAAAAUAAAAAUAAUAAAAAUAUAUAUAUAAAAAUAUGUGUUUAUAUAUUUACAAAAAUUAAAAAAUAUGUACGUAUACAUAUAUAUAAUAAAAAGUAUGUAUAUUAUAAAAAAUAUAUACAUGUGUAUAUAUAGAUAACAAAAUUUAAAGUUUAAAAAAAGUAUAAAUAAGCAAAUAAUAAUUAAUAGUAAUAAUAAUAGCAUCAAAUUUACCAAAAUAACAAAGAAAAAAUGGCUAAAUUGAAUUUAAAAGAGGACUUUGGGGGGAAAUCUGCAAAUAAAUAAGGGGAAAGGACCAUCUUGAACUCGCGCAUGACAUGGAGAGACUAAAAAGGGAAUUUGUCCUUCUCCUUUAAAAUGACGUGGUUCCAGCAGGGACUAAACUGUAAGCGCAACAAAUUGCUGGGUACAAUUUAAAAAAUUUAAAAAACCUAAUUUAAAAAUCAUUAAAAAGCGGAAGGGCUGAAAGCCUAAUUAGCCCUUCUGCUAAAAAACACGUGGAUCUUGCCUGGGUCGGGUCAGACUCGGGUCGGCUCUUGGGUUCAUGUCAAAAAAAGUCGUUUUGGCACCUGAGAGGCCUGCCCAAAACGGCGUCGUUUUGGAGGCCUAUUUAAGGCAAAAUUUUCACCAAAAAAAAUCAUUUUAGCAUAGUUCAGAAAAAAAUUCCCCCUCCCUUCUAUUUUCUCUGAAGGCCUGAGGGUCCGGCGAGAGUCCGGUCGGUCGCCGCCGCGUCAGCCGCUGGUCACCGGUGACGGCACUGCCAUCCACGGUGGCCGGAAGGGCAAAAGUCACCCCUUUUUCCGGCGAAAAUCAAGGGUAAGUUUUCCCCUUUUUUAAAACUCUUUUUAAUGAAUGUAAAUGGUUUGAUUUUUUAAAAAUGAAAUGUAUAUAUACGUAAAUAGUUUCGAAAAAAUAAAAAAAGACCUUGCCACGAUUGAAUCUGUUCUCUCCUUCAAUGCUCACUAUUUUUUUGUUUGUAUGCAUGAAUACUUUUUAUUUGUAUUCCCAAAAAAAACCCAUUUUUACAAUGUACGAAUGGCUUUAUAUAGCCUUUUACAAUUUUUCUAUUAUUUGCUUGUUGUUGCUGCUUUCUUUGCUUGUUUGUAGGUGAGCAGUUGGGAGCAGGCGAGGCCGCAAGGCGCUGGUCAGAGGCGGUGGCAAGUGGGGUGAUGGGACGGUGGCAGAAGGCCCUAGGUUUUCUGUUGUUUCUUUUUUUUCUGAAAAUUGUUUAGUUUGUUGGGCCAUUGGGCUUAGGGUUAAAUUUGUUUGGGCUGUGUUGUAUUGGGUUUUGGGUAGGUUUGCAAUAGGCUGAAGGUUAAUUGGGUCCGGGCAUAAAAUUGGGUUGUACAGUGAGAGAACUGGAAAAUAUAAUGUUUAGGAACAAAAAUGAUUAUCCUCUUUUUAUUUGUCGACAGCCACUUGAUUUUAAGUCUUUGAACAUAAAUUUGUCGACAAAGAAGACAUACUUGGAUCAUCCAUUGAAUCCAUCUUUUGUUUUCUAUGUUGAAUAAAAAUUCAAUCGAAACACUCAAUCUAAUUUCUACUAUUUUGAUUCAAUACAGAUCAUAAUAGUUUUUUCAGUCAAACGAAAAGGAAAACUAUUUACCUAUUUUAUGGAAAAUUGUCCUUUUUUUUUGUAUAAUUAUAGGUGUUUCAUCUAUUUUAUGGUCCUUACAGUGCUGACACGACCGUUAACAACAUUAAUGUGGCGUUCUAUGCCAGUGAUAGUUAGCUACAAUGUCAACAAAAAUAAAAAAAAAUUAAAAAUUAAAAGGAAUAUUUAAAUUUAUUUUACUGGAAUGAACCUAAACAUAUGAUUGUCCAAGUUCAUUCGUUUCAAAACUUACAUUUUUUUAAAUUUAAAAAAAAUAUGUUUUUUAUAAACGUGUAAAACACUAUUAAAAUUUAAUAAAAAUAUUUAAAACUUAAGUCCCUAAUGAAUAUGUCCAAAUUCAUUCAAGAUUAGUUUCAAAUAUACUAAAAUUAAUUUUCUUUAAAAAUUGAUAUGUGUGUCAAUAUUUUUCUAUUGCUACCUCUUAGGAUGAAUAAAAAAAAAGAAAAUAUAUGAAUUUAAAUAAUUUAAAUUUUAUUAAUCUUAGGUCUAAAGAUUUUUUAAUUGUAUGAAUAUAUCCAAUUAAAACAGUGUAUCUAUUAUUUCAUUACAUGUGUAUCUUAAAAGGUUUAAAAAAUUGGAUAUAUUCAUACAUUUAAAACAACUUUACACAAACAAUUAAUAAUAUUUAUUUUCUGAAAUAUAUUUUUUAAAAUUUUUAUUCAUUCUAAAAUGUACCAAAGGAAUUAGAACAUUGAUACCCAUAUCAAUUUUUUUAAAGAAGAUUAAUUUUUAAUAUUUUUUAAACUUUGUACAAUUUAGAAAAACUUGAAUGAAUUUAGACAUAGACUUAACUUGUAAAUGAUUUUUAUCAAUUUUAAAUUUUUUAAAUUUAUUUAAUAUUUUUUAAAUUUUAAUAAUAUUUUUUAAAUAUUAUUUUUAAUUUAAAAAAUUUUUAAGCUUCGAAACAAAUGAAGCGACAUCAGCAACUAUUCCUUUUAAAAAGUUUAAAUAUCCCUUUUAAUUUUUUUUUUUGUUAACAUGGCAGUUGACGUGGUAUUGCCACAUAAGCAACUAUCGAUAACAUGAAGCACCACAUUAGAGCUGUUAACGGCCGCAUCAAUGUUGUAACAGUCAAUAUUAGUCAAAAGGCCAAUUUUGUUAGUUCAUGGGCUCAAUUGGGUGCAAAAAGUUUGCAGGGGCUUAAUUGAUUUUUUUAAAAAAAGUUUGAGGACCAAAAAUACCAUUAAACCCUUCUUUAACUAUUGAUCUUUCUUUUUCUAAGUAUCGGUCAACAUUAGUUAAAGGGCUUAUUUUGUCAGUUUUGUUAGUUUAAGGGCUCAGUUGGGUGCAAAAAGUUCGCAGGGGCUUAAUUGAUUUUUUCGAAAAAGUUCGACAAUCAAAAAUACCUUUAAGCCCUACUUUGACUAUUGAUAUGUCUUUUUUAAUUAAUUUUGCAUCCGUGCAUAGUAUAGGCACACGAUGUACAGGGUAUUUCCACGUAUACAUGUAAAGUGUAUUUUGAUGCCACGGAGGAAUUAGAUGAAAAUGUGAUUAUUAAAGUAGUAAUGUCACCUUCUAGUAAUUGUAAAGAAUUAUAAUUUUCUAGAUGCAUUUGGCUAGUAGAGUGUAAUUAUAUUGUAAUUCUUUUUGCCUUUUUUAGUAAUAUAAAUUGUAAUUACACAUUUACAAAUUUUAAAUUGUUUAAAAAGUAUUAAUUACUAUAAAUAGUUAUUAGUAAUACCUGAGAAAAAAUUUUAAACAAGUGACAUAAAUUAAAAUCAAAUCAUGUUAUGUUAGUCCAAGAAAGUAACCGACAACACGUUUGCCGAUAAAAAAGAAUAAGAAAACUAAACAUCUAUGCAAUUUUAUUAUUGCUUUAGCAUUUCAUAUUUGUUGGGUUAUUCCUUUUCUAACAUUUAACAUAUACUUCUUAUCAUCAUCUAUUAGUUCAAUACCUUUUUCCUUGUACCAAUUAACCAAUAUGGAAAUUUUGUCCCUUGGCAAUAACCAGCUUGAAGGUUCCAUCCCUCGGAAAAUUGAAAAUUUGAAGAACAUCAAGAUUUUAAGCAUCCCUAAUAAUAGUUUUACUGGUCAUAUCCCCCUAGCUUUGUGUAGUUUGACAAAUUUGGAAUAUAUUGACCUUGGCAAGAAUCAAAUCAGUCGUUCAAUCCCAUCUUGUAUUGGCAGUUUAUCCAAUUUGGAUACCUUAAAACUUGAUUCAAAUCUAUUAAAAGGUCCUAUCCCUGAAGAAAUUGGUAGGCUUUUUCACCUAUCAAAUUUAAACCUCAGCUUCAACCAACUCUCAGGUAGUGUCUGUUGAAGCAUGGUCAGCAUGCAGCAACCAAGACAGUCGAGGGCAUCACAUGCAGAAGCUGCUAGUUCAUCAACCCAGCAAGCAUGUUUUUGUUUCAUUUUGUAUACUAAGUUGAUGCAAUGUAACUUAGUUCAAUUUUAACUAUAUUAGGUUUAUGUUUGAUGUAAAUUGAUGGUGAUUGAGCUGAUUAAUCAGCUUUAUUGAUUUGUACAAGUUAAUUAGCUUAAGUUAAUAAGCUUGUUAGUGGUAGUAGGUUGUGAUUAGGUUAACCUACUGUUUUGUCAAGUUGUAAACUUGUUUAUGUAUUGGCUUUAUGCCAUUUUUAGUUUUUUGAAUGAAUUCAAUCAAGAUUUCAUCCAUAUGCUCUCUAUUUUAGCUUUGCUUUGAAAUUUGUUUUGUUUUUCUUCUUUGUUUCUGCCGCAAGUCUCGAUCAUUGCUUGGCAAGUUUCUUGUUGAACUUUGUUGUGUGUUGUUCUCAGCUCCAACAAUUGGUAUCUAGAGCCACAUUCUUAGAGGACCUGUUAUAACUCAACAAGAGGCACCAUGGCUUCAUCAGGUUUUUCACCAGCUUCACCACCUGUCUUCAAUGGAGAGGGCUUCAACAUUUGGGUAGUUAAAAUGAGGACUUACCUGCAGGCAUUUGACCUAUGGGAAGUAGUUAACUCAGAUACUGAGCCAGCACCUCUUCGAGCUAAUCCAACAGUUGUUCAAAUAAGGCAACACACUGAUGAAAGAACAAAAACGCCCAAGGCUAUGUCAUGCAUACAGAAUUGUGUGACAGAUGUGAUCUUCAUGAGGAUCAUGGCCUGUAAAACACCAAAGGAGGCUUGGGAUAAGCUGAAAGAAGAGUUUCAGGGGAUUGAAAGAAUAAGAAAACAACAAGUGCUCAACUUGAGAAGGGAUUUUGAAAAUCUCAAAAUGAAAGAGGAAGAAACAGUCAAACAGUAUUCAGAUCGAAUUAUGGCUGUUGUAAACAGCAUAAGGCUCCUUGGAGAGCAAUUCAGUGAAGCUAGAAUAGUUGAGAAAGUCAUGUCCACUUUGCCAGAAAGGUAUGAAGCCAAAAUUUCAUCCCUCGAAGUCUCAAGGGACUUGACAACUAUCUCCUUAACUGAGCUAAUCAAUACCUUGUAUGCACAAGAGCAAAGAAGAGCCAGCAGACAAGAGGAGCACCAGGAAAGGGCUUUUCAAGCCAAAACAAAAGAAGCCUUGAGCAUCAGUGCUCAGGAAGGUAAAAAGUUCUGGAAAAAUAGGCCUAAGCCUGAUGCUGCUAGAAGCAGUAACCAACUCUGUAAACAUUGCAAAAGGGCUGGUCAUCCAGAAGAUAGAUGCUAGUUUAGACCAGAUGCAGUAUGCCGAUACUGCAAGAAAAAUGGCCAUGUUGAAAAGGUUUGUAAGAACAGAAGCAAACCAAGGCAGAAUCAAUUUCAGCAACAAAAGGCAGAAGCUCGAGUGGCUGAAGAUAGCAGUGAUCAUGAGGAACAGGGUUUUGUUGUGUCAUGUGCAACAAAUCAGAAGAAGAGUUCAAAGGGCUGGCUUCUGGACAGUUAUUGCACAAACCACAUGUCACCAGAUGAAACUAUCUUCAAGACCUUGGACAGAACCUGCAAAACCAAGGUGAAAAUUGGAAAUGGUCAGUUCAUAAAUGCUGAAAGAAGAGGGGAUGUACUGAUUCAUACCCCUACAGGUGGCAAAAUCAUUUCAAAUGUACUUUUGGUACCUGAAAUCGACAGGAACCUUCUCAGUAUAACUCAACUACUUAAGAAAGGCUACUCAGUAGUGUUCAAGGAGAAAGAAUGUCAAAUUUUUUAUCCGAAUGGAUCAAACCUUACAACAGUCACUAUGACUAACAUAUGUUUUGAAGUAGACUGGCCAAAUAGCUCACAUUCAGCCUGUAUAGCCUCCACUGAUGAUUCCAGGCUCUGGCACCAGAGGCUUGGACAUGCAAACUACAAAUCCAUAGCUCGGAUGGCCAAUGAAGGGUUGGCUGAAAACUUCAUCGAUUCAAUAAAGAAUGAUGAGCUUUGUGAAAUAUGUCAACAAGGAAAAUUGGCAAGAUUGCCAUUUCCUACAAGCACAGCAUGGAGAGCAUCAGAGAAGCUACAACUUGUACACACUGAUGUGUGUGGACCAAUAAAGACUGAGUCUUUUAAAGGGAACAGGUACUUUAUUCUCUUUAUUGAUGAUUAUACAAGAUACUGCUUGAUUUAUUUUCUGAAGUAGAAAUCAGAUGUUGCAUCUGUGUUCCUGAAGUAUAAGGCUGCUGUUGAAACUGAGUCUGACUGCAAGCUUAGAGCACUAAGGUCAGACAAUGGAACUGAGUAUACCUCAGCUCAGUUCCAAGCCUACUGUGAAGAAGCAGGCAUCAAACAUCAACUGACUAAUGUGUAUACACCUUAGCAGAAUGGGGUAAGUGAAAGAAAAAACAAAAGUUUAAUGAAUAUGGCAAGAUGUCUUCUAUUUGAGAAGAAUUUGCCCAAAACUCUGUGGGCUAAAGCAGUUAACACUACGGUCUACCAUCAAAAUAGGCUCCCAACCAAGGCCCUAGCUCAGAAGACACCAUUUGAAGCCUGGUUUGAAUUUAAGCCAUCAAUGGCUCAUCUUAGAACCUUUGGUUGUCUGUGCUAUGCACAAGUUCCAGCUGUGAAGAGAAGUAAGUUAGAUAAAAGGGCUCAAGCAGGGAUUCUAAUUGGCUAUAGCAUGGUUAAAAAGGGCUAUAGAAUUCUAGAACCUGGUACAAACAAGAUUCUGGUGAGCAAAGAUGUUGUGUUCAAUGAAAAAGAAUGCUGGAAUUGGGAGAAGGCUAAACCAGAGGCAGUAACUGAAGACCUGGCAUUGGACCAAGUUGAAAAUGAUCAAAACACAUCUGAAAUGGAUGUAGAUGAUGUCCCAAUCAGAGGCACUCGAUCAUUGGCUGAUGUCUAUGAAAGAGCACAAGUGGCUAUUGUUGAACCAAGUUGCUUUGAAGAAGCAGCAAGCCAGGAGGGCUAGAAGCAAGCAAUGAUUGAAGAAAUCAAGAUGAUUGAAAAGAAUCAGCCUAGAGUCUGGUUGAAAUACCAACAAACAGGAGGGUUAUUGGUGUCAAAUGGGUCUAUCGAGUUAAAAACAAUGUUGAUGGUAGCCUAAAUAAGUUAAAAGCUAGAUUGGUUGUGAAAGGCUUCAGUCAAAGGUAUAGAUCAAAUUACCUCGAGACCUUUGCACCUGUGGCUAGGCUCGAUACCAUAAGAUUUCUAGUUGCCUUAGCAGCACAAAAGCAGUGGAUGAUACACCAACUUGAUGUAAAAUCAGCAUUUCUCAAUGGAUUCCUUGAAGAAGAAAUUUAUGUGGAGCAACCUCAAGGCUUCAAGGUGUCUGGCAAGGAAGAAAUGGUGUACAAGCUCAACAAAGCCUUGUAUGGCUUGAAAUAGGCCCCAAGGGCCCGGUACAGCAGAAUUGAUGGUUAUCUGACCUGUUUGGGAUUCAACAGGAGUCUUAGCGAGCCAACUCUGUAUGUUAAAUCGAUAAAUGAUGAAACUCAGCUCAUUGUUUCAUUGUAUGUCAAUGACCUAUUGGUGGCAGGAGGAGAUCGAGAAUUACAAGUCAAUUUUAAAACCAAAAUACAACAGCAUUUUGAUAUGUCAGACUUGGGGUUGAUGUCCUACUUCUUAGCCAUGGAAGUAACACAAGCUGAGAAAGGAAUUUGGCUAAGUCAGAAGACCUUUGCCAUGAAGAUUCUCAACAAAUUCUCAAUGGAGAAUUGCAAAGCAACCAGCACACCAGUUGCUGUUGGAGAAAAGCUAUCAAGCCAAGACAAGCAUGAAAAGGUUUGUGAAACAACCUACAGAAGUCUAGUUGGAUGUUUGCUAUAUUUGACUGCCACUAGACCUGACAUAAUGUAUGUUGUGAGUCUACUCUCGAGGUUCAUGCAUUGUUCAAAUGAAAGUCAUUUUAGAGCUGCAAAAAGAGUUCUGAGAUACAUCAAGGGAACUUUGUCUUAUGGAAUGCUGUUCACCAAGGCAGAAAAUUUGAAGCUUGUUGGUUAUUGUGACAGUGAUUGGGCUGGUUCAUUAGAUGAUAUGAAGAGCACUUCGGGUUAUGCAUUCAACUUAGGGUCUGCUAUGAUUUGCUGGAGCUCAAAAAAGUAGGGAGUAGUAGCUCAGUCAACUGCAGAGGCAGAAUAUGUGGCUGCUGCUGCAGCAGUUAAUCAAGCCAUAUGGCUUAGAAAAAUUUUGAUAAACAUUAACCAUGAGCAAAAUGAAGCAACAGAGAUAAUGUGUGAUAACCAAUCUGCUGUUGCAAUUGCAAAGAACCCUGUUUUUCAUGGGAGGACCAAGCAUUUCAAUAUCAAGUUUCAUGCAGUUCGAGAAAUGGAGCAGGCUCAUGUUAUUAAACUGGUUCAUUGCAGUUCUGAAGAGCAAUUAGCUAAUAUUUUGACAAAGGCACUCAGUGUUUCAAAGUUUCAACAUCUGAGAGCUAAAAUGGGAGUUUGCAACAUGCUAACCAAGGAGGAGUUUGAAGCAUGGUCAGCAUGCAGCAACCAAGACAGUCGAGGCUAUCAUAUGCAGAAGCUGCUAGUUCAUCAAGCCAGCAAGCAUGUUUUUGUUUCAUUUUGUAUACUAAGUUGAUGCAAUGUAACUUAGUUCAGUUUUAACUAUAUUAGGUUUAUGUUUGAUGUAAAUUGAUGGUGAUUGAGCUGGUUAAUCAGCUUUAUUGAUUUGUACAAGUUAAUUAGCUCAAGUUACUAAGUUUGUUAGUGGUAGUAGAUUGUGAUUAGGUUAACCUAUUGUUUUGUCAAGUUGUAAACUUUUUUAUGUAUUGGCUUUAUGCCAUUUUCAGUUUUUUGAAUGAAUUCAAUCAAGAUUUCAUCCAUAUGCUCUCUAUUUUAGCUUUGCUUUGAAAUUUGUUUUGUUUUUCUGCUUUGUUUCUGCCGCAAGUCUCGAUCCUUGCUUGGCAAGUUUCUUGUUGAACUUUGUUGUGUGUUGUUCUCAACUCCAACAGUGUCUCUAUCUUGUCUGCCACUAAGCUUCGUAUUAUCGAUGCUGGAAAUAAUUGUAACAAGAUUUCUCCUACUCUAUUUGAAAGCAAUAGUCGUUUAUCACCCUAUAUGUGUCCUCCUCCAGUAACCAACAAAACCAACAGCAGUAGAAUUCCUUCCUAUAUCAAAAUAUUCCUCCCAAUUGCCAUCUUCUCCACAUUCUCCAUUUUGGGAUGCUUUCUAUUUUCACGGUUUAAACUCAAGAAUAACAGCGUCGGUGUACAACCGACGAAGAAUGGGGAUUUGUGUUCCAUAUGGAACUAUGAUGGAAAGAUAGCAUACAAGGAUAUUGUUACAGCAACAGAGGAUUUCGACUUUCAAUACUGUAAAGGAGUUGGUGGUUACGGAAGUGUUUACAGAGCACAACUACCUUGUGGUAAAGUAGUUGCCUUGAAGAAACUUCAUCGUUUAGAAGCUGAAAAUCCAGCCUUUGACAAGAGCUUCAGGAAUGAGAUCAAGUUUCUAACAGAAAUACGACAUCGAAGCAUCGUAAAGCUUCAUGGGUUUUGUCUACACCGACGGUCCAUGUUUUUGAUCUAUGAGUACAUGGAAAAAGGGAGUUUGUUCUGCAACCUAAGAGAUGAAGUGGAAGCUGUGGAAAUGGAUUGGACAAAAAGAGUGGAGAUCAUCAAAGGCAUAGCGCAUGCUUUGUCUUACUUGCAUUAUGAUUGCAGCCCUCCAAUAGUUCAUCGAGACAUAUCAAGUAACAAUGUUCUUUUAAACUCAAGCUUUGAGGCCUUUGUAGCUGACUUUGGGACUGCUAAAAUGUUGGAUCUUGAAUCAUCCAAUCAGACCAUUGUGGGCACAUGUGGUUAUGUAGCUCCAGGUGAUUUUCUUUGCUUUGUUUGAUGACAUUUUCUUCGGAAUUUAUAAAAUUAAUUGAACAUAUAAAUGAUUUUCUUUUUUAUCUGGUUUUUCGUACGCAGAACUUGCAUAUACAUUGGUUGUCACCAAAAAAUGUGAUGUCUAUAAUUUUAGAGUGGUGGCACUAGAAACGUUAAUGGGAAAGCAUCCCGAAGAAUUGUUAUCAUGGUUGUCAUCACCAACUUCUUUGGUAAAUAUGAGGCUGAUUGAUGUGCUAGACAACCGUUUACCACUUCCCACAAGUCAAUUAGUUGCACAAAAUCUUGUUCGCAUUGCUACUUUGGCAUCCGCCUGCCUAAAUCUGCAACCUAAGUCUCAACCAACAAUGAAAGAAGUGUACGAAGAGUUUCUUUGUGGCCAAACAUCCUUGGGAGUUCCCCUUCGGAUGAUCUCUUUGUUACAACUUGUGAACUGUGAAAUGCAUAUUGGAGAUAGAACUGAAACUUGUAAUGUUUAAACUCCAUGCACUUGUUCUUGAUUAGAUAUUGUUUAUCAAACUUUGAUGAUUUGUUUGUAAACCAUAUCCUAUGUUCUAUAUGAUGGAAUGAAUUGCAAUGUUCAAUAAACUUGUUUAUUCGAUUGCUUUACAGAACAUAAAUUCGACAAUUUGAUCCAAAUAUUCAAACACCAUCCUAAUAGCUUCCUUUCAUUUCGUGCUUCUUUCAAGCAUGAAAGACCAACUCAAAGGAUAAAUCAAAUAUAAGUAAAUUAAUUGUGAAUUAAAGCAAAAAAAAAAUCAAAUUUAUAAAUACAAUGUUUCUUUCCUUAAUUUGCAUAAAUGUUAAAUGGUUCAGAAGAAAGCUUUCUAAAAAAGACUACACUAAAAAUGACCAAACCAUUUUGGAAAGAGGGAAAGAUGCUUAGGGGUAAUUUUUGAUAAAGCAAAUGCCACUAAAGACUUCAAUAAUGCUUAGGGGUAAGAUGCUUAGGGGUAAGGUCUUUUAAUUUUUUUAUAUUAUCUAUAAUAAUUCAAUUUGAUUUAGUUUAUUUAUUUUUAUAUUAAUUUUAAGUUUAGGGUUUUGCACUUAUUUUAAUAAAAUGAACUUUAUUUUAUGAUUUUUGGAUAUUAUUUGAUAAACUUUGACUUUUAUAUAAGGCUUAGAAUUUUUAGUCCUCAGAUGGAAGGGUUCAGAAAUAAAGCACAAAGAAGUAUUUAUAAAGUGAAACUAUGAAGAAAACAUAGUAGUGACUAGGGAUAAUAAUAUAAUAUAAUCAUCUCUUCCAACUUCGGCUUCAGUAUAAAUGAUCUUUCAUUCCACCAACAAGCCAUGUCUCUUGGGCUAUAUCAGAUGAAAUUUUGUAGAAAUAAAGGUCGUAUUUCAUCACUACUAAGCUCUCUUUCACCUUCCUGUUUUCUUCUUCCAUUAAAGACCUCAAAUAUUUUCUUUUUUCCUCGUCUUUCCUCUUGCACUCUUAUUUGUCUCCUUGAUCUUCCUCGUCCUCUUCGACCCUGUUAGCUUCUUCUAACCAGCUCUUAGCAGGAGCGGAUCGACAAUGCGUAAGCAAGAGAGCAUUUGUAGGUGGGACUGCAGCAGCUUGAUCAUCAACAUGAUCGAGGGAGCAUUUACCAGCAAUCACAAUUCUUAAUAUCAAUCUGCAAGUCUGAGAAGAUUGCAAAUUUAAAAAACCUAACUAUCUGCUUAAAGGUCAAAAGUCAAAUGCUAAGUUGGUUAUAACAUGUAAUUAAGUAAUGAAACCUGCAUUUAUAAUUUAUUGAAGGAAUCAGGCUGCCACAAUAUCUAUAAAUGAUUAAGUUCAAGCUAUACAAAUUAUAUUAAAAAUAAGAUGAUCAUUACAAAAAAUUAAAAAAGAAGGCCCUUUUCACCGGCAGUAACAUGUAAUUAAGUAAACCAUGUAUUUUUCUGUUUCUUAAUCUUAGCCUGAACUUCCAUUUGCUUGCCAAUAUUUCUGGAAAACGAUUUACUUUUUGGAAAUGAUUUACUUUUUUCGUGUUUGGGUAAAUAUGUGUAAAAUAUUUUCUGUUUUUUGGCAGAUUUCUUGAAAAUAGUUUAGAAAAACUGUUUUAAAUGAAACAUACAUUUGAGAAUUUAAUUGAGUUUAUUUUAUAUCUAUCAAUAAAUUUAUAUUUUACAUUAUUUUUACAUAUAUUUCAACCACAAUAUCAUUUCUCACCUCAUUCUUAUUUAUUUAUUUUCUAAUUUAAUUAUAAGGACAAAAUUCUAUUUUUCAUUGUUUUUUCGUUUUGCACUUUUGAUUUUCAAACUUCCAGUUUUGAAUAUAAAAAAUAAAUAUCCAUUUAAUAAUUAUAUUUGAGUGUGAUUAUACAUGAUUGGUAACUUGUAAAUACACUAUUUUUAGUUUUUUCACUUUACCCAUAAUUAUUUAUUAAAAUAAUUUUAUAAAUAUAUAUUUUUAAUAUAAAAUAUAUUCAUUCGGGAGUCUUACCUUAUAAUAUCCACAUACAUGUUGUAAGGCCCAAAAUUUGCCCGGGCCCAACAGUCCAAUUACAAAAAUAUAAACCCAAUUUAUACCCAAAUAAAUCAAAACCCUAGGGCCCAAAUGGCCCAAAAUCUAAAGCAAUUUUUCAGCUAAAUUUUAGCAGCAAAAAAACCCUAGCCGCAUGACCUGCUACUGCCGUCGCUUCGCCUCCUUGCUCGCCUGCGCCGCUCGCCGCCACCACUCGCCUAUCACUGGCCUUCCACGCCACUGACACCUGCAGAGAAAAAUAAAUGCAAGGCAACAGAAGAAUCCGGCCAAAUAAAGAGCAAAAAGACAAAGAAUAGAAAUCAAUAGUUGUAAUACGGCUAUAAAAGCCAAAAUGUUCUCGUUGUAUUUUUUUUUACGCACACUAAGCAAUCAAAAAGCAGAACAGAAAUUUGAAAAGGUUGAUUAAAAUAUCUUACUGUUUCCUGUUUGUUUUUCUCUUUUUUUAUUUUUUUUUUAUUUUUUAUUUUUACAAAUCCAUUUGAACGAAAACUAGAAUAGAAAAGCAAGAAAAAGCUUACUUGGGCGUCACGAUCCCAUCGUCGGAGUCCCUUUCUCCGUCGCCGGAGCCGAGUUUUCAGAGAGGGGAUGAGGAAGACUUUCUUUUUCUUUCCCAUUUUUGUGGGCACGGGCUAAAAACCUUUCUCUUUUUCCAUGCGACUCCGGCCACCAUCCUUGGUGGCAUUGCAGUGGAGAUGUGGUGGAUGACGGCGGCAGGGAUUUAAAUAACGGUCGCGGUCGCGUUUUCGGUCGCGUUACGUUAUCGCGGUUGCGGACAUAACGGAUGCUAUUGCGGUCAUCGCGGGUGCCGCGGUCGUGAAUUUUUUUAAAAUUCGCACAAUUUAUUGUAAAACAUUCCAAGCCCUUUCCACAACUUCACUACUCUCCUUACUCUCUUCAGUAACCAAGGGCUUAACUUGACCACUUAGUUCUCCAAUUUUACCGACUAUUGCAUGGCUUCCACAUUGUUCUUUACACUUGUGCACGUGUAAAUCAAACAAACUCCUCUUUGUUCUUCACUUAAAUUUUUUUAUCAACAAAUUCAACGUUUCAUUACUUGAAAACACAGAGGAAAUACACCCCCAAACUACUUUCUUUCAAAAAUAUUUCAGGAGAAAGAAAGUGAGUGCAAGUGUGCAACAGUUGUUCUGGUUUCAACAGCAACAUGGAUAUUGCUUCAGCCUACAAGUAUAUCAGUUCAACUUCAUCACUGUCGCUUCAUGGCUCAUCAUCUUCAUCCUUGCUUCACUUUUCCUUUGGGGAAAUGUUCUCAGGCUUCUCGGAUGUUCAAAGUCUCUCAUUUGUUUUUCAGGUGGUCAUACAAUCGGCAUAUCCCAUUGCCCGGCUGUUUCGCGCCGGUUGUACAAUUCCACUAGCCUCCGCAGAAUCGACCCAACCAUGGACAGCAAGCACGCUGAAAACCUCAAGAUCUUAGCUACUACUCACUCUUGCUCAAAAGAAGGGGUGGGCUGUGAACCUAAGCUAAUUCUUUUCUCUAUUGUACCUGAACGGAAUCCCCAACCUUCAUCUCAUCCUUCAAUCUGAUGCUGCUUUAACCACUGUAACGGAAAAUAACGGGAAUAGCGGCCCGUUAUUCCCGCAAUUGGCCGUUACCCAUUAAAUUGCGGCCGCGAUCCACCGUUAUUUUCAGCAAUAGCGGUUUCGGACAGCGCCGCUACCGCUAUAUAACGGCCGCUAUUCCGAUAUCGGUCCGCUAUUUAAAUCCCUGGACGGCGGGGUUCCAAAGCUAGGCUUGGAGCCCUAGCAGAGAAAGGGGAAGCCCCCUUUCAUUUUAUUUUUCUGUUCUUUGUAACAAAUGAAACAGCAAAAAAAAAAACUGUAGCAAUUAUAACAAUCGCAAACGGCGUCGUUUAAAGGGGGAGAGCUGCGCAUUCAUUCCCUAAAGGGGUAAUUUAUGCAAUGGAUCUAUCCCAUUAGAAAUUGGAUAUUUGAGAAAUUUGACUUAUUUGAGUCUCUCCAACAAUAGAAUUGUUGGUCCAAUCCCUUCUGCUUUGGGUCAAUUAACCAGUCUCCAAUCUCUGAUCCUUUGGGGGAACCAAAUCAAUGGAUCUAUCCCAUUCGAAAUUGGAUAUUUGAGAAAUUUGACUUAUUUGAGUCUCUCCAAGAAUAGAAUUGUUGGUCGAAUCCCUUCUGCUUUGGGUCAAUUAACCAGUCUCCAAUCUCUGAUCCUUUCGGGGAACCAAAUCAAUGGAUCUAUCCCAUUAGAAAUUGGAUAUUUGAGAAAUUUGACUGAUUUGAGUCUCUCCAGCAAUGGAAUUGUUGGUCCAAUCCCUUCUGCUUUGGGUCAAUUAACCAGUCUCCAAUAUCUGCUCCUUUCGGGGAACCAAAUCAAUGGAUCUAUCCCAUUAGAAAUUGGAUAUUUGAGAAAUUUGACUUAUUUGAGUCUCUACAACAAUAGACUUGUCGAUUCAAUACCCAUUACUCUGUACCAAUUAACCAAUUUGGAAAUUUUGGACGUUGAUAAUAACCAACUUCAAGGUUCUAUUCCCCAAGAAAUUUGUAAUCUAGCAAAUUUAACUUCAUUGUACCUCUCCCAAAACAAAUUGACUGGUUCAAUCCCUUCUUGUGUUGGUAGUUUAUCAAAGAUGCUGUACUUAAGCCUUGGUUCUAAUCUAUUAAAAGGUCCUAUUCCCCAAGAAAUUUGUAAUCUAGCAAAUUUGACUUCAUUGUACCUCUCCCAAAACAAAUUGACUGGUUCAAUCCCUUCUUGUAUUGGUAGUUUAUCAAAGAUGCUGGACUUAAGCCUUGGUUCUAAUCUAUUAAAAGGUUCUAUCCCAAAAGAAAUUGGCAAGCUUUUUGAUCUAUCAUAUCUAAACCUUAGCUUCAACCAACUCUCAGGUCCUAUCCCUAUCUUGUCUGCCACUAAGCUUCGCAUUAUCGAUGCUGGAAAUGGUUGUAACAAGAUUUCUCCCGAUCCAUUUGAAGGCAAUAGUGAUUUAUCACCCUAUAUGUGUCCUACUCCACUAACCAAAAUAGCCAACAGCAGCAGAAUUCCUUACUAUAUCAAAACAUUCCUCCCUAUUGCGAUCUUAUUCACAUUCUCCAUUUUAGGAUGUUUGCUAUUUUCACGGUUUAAGCUCAAGAAUAACCAUGUCAGCGUACAACCAACCAAGAAUGGGGAUUUGUGUUCCAUAUGGAACUAUGAUGGAAAGAUAGCAUACGAGGAUAUCGUUGCAGCAACAGAGGAUUUCGACUUCCGAUACUGUAUUGGAGUUGGUGGUUAUGGUAGUGUUUACAAAGCAAAACUCCCUUGUGGUAAAGUAGUUGCUUUGAAGAAACUUCAUCAUUUAGAAGCCGAAAAUCCAACUUUUGACAAGAGUUUCAGGAACGAGAUCAAGUUUCUAUCAGAAAUACGACAUCGAAACAUAGUGAAGCUUCACGGAUUUUGUCUACACCGACGAUCCAUGUUUUUGAUCUAUGAAUACAUGGAAAAAGGGAGUUUGUUCUGCAACCUAAGGGAUGAAGUGAACGCUGUGGACAUGGAUUGGACGAAAAGAGUAGAGAUCAUCAAAGGCAUAGCACAUGCUUUGUCUUACUUGCACCAUGAUUGCUGCCCUCCGAUAGUUCAUCGAGACAUAUCAAGUAACAAUGUUCUUUUAAACUCAAGUUUUGAGGCCUUUGUGGCCGACUUUGGAACAGCUAGAAUGUUGGAUCUUGAUUCAUCCAAUAAGACCAUUAUUGUCGGAACUUGUGGCUACGUAGCUCCAGGUGGCGUUUUCUUUUUUACUUGAUUUACUGACCUUUUCUCUGAACAUAUAGUUGAAUUUCUUCUUACUAAUUUGUGUAUGUAGAACUUGCUUAUACAAUGAUUGUCACCGAAAAAUGCGAUGUUGAUAGUUUUGGAGUGAUAGCACUGGAAACAUUAAUGGGAAAGCAUCCUGAAGAAGUGUUAUCAUGGUUGUCAUCACCAACUUCUUUGGUAAACAUGAAGCUGGUUGAUGUGUUAGACAAACGUUUACCACUUCCAACAAGUCAACUAGUUACACAAAAUCUUGUUCAUGUUGCUACACUGGCAUUCGCUUGCUUAAAUCCACAAACGAAGUCCCGACCAACAAUGAAGGAAGUGUCUGAAGGGUUCCUUUCUCGCCAUACAUCCUUGGGAAUUCCUCUUUGGAUGAUCUCUUUGUUACAACUCAUGAACCGUGAAAUGCAUAUUGAAGGCAAUACUAAAACUUGUGAUGUUUAAAGUCCAUGCGCUUGUUGAUUAGAUAUUGUUUAUCAUGCUCUGAUAAUUUGUU